UUUUUUUUUCUGGUGCGGUUCCGUUGGGGAUUGCCCUUGGUCUGAAGGUGUUUUGUGUUUUUUGUUUUUGGUUUGUGCGCGUGCGAAGAAUUCGGGGAAGCACGGGGCCGGGCAGGUGUGCCAGAUCUGCGGCGACGGCGUGGGCACGGCGGCGGACGGGGAGCUCUUCACCGCCUGCGACGUCUGCGGCUUCCCGGUGUGCCGCCCCUGCUACGAGUACGAGCGCAAGGACGGCACACAGGCGUGCCCGCAGUGCAAGACCAAGUACAAACGCCACAAGGGUAAUGCCCUCCUCGCAAUCUCCAUCGAUUUUCGUGCGGUUCAGGUUAAGGGGACGUGGUUAGGCUCGAGCAGCUAUUGAGAUCAAUCAGAUGCUCGCAUGUUUAGCUCUAGGAGCAGAGAAUAAUUCAGUGAUUGGCAAACUUAUUCAGAUUCUUACCAGAAGCUUGCCCUUUCAAUGAAUGUGGUAUUCAAAUUGUGUUGUAUUGUUUAGGGAGCCCUCCUGUGCAUGGUGAGGAAAAUGAGGAUGUUGAUGCAGAUGAUGUGAGUGACUACAACUACCCAGCAUCUGGCAACCAGGAUCAGAAGCAGAAGAUUGCUGAGAGAAUGCUCACCUGGCGCACCAACUCACGGGGUAGUGAUGUUGGCCUUGCUAAGUACGACAGCGGUGAGAUUGGGCAUGGGAAGUAUGACAGUGGUGAGAUCCCUCGAGGAUAUAUCCCAUCACUCACUCAUAGCCAGGUUGGACCUGCAUUUUAGACUUUUAAGUUGAUUGUAUUAAUUACAUGUCAGAUGAUGAAACUAAUGCUCAGUUUCUUCAUAUGAGUUCAUUGUACAGAUCUCUGGAGAAAUUCCUGGAGCUUCCCCUGAUCAUAUGAUGUCUCCUGUUGGGAACAUUGGCAGGCGUGGACAUCAAUUUCCCUAUGUGAAUCAUUCUCGUAUGUUUAUCAAUCAACAAUCAUCACUAUCUCAUGUUUUGCUGUCUACUUCUGCAUCUGCUGUGAUCUAAUUUGUGCAUCUUGUUUCGUACCAGCAAACCCAUCAAGGGAGUUCUCUGGUAGCCUUGGUAAUGUUGCAUGGAAAGAGAGAGUGGAUGGAUGGAAAAUGAAGGACAAGGGUGCAAUUCCUAUGACUAAUGGGACAAGCAUUGCUCCCUCAGAAGGACGUGGUGUUGGUGAUAUUGAUGCAUCUACUGACUAUAACAUGGAAGACGCUUUACUGUAAGUUUGAAUAUGAUUGUGUAUACCAUUAACCAGCUUUGAGUGUACCAUUCCUGCAUUAUGUCAGGCACUAACACUGUUAACAGUACUUUGCACUUUAAUGUGUUUGUAAGUCUAAAACUGUAUGUGAAAUCCUGCCCUUUUGGACAAACUUUAUGCAUUGCUCUCGGGUUAAUUACUUAUACAUUAUAUGGAUGUAGAUCUCUCUAUCAAACAUGCUCAUGCUGACUUUUCAUGUCCCUUUUAGCAUUAACUUUUGUGGGUCCAAAUUGUAGGAAUGAUGAAACUCGGCAACCUCUAUCAAGAAAAGUGCCAAUUCCUUCAUCCAGAAUAAAUCCCUACAGAAUGGUCAUCGUGCUACGUUUGAUUGUUCUAUGCAUUUUCCUGCACUACCGCAUCACAAAUCCUGUGCGCAAUGCAUAUCCACUGUGGCUGUUGUCCGUUAUAUGUGAGAUUUGGUUUGCUCUCUCCUGGAUCUUGGAUCAGUUCCCAAAGUGGUCCCCAAUCAACCGUGAAACCUACCUUGAUAGACUGGCUCUAAGGUGAUGUGAAAUAUUUAGUGCGAAUACAGAACUGUUUCAGUUGCUCUAAUACUGGAAAUUUCACAAUGCUACUUCCAUUAUCAGGUACGACCGAGAAGGUGAACCGUCUCAGUUGGCUCCUGUUGAUAUUUUUGUCAGUACCGUGGACCCUAUGAAAGAGCCUCCUCUUGUCACUGCAAAUACUGUGCUUUCCAUUCUUGCUGUGGACUAUCCGGUUGACAAGGUAUCUUGCUAUGUGUCUGAUGAUGGAGCUGCUAUGCUGACUUUUGAUGCACUCGCUGAAACUUCAGAGUUUGCUAGAAAAUGGGUACCAUUCUGUAAGAAGUACAACAUAGAACCUAGGGCUCCAGAGUGGUACUUCGCUCAGAAAAUUGAUUACUUGAAAGACAAAGUCCAAACUUCAUUUGUUAAAGACCGCCGGGCCAUGAAGGUAUAUUUGGCUUAUAUGCAUGUAGGUCUUGUCAGUUCCUUCUGCUGUAUGGCAUUGAUUUCUAUUUUGAAAACAUACUUGACAGAGAGAAUAUGAAGAAUUCAAAGUCCGUAUUAAUGGCCUUGUAGCCAAGGCACAAAAAGUUCCUGAGGAGGGAUGGAUCAUGCAAGAUGGUACACCUUGGCCUGGGAACAAUACUAGGGACCAUCCUGGAAUGAUUCAGGUGAAGCUCAAUUUUUGUUGCCAAAAAACUAUUUGACCAACAGAUUGAUUUCCCAACACACAGUGGUUAUUAGUCUAAGCACUUUAAGCCCAAAAUUGUGGUCAUUCUUAGGUUUUUUUAGGUCACAGUGGAGGCCUUGAUGCUGAGGGCAAUGAACUUCCUCGUCUGGUUUACGUGUCUCGUGAAAAACGUCCUGGAUUCCAACAUCACAAAAAGGCUGGUGCCAUGAAUGCGCUUGUGAGUGGCUAAACACUAUAUAUGUCGAAUGGUAUCUUGAUACUUUUAUAACUUGGAUAUAAUGGAAGUUGAAUGCUUUCUGCAGGUUCGUGUAUCAGCUGUCCUUACUAAUGGGCAAUACUUGUUGAAUCUUGAUUGUGAUCACUACAUCAACAAUAGCAAGGCUCUCCGAGAAGCUAUGUGCUUCCUUAUGGACCCAAACCUAGGAAGGAGUGUCUGUUAUGUCCAAUUCCCUCAGAGGUUCGAUGGCAUUGAUAGGAAUGACCGAUAUGCAAACAGGAACACUGUGUUUUUCGAUGUAAGCUAGCAAUAUCCUUUUAAAUACUUUUGGGCAUCUCACUUCCUCAUUUUCGUGAGCAUAAAGAAAUUUCAAUGAAUUAGUGUUGACAAUACUUGUUAUGUGAUGAACUUUUCAAGAAUUCCAGUGAAUGUGCCAGGUAAUUAUCUGUAUUUCUGCAGAUUAACUUGAGAGGUCUUGAUGGACUUCAAGGACCAGUUUAUGUGGGAACUGGUUGUGUGUUUAACAGAACUGCCCUAUAUGGUUAUGAGCCUCCAAUCAAAAAGAAAAGGCCAGGCUUCUUCUCUUCACUCUGUGGGGGAAGGAUAAAGACAUCAAAAUCUAAGAAGAAGAGCUCGGAAAAGAAGAAGUCACACAAACAUGCAGACAGUUCUGUGCCAGUAUUUAAUCUUGAAGAUAUAGAGGAAGGGAUUGAAGGUAUCAUCGAGCUGAAUUUUUUUUCAUUAGAGUAUAUGUGAUUUCAAUAUUGCUGAUUGUUGGAGACCACGAUUUUGGUGCCCAUUUAUUUACUAUUUAUCUGCUUUUAAAUGUAACAUACUGUAGACAACUAGAGUUGCCUUUCUUUAUUCCCUCAACUUUUACCUUGCACUUGUUCUAAAAAAAAAACUUUUACCUUGCACUUCACUUUCAUGAUAGGUUCUCAAUUUGAUGAUGAGAAAUCGCUGAUUAUGUCUCAAAUGAGCUUGGAGAAGAGAUUUGGCCAGUCCAGUGUUUUUGUUGCCUCUACUCUGAUGGAAUAUGGUGGUGUUCCACAAUCUGCAACUCCAGAGUCUCUUCUGAAAGAAGCUAUCCAUGUCAUCAGUUGUGGCUAUGAGGACAAAACUGACUGGGGAUCUGAGGUAAUGGUUCCUAAACUCCGAAAGUUAUAGUUUAUAAAAUCAGCAUUGCUGAUGCUCGUGCUAUUACUUGCUACUAGCAUGUACUCCCUCCAUCCCAAAUGAUUAGUCGUUUUUGUUUUUCUAGGUGCAUAGUUUUUGCUAUGCAUAUACAUAUAUGUUAUGUCUAGGUGCAUAACAAAAUCUAUGUAUCUAGAAAAGCCAGAACGACUAAUAAUUUGGGACGGAGGGAGUACAGGGAAAUAUUGAGAUAUGAAUUAAUGUUUUGUUGUCUGGUCUAUGCAUACAACUUUUGAAUUUUGUUAUAAAUAUCUACUUCUGUUGUUGCAAAUGAUCUAUUUAUUAUUCAAUUGAAGAGAGAAAAAUGUUUAUUCACUGUAAAUCUUCGAAAUGGUUAAUUGCAGAUUGGAUGGAUCUAUGGUUCUGUUACAGAAGAUAUCCUCACUGGGUUCAAGAUGCAUGCUCGAGGCUGGCGAUCGAUCUACUGCAUGCCUAAGCGACCAGCUUUCAAGGGAUCUGCUCCUAUCAACCUUUCAGAUCGUCUGAAUCAAGUGCUUCGAUGGGCUCUUGGUUCCAUUGAAAUUCUUUUCAGCAGGCAUUGUCCCAUAUGGUAUGGCUAUGGAGGACGGCUUAAAUUCCUGGAGAGAUUUGCAUAUGUGAACACCACAAUUUAUCCACUCACCUCAAUCCCACUCCUCCUGUACUGCAUAUUGCCGGCUGUUUGUCUUCUCACUGGGAAGUUCAUCAUCCCAGAGGUAAGACACAUGCAUUUAUGUACUUGUGCUGGCAGAAUUAUGAAAGAAUUGAUAUUGACUUUUCCCCCUUAUGGAAUGCAGAUUAGCAACUUUGCCAGUAUUUGGUUUAUAUUGCUUUUUAUUUCUAUCUUUGCCACUGGUAUCCUUGAGAUGAGGUGGAGUGGUGUUGGCAUUGAUGAAUGGUGGAGGAAUGAGCAGUUUUGGGUUAUUGGUGGUAUUUCUGCCCAUUUAUUUGCCGUCUUCCAAGGUCUUCUGAAAGUACUUGCUGGUAUUGAUACCAGCUUCACUGUCACCUCUAAGGCCACUGAUGAAGAAGGUGAUUUUGCGGAGCUCUACAUGUUCAAGUGGACAACGCUUCUGAUCCCUCCAACCACUAUUUUGAUCAUCAACCUGGUUGGUGUGGUUGCUGGCAUUUCCUAUGCGAUCAACAGCGGCUACCAAUCAUGGGGGCCUCUCUUUGGGAAGCUCUUCUUCGCCUUCUGGGUGAUUGUCCACUUGUAUCCCUUCCUCAAGGGUCUCAUGGGGAGGCAGAACCGCACGCCCACCAUUGUUGUCGUCUGGGCCAUCCUCCUCGCAUCGAUCUUUUCCCUGCUGUGGGUUCGCAUCGAUCCAUUUACCACCCGAGUCACUGGUCCUGAUAUCGUAAAAUGUGGCAUCAACUGCUAGAAUGGUCGAACAUAAUAGGAAUGUAAUUGGCACCCAUUGUGUUGUAAGUUAUCAGCAGGUGACACUUUUUAUUAUGGUAGGAACUCUGUUGUCAGAACUUUACUUUCGUAUGCACUAAUAUGUACCUUGGAUUUGGAUAUCGAUUAUCGAUAAGUUAAUAUCACUGCCUUGUUUGGAAGUGUCUGACAGUAUCAAUUAAUCAUGUGCGGCCCAGCAGGUUGAUUUAGUGUAUAAAUUCAAAUCUCAUCUGCCAAUAUCAAAUGCAUUAACCCUGGAGAAUCAGUUGUUGUUGCUUUGUAAAGAAGAAUUUACAGGAAUUUUACAACCACCAAUUCGCAGAUACAGUAACAAACACUGCCAUUUUACUACGUCUUUAUUAUGCAUACCCUGACUUUUUAAAUGCUGCUCAAUUCCAAUCCCUCGUACUCAUAGUUUUUGGCAGUGCAAGGCUGUGGGAUAACGGUCCCCGAUCUCCUCCAUUUUGCAUUCUGGCAGGUGCUUUCUGUGGCGCCCUUGCCGCCCUGCAUCUUCAGGUCAAUGUUCUGCAAGGUAAUGCCAUGGCAUGGGACAUGCUUACUGCACUUCAGCUUAAUGGCGUCCUCGGUAAUUGUUGUCCCCCUAAUGUUCUUGAAUACCACAUUACUAACCUCCACUGCUGAUCUCUGUUCUUUGCAUGGGUUAUUCUUGUCGCAAUAGUUCUGAUCGAUGAUUAUCGGGUUCUUGACGCUGUACAUGAUCAUGUUUUGGAAUGUGAUGUCCUUGGCAUACCCGCUUCCUCCCUGGUACGUCUUGAUCCGUGCUCCAUUGGUUGUGCCGUAUAACUGCACUGUGUCUAUGUUAAUCCCGGAGACUUCAGCUCUGGAGUUGUCAUCUCCUAAGCUUCCUAUGCUGAUUCCGUGCCCUGGUCCGCACACAACUUUCGAGACAUGAAGAUUAUGCGUCCCGUGCUCAAUUGAUAUGCAAUCAUCUCCUGCAAAAUCCACGGCAAACAAGCAGAGUAUUUGGUUAAAAAGAAACCCAAAGGUACAGUACAAAAAGCAUUUGAUUUAUGAUUUUGAGCUGUGAAGAUGUCGAUGCUACUUGCCAGUCUUGAUCUUGCAGUCCGUGACCUUCACGUCUUUGCUUCGAGUGAUGUGGAUGCCGUCGGUGUUUGGGCUCGUGUCAGGAGCAGUGAUAGACAAACGUGCCAGCUGCACAUUGGUGCAGUCUUCCACCGACACGUGGAUUUGCUGGCUGUUGACAAUUUUCAGAUCCUCCACCCUCAAAUUCGUGCAGAAGUGGAACGAGAGCGCGGUUGGAGCCUCCUUGCACGGCUGCGCAAAAAAAGUUGAGCUGGGUCAGGACACUUUCAAUUUUCAAUUUAUAACUAAUUAUCCAGGUCAUGUGAAGGGGCGGCACCACACUUACGAGAGCCUUGUUGAUCUUGCACGAGUGCGGCCACCACUUGUUGCCGUUGCCGUCGAUGGUCCCGCCACCAUUGAUGGUGAGCUUGCUGACGCUCCUGAACACGAUCCAGAGCCUCCUGUCCCUGUCGCUCCAGUCCGCCCUGUUCGGCGACGCCACCAGCGUGCCCUUCACCGCGAGCGUGACGCCGGACCUGCACGGGCCGUGGAGGGUGACGAGCUUGAGCAGGUAUCGCCUGCCACCGGGGACGAGCACGACGGCCGGCCGCGGCGAGGCGCACGCCGCCUUCCACGCCCUGGCGAGCGCCUGCGUGUCGUCGUGCCUCCCGUCGCCGCGGGCGCCGUAGCGGUCGAGGGCGAACACGCUCGAGCCCAGCGGCCUGGCCCUGGUCCCGGCGGCGGCUCCGUCGACGGAGGUGCCGUUGGUCGUGCCCGGGGCCUCUAGAGCGCCGGGCGCGAAGAGCCACGCGAGGAGAGGCGCCGCGAACACGAGACGCGACGCCAGUGUCAGAGCGGCGAGCGCGUCGCCACCGUAGCGGUCGAGGGUGAACACGCCCUGCGUCCCCGACGAGCCCAGCGGCCCGUCCCCGAUCCCGGCGUCGGCUCCAUCGGCAGAGCUGGCCAGGGAGCUCGCGCCGUCGGCCGAGGUGCCAUUGGUCGUCGUGCCGCCCGCGGACUCUAGCGCGCCGGCGGACACGACGAGCAGCGCGAGGAGAGGCGCCACGAGCACAAGACGCGGCGACGCCAUUGGCGGCAGAGCUAGCUUGUGCCAGCGAACGCAGUUGCUCUGCUUGUUGCUUUGCUUUCGCGUUGGAUUGCUGGAUGGCGUGGUGACCAAGGAGCACGCCCAUGGCAUAUAUGCGCGGGAGCUAGAGCCAUGGAAUCUGGGAGAGGUAAGGCGAGGCGAGGGGUGGUUGCGUUGCUUGCGAAGAAGAGUAACGCGGGAGAGUUAGGUUGGCAGAUGCGAGUUCCGGAAUUUGGAGUGUGCACGCAGGUGAUCGAUGCGUCGCCAUGCCCAUGUGCGCAGGUUGUGGGGGCAAAAAACAAGAACAACUUCCAGAGCAACGCAGAUGGCAGCAAAACUUGAGCCGUUGCCUGCCCGCCUCCCGUACAGCGUACUGGGCAGUGGACGCUCUCCACACUCCAGUGGUUCGGCACACCGGCCUGAUUCAAGUGACCUGAGAGGCUGGGACCUAAUAGGAAGGAUUUCUUUGACGACACAGUUCCAAGAGCUGACAAUAAGUUUAACUGCAAUGUUUCACUGCUACAAGUUUGGUAGGGCAUGCCAUAAGCAUACUACAUUAUUAGUCAAUACUGGGAACGAAGUAAACACUGGAUCCAGUGUAGAAACUAUACAUCAACUGCAAUUGCCAGCAGUUUCUUAUCCUUUACAUGGCAAUAACAGGGCUCACCCCUGCUUCAUGUGCUGUGAGCCUGUGACCUCUGAAUUGUUCUGUCACGUAGAACCUAAUAAAAGUAGAAUUAUACAAAGUAUGUUAGAACACACAUGUCUUAUCUGGUUAUAUGAACAUGUAAUCUGACAAAUCUGUGCAUACUUUUGCAGGGGCUGAAGGGGAUCAAGCCGAUUUCUUUUGCAAUGCCCAACUUCUUUUCGGCACAAUCGUAAUAUGUCUUCCGUUUUGGAACCUGAAAGUAAAUUUAGGCAUAGCCUCCACAUCAGUCAGUAAUAUAAAGUGAAUCCAAACAUGCAUUAAACCCAGAAGAAUGGUACAUCUAACAUCUCGGAAAGAAAAAGAAUCCACUAACAAAUUUUUUGACAGCUUCCAUGAUCAACUGAUAAGCAGCACCUUCUUUUCAGCCUACAGAUAGACACAGGUUGCUUUAAUGUGAAGAAAUUCUAGCUAGACUUUGAUCCCAAGUGGGUGUUAUACUGGACAAAGAACAUAUGAAAGAAUUAGAUACCGAUGAUAAAACUCGAGAGAUUGAGAUCGAGGGCGAGGGAGAGGAAGAGGGAGAGAGAUGGUAAGUGAAUUACAUCUUUGAAGAAGGGUGACAUACGAGAUGCUCCACAGGGCCAGGAGUCGGAUCAUCGUUCUCAAACUCAGAUUUCCAUUCAAAUCUAAACAAGGUAUACUUUCCUUCAUAAUACACUUCCUUCAAAGCCUCUUUAAAAUUCAUCUAAGCAGUGAAGGAAAUAAAAGUUUUUUUCAUCAAGCACAUAAAGCUGGAAUAAAUGGAAAAGAAGGAGCAGCGCAAGUUCAUUAAUUCAGUGUAUUCAGGCAAUAAUUUUACCUUUUGCUUAGCAACCUUCUUCCAAACUCUCAAUUUUUGAACGCUAAACAACAAACAGCUUAAGGACGUGACGUGUGAAACUUCAUAGCAUCAAAUACAUUACAAUAAACAACGCUGAUUUAUCACAACAGACAAUUUUGGGAUGUUUACCUUACAUGAGUUGUCUGUAAGGAAGAAAUCCAUCAACCGUGCAUGCCAUAAAGGGCAAUCAGACCAUGACAACAUAUGACUAGAAUUUUGCAAUUGGUCACAUCAUGCAGAACUUAGUGUUACUUAGUAACUUUUCCCAUAACUGGACAAAUUCUUGGUCACCCUCAAGCGUACUACAGGCUUUUCGGUAAUCUUCCCACUCCUCAUACUCCCCCUGUACAAUGAAAACGUUACCUAGCACACUCAUUGCUAGCAACCUCGUACAUGUCAUCAAUGCCAUUCCAGAGAAGUACUAUAUAUCCGGUGCCAACCUAUCACCUAUGACUAACCGGUGUGAUGUAAUUUCCUAAAGUUCUUUCUUUAAGUAUAUCCAGUGCCAACCUAUCUAGAAAUGAACAGAACUAUUUCCAAAAGUUCUUUCCUGUGAAGUUCUAAACAAAUAUGGUAAUGAAACACCAACAAGAACAGAAAGCACCUUAAACUAAUUAAUUAUAAGGAACAUAAUUGAACAAUGAAACUUGCAUACAGCCGAAUGCUACCUACAUUAUUACGAAGCAUAAGCCGCUGGUAGUCUUGGAAGCGGGCAUAGUUGCAGUAUUGAGGAUCAAAGUACCAGUCAAAUUUGUGCUCAUACGACUUAAAGUACCCGUUGUCUUCAAGAACAUUCGGUGGGUAGAUCGCUUUCAGAUUUGCUACGUCAAUUUCCCGACAUUCAUCCUUUAUCUACAGAUAUAAGGCACACAAAGCAAAUUAAAACACAUACCAGAGAAGAUGCUUCAAACUAAAAUAAAAAAAAGGAUAAAUUUGUAUGAUCUUGUCACCACAUCUGAACAUCUGAUGCUCUGAUGAUAACAGAUACCGACCUCAUGAGCUCUGAUCCGGCACAAGGCGAGCCGUUGGUUCAUCUCCCGGCGCUGUUUGUCAUCGCAGUGAACCCAGAAACGAUCGUCGUCGUUAUCGGGGAGGUCACGGUUCAACUGCUGAAGAUACCAAUCGAUCUUCUCGUCGAGUUCAUCCUGGCCCCAAUCAAGGCCUUCGAGUUGCUCCGGCCGUUCUUUGGCAAUAAUCAUGGCAGAACAGCGUCACCCUCUUCUUCGGCCUCGCCGAUAUCCCCGGAGGCGGAGGUCGGUGUGCUUUGGAUCUUUGUCUUCUUUUGACCGGUCCAUGCGCUUGUUACCUCCAUCUGCCGCCGCAUCUCCCUAACCUAAUAUUCCAAGCAGGAUCGCCAGACCCUAACCUGCCCUGCCGAUGCGAUUCGAGCCGAACCCUGGGAUUGGUUUUGGCGAUGCAGAACAGAAUUGAAGAGGCGAGGGGCGGCCGGGUCGCGGAGUACGCUAGCAAAGCAAGCUGCACAUCUCGGGGGCUCGUGGCUACUUUCUUUCACUUUUGGGCCCAAAUGAAGGCCCAAGUACGAGAACCCAUCAAUAGUCCCUUGGUUGACGUGUUACCAUCGAUGCACGGUCCAGUCAACCACGGAUCGAUAGACGGUCUCCGUCUAUAGACGGUUGUUGGGAGACAGCAGGGAAGUAUACUCACGUACUUUCACUUUUCUUUCUAUCUUUUAUUUAUUUAUUAAAAAAGGCUACUCUCACUUUUCGUGUGUAGGAGAAAUGAUUACUAACGCCACCAACCCAAAUGAAGGCCCAACUCCCAAGUACAGCCCAGCCCAAGUCCGCGGAUCUAACUGAAGUCGUCGUAUGCUUGCUUCUUUGUCUGGGUUUCGUGGCAGUCAGUUGCUUUGGGAUUCCUGCACAUGAGCUGUUUUCUUAACUUUCAUAUAAACCUCCAGGUUUAAAUGCAACAAUAAUGAUGCUUCUAUAAAAGAAUAUAUAUACAUGAAUGUGCUACAGGGGCUGCUCAGUUGCAGCUACCUGCCGCCUAGUUUCGUUUUGGGAGGUGCACGGUUGUGGAAGGACGGUCCCGGCUUUCCUCCACUUGGCGUUCUGGCAGGUGCUCUCCGCGGCGCCGUUGCCGCCCUCCAUCCUCAGGUCGAUGUUCUGAAGGGUGAUGCCAUGGCACGGUGCAUUCCUGCUGCAGCUCAGCUUGAUGGCGUCCUUGGUGACGGUCGUCCCCCUGAUGUUCCUGAAGACCACGUUGCUGACCUCCACUGCCGACCCCUGCUCUCGGCACGGCUUCGCCCUGUCGCAGUAGCUCUGGUCGAUGAUGAUCGGGUUCUUGACGCCGCCCAUGACCAUGUUCUGGAACGUGAUGUCCCUGGCGUACCCGCUUCCUCCCUGGUAGGUCUUGAUGCGUGCUCCGUUGGUCGUGCCGUACAGCCGCACCGAGUCGACGGUGAUGCCGGAGACCUCAGCGCGCGAGUCGUCGUCUCCUAAGCUUCCGAUGCUGAUCCCGUGCCCCGGGCCGCACACGACUUGCGAGACGUGAAGGUUGUGCGUCCCGUUCUCGAUGGAGAUGCAGUCGUCUCCUGCAAAACCCAACCAAAAUUUAGUAACUAAGAACAACUAACCUUUCAUAUGAUUUUUGAAUGAUUAUGGAUGUACUGAUAAUACUGCUCACCAGUCUUGAUCUUGCAGUUCGUGACCUGCACACCGUUGCUGCGGGUGAUAUGGAUGCCGUCGGUGUUAGGGCUCGUGCCAGGAGCGGUGAUGGACAGGCCUGCCAAUUGUACGUUAGUGCAGUCCUCAAUGGACAUGUGGAUCUGCUGGCUGUUGACGAUCUUCAGAUCCUGCACUCUCAAACUCGUGCAGUAGUGGAACGACAAAGCCGUUGGGGCCUCCUUGCACGGCUGCAAACAUAAAAACAAAGUCAGUCAGUUAGUUGAGCUGUUUAGGUUAUCAUGACACUUUCCAACAGCAAUUUACGACCAACGACACCGAUCGUACGUACGCGGCAGCACCGUGCUUACCAGAGCCUUGUUGAUCUUGCACGAGUUCUUCCACCACGUCUCGCCGUUGCCGUCGAUGACGCCGCCGCCGUUGACGGUGAGCCCGUCGACGGCGCGGAACACGAUCCAGUGCCUCCUGUCCCUGUCGCUCCAGUCGGCCCGGUUCGGCGACGCCACCAGCGUGCCCUGCACCGUGAGCGUGACGCUGGCCGACCUGCACGGCCCGGAGAGCUUCACGACCUCGCUGAGCAGGUAGCGCUUGCCACCGGGGACGAGCACGACUGCCGGGCGCGGCGAGGCGCAGGCCGCCUUCCACGCGUUGGACAGCGCCUGCGCGUCGUCGUGCGUCCCGUCGCCGCGGGCGCCGUAGCUGUCCAGGCUGAACACGCCGCUCUGCGCCGCCGCCAGCGAAGACCCGGCCAUGGCGGCAGCGCCUAGAGCACCGGACGAGACGAGCAGCGCGAUGAUCGGCGCCAGGAACACGAGCUGCAGCCUGGUGGACGCCAUUGCCAGAGCUAAUGAACAAGGUCACAGGAGGAGGCUUUGAGCUUACGCAGCUGCACAAGUAGUUGCGGUUCCUGCUCGAGCAGCUUGCUGGUGGUGUUGGAUUGGAUGUUGUCCAUGGAGCGGUGGUCCUAUUUAUACGAGUUGGAGAGAUGCAAUGGAGGCGCGUGCGCGCGCUGGACUCCUGGAGCUGGCCGGCGGGGGAGGAAAGCAAAGGCCGGGGUUGUGUUGCGUGCGAAGAAUCAGAGUCACAUGCAGGCAGGAGGAGGGUUAGGCCCAGAACUUGGAUAGAGCAGGAGCCUGUGCAGAUUUCAGAUAGCUAGACGCGGAUGAAGAACGCACGCACCCUGAUCGAUACAUGCAUGCGUGCUGGUAGACGCAAGCUCGUUUCGAUCAGCUAGCAGACGUAGAAAAAAAAAUGUGCCUGAAUCGUGUCUCCAGCAUGCAUGUUUGUUUGUCAUGGCAAAGAUUGAAGGAAAAGUUCGCAGAUUUGCCUGCCUGCUUGAUCGUUUAAAAUCCUCUCUAUUUGGCGUAGACACUCUCUGCAGAUGCACGCACACGAGCAUGCUGGUUCAGUUCAGGUGAAGCUGAGGAGCUGCCGUGCUGGAUACUGGCCCGUACGUCCAUCUAGAUCUUCAGACAGCGACGACGGGCGUAUCGUGUGAAGAUCUUGCUCAGAGACAGAUGGUCACGUCAGAACUGAAGCUGCUGCUGCCGCUACCUCAGCUCACGUACGUGCUCACCCCAGGCCGGCCGGACGCAGACGACGAGGUAUCACGUCGUGACGCCAAUCGUGCGGCGGUGGUUGCUCCUUCCGGCGCACGAAAAGCGGAGGAUCAAGCCGCCGGCCGGUCGGAACCGCCGCCCGGCCGGGAGGCCACCGACGUGCGGGACGGAGCCCUCAUCAUGCAAGCUUAAGUACCGGUAGUUGGCCCUGCCGGUCAUCUAGCUAAGUUGCAAAAGGAUGCAGGUAGCUAGUACCGAGUCUGGUGCUGACACGUCGCGAUCGUCGAUGGUAGCCGUUAUCAUGCAUCAUUAGGCUCCGAAAGGUACGUACGUGCAUUUAAGUUUUAUUGUUUGUAGAUCGAGGCUGAAAACUUUUCAGUCAGUGUCAUGCUUAGUUGCACAGGCCGGGCUAGCUCAUCGAUCCCCCAUGUAGUGAGUGACCUUUCACUUGACACAUGUAGGAUGCAACGUAACUCCAUCUCCAUGCACCGGUCCGAUCGUGUUCGUCUGGUCGUGUUUGUAACACGGCACACGAAAGAAUCGAAGGGCAAGUGACCCGACCGAGUUCGGCAACAAGACUAUGGAUGACGGAUUGGUUCAUUGGUUUGGCUGAUUAGGAUUAAUAAUUAAUCGCGUGCACGAAACUACAGAUUACGCAAGCACCAGCAUCAUCGGGAUCGACUAAUUACACGCCCGUGCAUGCAUGCUUAGGUGUCGCGCGUGCGUGCGUUCAGCGUCCGUGACAGGGACGCACGCGCGUAUAUAUCUCGCCAACUAAUAAUCCACCAAGGGUGCACGGUGGCCGUGCACGUGAACAAACAAGCUAGCUCGCUCCAACGACUCUACACAUAUGAGCAGAGCACUCCUACUUGAACGAUGAGACGUGUACGGUGUGGUAUGCUAGCUCUUAACGCAUUUCAUUCACGUACGAGUAGUGGGUGUAUACACAUUCGUCUAUAGCCACUUUCACCAUCAGUAUAUCACUGUGCGUAUAUCCGCAUACUCAUUUAUCACUUUGAGUAUGUUCAUAUACUAAUUCUAAGAUACGUCAAAAGGAUAUAUAAAAAAAUUUAAAUACACCCCUAUUUUUUAAAUAUAUUAUAAUUAUACCUUAGUACUAGUAUAUAAAAAUUAGUAUGUCCACAUACUAUAUGUAUGGUCACAUUCUCAACGUAUAUACCAUCGUAGAUAUUCUAGUAUGAUCACAUACUUCACGUACACGCUCUUCGUUGGGUCAGAUACGUCUUACGUCAUGAGAUACACAUGUAAAAGUAGAUACAAGUACGUGUAGAAUGGAUUAUAUAUAUAUUGGUCAAGGGAUAAUAAAAUUGAUCCUUUAUUUCGAAAAAAAUGAUAUAAUUGAUCCCUCUACACUACUUUAUUAGGUAACUAAUUUUCCGUUCGGGAAAGAAAAGAUGACGAGAUCGACAUUAUAUUUGAUGAGUGUGAUAGAUUAUUGCGUCCGCCGUGCUGACUCACCGAUGAUCGCUGACGUCAGUUUUCUGCCUUCCGGACCCACCCUGAUGCACCAACCUAGAGAAGAAUGGAAAUUGCCACAAGCUAUCGUCACUAGAAUUUGAUCGGUAUACGUUCAGUACUCCCUCGGUUCAAAAAUACAAGACCUAGCUAUUUGGCCAACCAAACCUUGUGGAUAUGAAGGAGAUGGAAUGGAAUCUUUCUCUUCUUUUUUUAAAAAGAGUGGAAUGGAAUCUUUCAUGCGGAAUUGUACGUCUGCUCCCCCCACCCACACACACACACACUAUAGCAGGACUUCUCCUGAAAACCUGAAACUGAAUGGAGCAACAUGACAACUCGGACAGAACAAAUGGCCUCGCAUAUACUGAAGCCUGAAGGGGAUGAAAUUAGAGCUGGCCGGGGCUCUUCCCAACCGCCAAUCGCAUACUGAUGAUACUGACAGUGAUAUGAAAAGCAUCCAAGUCUGCCAUGGGUCUGUGGCUGGCCAUCAAAGUAUGUACCUUGUCCAAAUUCCGAAAAUAAAACCACUUUGCUGUGCUGCUCUGCUCCGCCCCUUUUGGCGUCGCUCAUCAAAGUUCAGUUGUCCCAAUGGCCUGUAGCCUGAAAAUGAAACCGGAGCUGUUACUGCUGUCGGCAUGCCCCAACAUACUGUAUCAUCGACUCAAUCUAAAGAAUCGGAUGGACCUGAUCUCACCUGAGCAAGCACACUCGUGCGCUGCCGGACGUGCAAAUAAACGGCAGCGAGCGAGCAGGCAAAUUACAUGCGAUCGAGGAUUCGCGUUAUGGGAAGAGAAACCUGCAGUUGGAGGAUCGACUCAGGCACAUCUAUCUCCCUGCCAUGCCGCAACGACCAAGCUGAUGAGCAGGCAACGCGACAGGAGCAGCUGCGCCAGCUCAAAGUCUCCGGGCGGUUACCUUGCUCCCUCUAUCAGACUGCAAGCUGCUACUUACUCGACCGCCGCCUUGCCCAUCGUACUCGUAGCUCUGCCAAUGGCGUCGCGUCUUGCGGUGUUGCUGGCGCCUCUAGCUCCUGCGGCUGCGGCUGCGGAAGCAAAGGCGCCGGCGGCCAUGUUAGCGGUGCCGCGGCGGACGAGGACGCGCCGGCGCGGCGAGGUCCUCGGCAUUUGCGACCCGCGUGCUGCGCGUCCAGAAGCCGGUCGACCUGAAUGGGUCGGAGCCUCGGAGCCAGGCGUUGCGUUCUGCGCGUCAGGACGGCGGCGGCGGGAAGGACAGUGCCCGCGGGGACGGGGAACCGACCGGUCCACCCCUGGGGCCACAUGAUCCGUCGAAUCGAGAACAUGCGGCGGAUCCGACCCCGUGGGGGCCACUGCCAGCGUCGCGUGGGCCGAUGUACGGCUGCAUCAGCUCGGCCCAGUCUACUCCCGAGGCCCAGAAAAUGAAGCCGGUCUUUUUUCACAGGCGCGGCACGGCGGCAAGCAGCUCCGACGUCGCGGCCAGGCCACGCGGCGGAGGCGCCGCGGUGAGCCAGCCGUCCCCAAGCGCAGCAACAUGGUGGUGUGGCGCUGCCGCAGAGGAAGGGGACGGACUUCCUCAAAAAAAAAAAAAGAAGGGGACGGAGGGCCUGGAGUCCACCUGACCACGAGCGGCGGCGUUGACUCGACGAGACAACCCAAGAGGUUACGACGGCGAGGCGGCAAGCACUGUGCUCUGCCAUUUUCAGCCGUGGCGUGCCUCUCCUCACCAGCAUAGACACUGCAGCACCAAUUGCUGCCAACUGCUGUGGACGGAAACUUCUUUGCAGAUCGUGAACUUAUGCAGUAUAUCAUCUGAAAGUUCUGAUCUGAACCGCCCCCACUGAAAUAAAAAUAAAAAUUGUUUGGGAAACAACCUCCCAAAGUCCAGCUUUGAUUGGUACCCUCAACCAUCAUCGACGGAUGAGAAGAUGUUAAAACAUACUCCGACAGGCAACGCCAGUAAACAAUGAAACAGCAUCGAAUUUCUUUUGUUAUGAUGACUCCGCCGGAAUCACCGAGACCAGCAGCAUGAUGUACGCGGCCCACACGCUCUUGACCACCGCCCUGACGAAGGCCGACGCGCGUCGUCAGGUUUUUGGUGCGGCGCGUCGAGACGUACGUGCGGGACCGGGGGUGGCGUGCCGGCGGCCGGGAUAUCGGCGGUAACGUGUUCCGCCGGCGGCGGAGAAGGGGGCCGGGAGCGCUGCCGCCAUGCUCCGGAGUCCAGCUGGAGUCGGAAUCCGAGUUGACUGAGGGCCAUUAACUUCCUUCACCACGCGGAGCAGGGCCUGAUCGAAGAAUGGACCUCUCAUCUCUGCGCCUCUGGACGGAACAAAAAUGUGGAGGACGGCGGCGGCGGCGCAGCGACCGUCGGUGACCUUGAGCACAGCCGUCCGAGUUCACGGGGGCUUUUGCAAAUAUUGGACCCAGAAGUUUUCAGAAAGACCCCUGAAUUGGAUCGCGAUCCUAAUCAGAGGGUAUUUUGAAAAUAUAGAAUCCAAUAUUUACAAAAUAACCCUUAAAUCGGGUCGCGAUCCGAUCCAAACCGGGGGUAUUUUGAAAAUAUUUCAUCCAAUAUUUAUAAAACGACCCCUGUGUCGGAAAAUUCUCCGGGGCGGCGCCGGAGCAGCCGGCCCGAGCCCGCGCCGCCGUGCGCUCCAUACGAGCCUCUGCAGACAUCCGCUCGCCUACGCCUAGACGUUCCGGCUCCAUGCGCUCGCUGCUCACAGUCCGGCUCCUCCGGAGAUUCUGCCGUCGCGGCGGCGGCGCGGAGGGAGCCGCGUGGCCUGCAGCCCUGGGACGGCGAUGGGCCUUCUACAUACAGGUCACGGAGGCGGUUGUCCAGGCCAGCUUUUGCUCCGGCAGAUACUGUAGCGGUGGGCUGCGUGGACUGGGGAUAUCUGGCGGCAGAGGGAGCAGAGCAGACGCUCCGGCCCGCCGUCACGCCCUCGUCUGAGAGGCCUGGACGCCACCCGCGGAGGAGCGUCCGAGGAGCGGCGAUGCUCGGGCCUAGAUCGCCGGUUCCUCCCUACGAGGCGCGCACCAGCGCGUGAGACAUGCGAGGCAGCACAGCUCAGGAACAGACGGUACGAAGCUCAGGCCGUGCAGAAAGGGAAAAUCAAAUCACCCAAGGGAUGAGCAGUUAGUGAGGUGCCAGCAGACAGGUGUUGCAAGAGUGCUUGUUGAUGGGUUUAGAUCGCAAAAGGUUUUACAAACACAAGCUUCUGAUCGAGCUCUUGCGUUUUUCAAACACAAAGCAACAGGUUCAGCAUCCACUGAACUGUUAGCUUGGAACACUGUCAACCCUGUAUUUGUUAAUUGGUUCCUGCAACAUUCCUGUAUAUUUGUCAAGCCUGCAACUAAUGCAUGGAUGAUGUGGUUAGUCAAAAUGGAACAUUACAAAAGCUUCCAAAAGAACUCGAGACAAUCUGAACUCUGUAAUGAACUAAAGCUUCAUUAUUCAUGCAAAUUACAAGGUAAAUCAGAACUGUAAGACUUCAUAUUGCCACACACUGUUCCUGAACACUUCCCAGAGAAAUGUGUACUCUCUACUGCAACUCCAGUUAUAUACAGCUGACAGACUGAUGCAGAAACCACAGUGCUCUACCUAAGGAGCUAAGUUUAAUCAGCAACCUAAAAGAAUUUUACUUUUACACCUCGGCUUCAGCCGAUCUUCUCCGUGUUGGUGUCAUCGGUUGGCCAGAUGACCGUCUCCAUCAGCCGCUCCCGCAUCAGCAUCAGGUUCUCGUCGGAGAUCAUCUCGUACAUCUUUCCAUGGUCACAUUUCUGACAGCAAUCCAGAAUCAAAACGUCAGUCUAUAGCUGAACUACUGGGCAGCAGGUUGGUUGGCAAUAGACAGACUACACGGGCAGUGAUUCCAUUCCACCAGUUACCUUUAUCCAUUUCCCAUACAGGUGAAGUCUGGUUAUCAUCACCCGUUCUGCAAGCUCCUGUCUCUCCUGAAUGACAACAAAGCCAGCAAUUGUAUGAGCUUGAUUUGCAGGAGUACAAGAUCAUGUGCAGCAGGGUAUCAGUGGAUUUAUCUCUGUACUACCUUGCUGAGAGCACGAAGGAACAGCUUGCCAUCAGUAGGUUUGUUGACAGCAACGAAGCUGUGGCAGAACAAGAACAUGUUUAUUAUGCAACCGUGAGCUGAAUUCGUACGUGAAAAUGAAUAGAUCGACGAUAUGUGGUAGGACAGAGAGAAUUCUUGCUAUUACUUACUUGUAAAACCAACGGUAGCUUGGUGGGUUCAUCUCGUAGAGCUGGGUCAGCACGGUCCUGACGGCUUUGUAGGUGAAGUAGUUCAUCAGUUGCUGCAAGCAAAAAAAAAAAAGGAGCAGGAAGUUCUAUUCAGUAAUCAUACACCAGGAGAAAUGAACAUCUAAUUUUCAUUGGAAACAGGAGGUUUUAUCUUGGUAAUUAAGCUAAAUCAUAGCAGAAUCAAAACAUGUUUAUGUUCAAGACGAAGAAGUGUAAGACCUGCUUGACAGGUAAUUAAGGCAAACUACAGUAGCAGACUAGCAGCACAACGUACCAGCUGGACGUCAUCAAAGGUAUCCUCGUACUGCCCCCCGAGGUUGCAGACGAUGCCGAGCCCGCCCCUGCUGCUCCGGCCCUGCCUGAGGGCCCUGACCGAGCAGGACGGCCGGCGAGGCCUCCUCCUCCAGUCGCCCGCGAACAAGCUGGCGGUACUCACCGCCGAGCCGCCCGAGGCAGCGGCCCCCUCGCGCCUUCUCCUCAGCGCGGCCACGCCCCCUUCCGCCCUCACGUCCACCGCCGCCGGCAUCAUCUGAACUCCGGCCAUCCUUUCUCUAUCUUGUCUUCAGACAACUUUGUUCCUUCCGACCAAUCUAGUCCGGCUUCAGGGGAGCAGCCGCGGCGGCGGUGCGGUAUAAAAAAAACCGAGUGGCGCAAGGGGGAAGAAGACUUGUAGUGCCGUUUGGCCUCCUCCCCCAAUUCUCCCUGCCCUCGUGGCUGGCUGGCCUUCCUGCCUGCAACCCUCACCAACCAAAUUUUCUGAGGCCCAGGUCGCGUGCAGCCUCAGCCUUGUGUUUGGAAAACCUCGGCCGUCAGCGCCACCGCUCGCGACACGCGGAGGCCACCCGUUGGCCGGCCAUGGUCCCGGCGAGGGGAAACGGGAAUUCCCGGGGGCUGCCCCUUGUGUCAUCGGCGCGUCCACGGCGAGGGUCGUUACCGGCUGGUUCGGCGGACCUGAAACAGAAGAUGGGACGCAACUUGGCAGGUUCCGGGACGACGCCACGGCAGGGGCAGGUCGCUGUGCGCGGCGGGGCUUGUGCUUUCGGGUCGUAGCCGGCCGGCGUGGCGACGACUUGGAGCACGGGAUUCCUGAUUCCGGGGCCAAGACGUGCACGGUGCACGCUGGGUUUCUUGCACGAACGAGCAAGCUCUCGACGUGGUCAAGGCUGCAAACGUACGAGAUCGAGCACGAGCAUGGACUCCAAGGUCGUCCGAACAGAGCAGCGAGCAAGGAAGCAACGAACGGAUGGCGACCUAUAGGGUUUCCGGGGAAAUCGACCUAUAGGGUGCCCAGGCACGUAAAACAAAACUUAAUAGAUUUUUUACAAUCAAAGGGAGAAAACCCUUACUGCGAGGAGGUGGCUGUCAGGGCCAAAGGGCAACUCCACCUUUUCCCUGUGCAGCGCUACCCAAAACCCGCCUCUUCCGUCGGGCCUCGCAUUGUCAGGGUAGCCUGGCAGAUCGGCCAGCGUCUCCGAUGUGCCAGCCUUUGGCCCGGUGAUCCAGUACCUGAGCAACUUGCACGGUCCGAUCAGCGCAACCACGAGGUGAGUCCUGUCGGCGCUCAUGGCGAGGCCGUUAGGGUACGUGAUGCCGGACUGCAACACGGUGACGCGGUCCGUGCUCGGGUAGUAUUUCAUGAGGCGGCCGGUCGAGUCCCCGGCGUUAGUACAUUGGAUCGGCUGCUGCGCGAUUAGAUUAGAAAAUGUUGUGUACUGGUUCUUUAAACCGAGUGAGAGAGAGAGAGGGAUAAGGGGCACGGAAUAUACCUUCGUGCCCUUGCGUCGCAGCCGAUGUAGCCGUACCCGCCAUGAUCGUGCAGCGCAGGAGCUCGCGGUGGCCGAGGGUGUGGUCGCGUCCGUGGGUUCGGGGUCGAGGCGAAGGCGCAGAAGAUGGCUGGAGGUGCUUCCCGUCGCUACUACGCUCACUUUAGAUCGGCUAGGGUUGCAAUGUCCGGUGGGGUGGCGGCGGCGGUGAUUCUCGUAUCGUGUGCCGCUGGCCCCCACCUGUCCUUUAUAGCGCAGCGCGACGGGGGCCCACCAGCUAGGAAUGAGCUAGGGCGCCCCCGAUCAGGGCGCAUAGGUGACGAGGCCCAUUAGGAUCCGAUGGUCUAGAGAGAUCAAAACUAACAGUCUCCCCCUUGAUCUCACCUUGUAUUUUUCUUUUUCUUUUACUUUUUCGCGUUUCGUCAUAGAUUUGUGUAUAGAGCAUGCCUCAUCGUCACGAUCAUCAGUCGAUAGAUUUAGCAGCUACAAUUCACGCUUCCAUUCAGAGACAGAUUUUUUUAACCUUUUGGCCCUUGUAGUCCAAAGAUCACAGGCUAUCCCUUAGCCCCAUGCCGGCUACGUGUUCCUUGAACACGCUGGUGGUAAGCCUUUCGUUAGCGGAUCCGCAAGCAUUUUUACUGUACUUAUAUACUCGAGAUUUAUAAUCUGAUCUCGGACUUUAUCUUUCACAACAUAAUAUUUUAUAUCUAUGUGUUUGGCAGCACCACUUGUCUUUUUGUUGUGUGCAUACAUUACUGUGGGCUCAUUAUCGCAGUACAACUGUAAUGGUUUAGAUAUAUCAUCAACCAUUCUCAGACCGGGUAUGAACUUCUUUAGCCAGUUCACCUGCCCUGUAGCCUCAUAACAUGCAACAAACUCGGCAUACAUUGUGGAUGAUGUAGUGACGGUUUGUUUACAACUUUUCCACGAUAUUGCUCCCCCGGCAAGGGUGAACACAUAUCCUGAUGUGGAUUUUCUGUCAUCUCCUACAUAAUCAGAGUCUGAGUAUCCUACGAUACGCGGAGAUUCUGUUUUUCUGUAUGUUAACAUGAGGCCUUUGGUUCCUUGCAAAUAGCGCAAAACCUUCUUUACUAACUUUCAGUGUUCUUGUCCUGAAUUACUCUGGAAUCUGCCAAGCAAUCCGGUGACGUAAGCUAUAUCAGGGCGUGUGCACACUUGUGCAUACUUCCCACAGCAGAAGCAUAUGGUACCAUUUUCAUUUGAUCAAUUUCAUAUUGAGUCUUGGGGCAUUGAAAUUCCCCAUAUCUGUCGCCCUUAACUAUAGGUGCAGGUGAGGCACUGCAUUUAUGCAUGUUAAAUUUCUUUAGCACCUUUUCUAUAUAUAUCUUUUGAGACAGUCCUAAUACCCCUUUCAAUCUGUCUCGAUGAAUCUCGAUUCCUAGAAUGAAUCUAGCUUCACCAAGAUCUUUCAUCUCGAAAUGCGAGGAUAAAAUCGUUUUCAUUUCUAGUAGCAGACUGACGUCACUACUCGCCAGUAGGAUGUCAUCCACAUACAGGAUUAGGAAGAUAUACUUCCCAUUCUUGAACUUUGCGUAAACACAAUUGUCCUCAACAUUUUCUUUGAACCCGAAUUCUUUUAUUAUUUUAUCGAACUUCAAGUACCACUGUCUUGAAGCUUGCUUUAGCCCAUAAAUCGAUUUCUUCAAACGGCAUCCCAAUUUUUCUUUACCUUCCACGACAAAACCUUUCGGCUGUGCCAUGUAGACGGUUUCAUCUAAGUGCCCAUUCAGGAAUGUUGUCUUCACAUCCAUCUGAUGUAAUUCUAGGUCAUAAUGUGCCACAAGAGCCAUUAUAAUUCUGAAAGAAUCUUUACAUGAGACUGGAGAGAAAGUCUCAUUGUAAUCAAUUCCUUCUCUUUGUGUGUAUCCUUUUGCCACGAGCCGUGCUUUAAAUUUAUCUAUAUUCCCUCGGAAGUCAUAUUUGGUUUUGUAGACCCAUUUGCAGCUUACUGUUUUGGCUCCUUUAGGAAUUUUCUCUAAGUCCCACACUUUGUUGGUACUCAUCGAUUUUAUUUCGUCUUUCAUGGCAUCAAGCCAUUUUGAUGAGUAUUCACUUCUCAUUGUAAUCAAUUCCUUCUCUUUGUGUGUAUCCUUUUGCCACGAGCCGUGCUUUAAAUUUAUCUAUAUUCCCUCGGGAGUCAUAUUUGGUUUUGUAGACCCAUUUGCAGCUUACUGUUUUGGCUCCUUUAGGAAUUUUCUCUAAGUCCCACACUUUGUUGGUACUCAUCGAUUUUAUUUCGUCUUUCAUGGCAUCAAGCCAUUUUGAUGAGUAUUCACUUCUCAUGGCUUCUUCAAAUGAGGUGGGAUCAUCCUCCAUUUGAAUUUCUUCGCUAUUAUAGACUUCAUAGUCGUUAGAAAUAGCGGGCUUUCUUAUUCUUUGAGGUCUCCCAUGAGUCUGAGCUUGCGGUGCCUCAUCUAUUUGGGGCUGCUGUUGCUCCCCUUCUUGUGUGGCAUUGGGUUCGUCAGGAGCCUAAUGAAUAGGUUCCACUUCCUCAUUCACCGUUACCACAGGAGGAGCCACUACAGAUGUUGGCAUCGCAGUGACUUGCACUGGCGGUGCAGAUACAGUGGGCAGCGAGAAGAAAGAAUCCUGAAUCACGAGAUUGUGUGUAUACACCCGCUUCUCUUCAAGAUCAACCUUCCUAGCUGUGCCGCUCCCCCGGAUCAUUUGAUCUUCAAGGAAGACUGUGUGUCUCGUUUCUAUAAAUUUUGUGGAUCUGUCUGGGCAGUAGAAACGAAAACCCUUUGACCUUUCUGGAUAGCCAAUGAAAUGGCAAGAUACUGUUUUGGAGUCUAGUUUUGCAAUGGUCGGGUUAAAUACUUUUGCCUCAGCAGGACUCCCCCACACCUGUAGAUGAUUCAAUGAGGGUACUCUACCUGUCCACAUCUCAUACAGUGUUUUCGACACCGAUUUACUAGGGACUCUAUUGAGAAUAUGAAUGGCAGUUUUCAAGGCCUCCAUCCAUAAAUUCACUGGCAACAUAGAGUAGCUGAUCAUGCUUCGCACCAUAUCCAUUAGGGUACGAUUACGUCUCUCAGCCACUCCGUUCUGCUGAGGUUCGCCCGGCAUCGAGUACUGGGAAACUAUGCCUUGCUCCAUCAGGAACUUCGCAAAAAGUCCUGCAACUUGGCCAUACGGGGUAUGUCGACCGUAGUAUUCCCCUCCACGAUCAGAUCUUACGAUUUUAAUCUUUAAAUCGUGUUGAUUUUCUAUUUCAGCUUUGAAUAUUUUAAAUUUAUCCAAUGCCUCAGAUCUUUCUUUAAUUGGAUAAAUGUAUCCAUAACGGGAAUAAUCACCAGUGAAUGUUAUGAACGAGUCAUAGCCAUCCACACUCUUUACAUUGAACGGAUCACAGAUAUCUGUGUGAAUUAUCUCCAAUACACCUGUGCUCCUCUUAGCAUUUUUCUUUAUUUUCUUUACGAAUUUUUGUUUUAUGCAUUCAAUGCAAUGUUCUAAGUCAGAAAACUCUAAUGGAGGAAGAAUUUCAUUUUUAAUUAAUCUCUCUAUUCUCCCCCUCGAAAUAUGGCCUAAUCGACAGUGCCAUAAUUUCGACGACGCAUCUUGAGUUCUCUUCCGUUUUCUAUUCGCGAGUGUAGACGUGAAUACAUUCGCAUUGUUAUCGUAUACGGAAUUCACACUUUCGCGUAACGAUAUCAAAUAAAGAUCAUUCUUUCUGAAUGCAAUGGAAAUAACUGUAUCAUUACAUUCGAUCAAACACCUGCCAUCUCCAAAUAGACAGGAAUAACCAUCUUUAUCCAGGCAAGACACACUAAUUAAGUUUCUGUGUAAAGAAGGUACAUAUAAAACAUCUCUAAGAACUAUAAUAAAGCCAGUGUCGAGUUCCAAAUGAACGUCUCCCACUGCUUCAACGUCUGCUUGGGCUCCAUUUGCCACUCUAACUUGCUUUUCGUUUCUUUGAGUGGUUCUCGUCGAAUGGAAUCCCUGCAAUGAAUUUGCAACAUGAAUAGUUGCUCCUGAAUCAAUCCACCAAGUGGUUUUUGAAUAUUCUAUAUACAAGAAUUCAUUUACAAAUGAAAUAAUGUUCUCAGCUCUCUUUUCCAUGAUCAUCUUUAAAUAUCGGUGACAGUUUUUCUUGUAGUGACCCCUUUCUUUGCAGUAGAGACACUGAUCCUUCUCUACUAGAGCCUGUCCUUCUUGAGGUCUGUGUUGAUGAGAGCCUUUGCCUUUAGAAGAGGAUGAAGAAGAAGAUGAAAAAUUGUCUUUGUAAUUGGCAUUCUUCUUCUUAUUCACGUAGUUUAAAGAUCCACCAGUGGUGGAUUUUAUCCUUUCCUUCUCCUGAACACACAUCGCAAUGGUCUUUUCUAUGUCCCAAGUAUGUGGUUGGGUGUUAUAAUUGACAACAAAUGUGUCAAAUUCUUUGGGCAACAAAGCAAAAACCAAAUGGACAAUGUGAUCCUCCUUGAAGGCAAGGUCCAAUGACUUAAGCUUGUUAUUCUGGUUGACCAUGCGAUGAAUGUGUUCCCUGAUGCCACCACCAUUGUAUCUUUCUGAGACCAGUUGUUUAAUUAACUGGGUUGCAUAAGGCUUUGAAGAACCAGUGUACUGGUUCUUUAAUUUCUCAAGAUACUCUGUGACAGUGGCACAAUCUGUGAUUGAGCCCAUAAUUGCAGGCUCAAUCGUGUUCUUUACCACUGCCAAGCACUUCUUGUUGGCAGAGAACCAUUUUGCAUAAAGCCUCUCAUAGUCUGCUCUUGCUUUCUUAUAAGAAAGCUCUAUUUGCUUCCAAGAAGCAUCUAUGUCUGUGUCCUGUCUCACAGGAGGCACAGGUUCUGUGGGAGUCGGUGUAGUUAGGACCCAAUCCAAUUCACCCAUGAUGAAGUAUAGGUCCAGCUUUGUGUACCAUUCAUUAUAAUUGUCUCCCUUUAAUAUAGGAAUAUCAUUGAUGGAAAUCAUCAUUGAUAAUCCUCCUGAAAAAUAUUCAUGAGUGGUGAAAAUAUUAAAAUAAAGUCAAAUGAAUUAUUGCAUAUGUAAAAAAUACGACAUGGUCGGAAUUUAAAAUAUGCAAUAACCUUGGUAUUAAAUCUAAAACACCGUUGGGUAGAGUUAGAGUUAAUACUUGAAAAUUAUCUGUUAAAAGAUUAAGGCAUAAGCUCCUUUUGUAUUAAAUCUAAAAUACGGUUGGGCAUAAAUAGAAAUAAUACAUAAAAAAUAUCUAUCAAAGGAUGAUACAGUAGUAAUUGCAAUAUUGUCAUUGUUAACGUUGGUCAAAAAAUAAUAAUAUUACAAGCCAAAAAAUUAUCUAUUUGCCUUGUGAAUUUAAAUUCUCCCGUUGGUUCAAAUUUAAAUGACAAGACAUGAAAGCAUGAGAAAAUAAAACUAUUUAAUCUUUGCAGCGGAAAAACUUUAAUUCUAUCAAAUUUAUGCCUAAAUUUGUCUUUUAUAAGCAGUGCAUCAAAGUUCAAUCAAGUUUGAAUUUGAAAUGCAUCAAAUUCAAUCAAAAUUCUAUUGAAAAGUGCUUCUGAAGUUGAAAGAAAAUGCACAGCUCUUUUCUGUUGGAUCAGCCCAGCAUGGAGCCGGGCUCACGCGCGCGAUCCUACUCACCCCCGCGCACGCGCUAGCGGCUUCGGGUGAGACAACCUGGGCCCGGGCCGCGUUUUCCCUUCCCCGCCUGGGCCUAAAGUAGCCCAAUGAUGCGCGGCUCGACCGCAACCGUCCGAUCAAGAUCAACGGCUGCGCGUGGAUUUCGGCCGAUCAAAAACCCUCUCGCGCUCACCCACGCUAACCGUAGCUCAUUCUUCUCCCCCGAUCCCCCGGCGCCUUCCUCUUCCCACCCGAGCACGCGAGUGAGUGGCGACCGGCGGCGACCGAGCGAGCGGCGCCACAUUGAGCCCCCUCGCCGGCGCGCGCGUUCACCGCAAGGUGAGCGCGCCGCCGUCGAGCGGCAUCGCCGUGGUGCCCGGAUCCGUGGCGCGGCGAGCGGCCCUGAGGCGGCUCGUGCGGUCUCUGUCCGCGCGAGGCCCAAGGCCUCGCGGGAUCUGGUCGGCGCGCCGGCGUCCCGUGCACGCCGACGGUGGGCGGCGCAAGGAGAAACCAGGUAAGUGCCCCUUUGACCGCCGCCCCUCUUCUGUUUGUGAGCUAGGGUUAGGGUUAGGGUUCCUGCGCGCUUGAUCUAGGGUUUUAUGGGGUCUUUUCUCUCGGGUUUCUUUGGAUUCUUUGCUCUGUGAUCUCCAAAAUCUAAUCAACGCUAGGUGAUUAGGCAUCUGAUACCAUUGUUAGUACAUUGGAUCGGCUAUUGCGCGAUUAGAUUAGAAGAUGUUGUGUACUGGUUCUUUAAACCGAGUGAGAGAGAGAGAGGGGGGGAGAAGGGGCACGGAGUAUACCUUCGUGCCCUUGCGUCGCAGCCGAUGUAGCCGUGCCCGCCAUGAUCGUGCAGCGCAGGAGCUCGCGGUGGCCGAGGGUGUGGUCGCGUCCGUGGGCUCGGGGUCGAGGCGAAGGCGCGGAAGAUGGCUGGAGGUGCUUCCCGUCGCUACUACGCUCACUUUAGAUCGGCUAGAGUUGCAAUUUCCGGUGGGGUGGCGGCGGCGGUGAUUCUCGUAUUGUGUGCCGCUGGCCCCCACCUGUCCUUUAUAACGCAGCGCGACGGGGGCCCACCAGCUAGGAACGAGCUGGGGCGCCCCCGAUCAGGGCGCAUAGGUGAGGAGGCCCAUUAGGAUCCGAUGGCCUAAAGAGAUCAAAACUAACACCCGGUGGCCAUCACCCUCUCGUGCUGCGACCGCGGGUAGUUCAUAACACCUCCCCGGUGGCUUGGUCGACGUCGACGCCGUUGGUGAAGCGGAGCGGCGCGCCAUCGGCCGCCGCGGCCACCACGGUCGCCUCGCCGCCGCCCGGGCCGACGCGCAUCAGCCCCUUGUACGCGUCCGCGAUGUAGAGGUUCCCGGACCCGUGGUGGAAGCGCAGGCCCAGCGGGCGGCCGCACCUGCUCUCCGUGACCUCCGCCGGCCGGGUCCUGGACGCCGUGCAGGCCUUGGCGUUGUAACCCGGGCCGUACGCGUACGUCAACCAGCGGCGCGCCUGGCCGUUCCACCUGAGGACGCGGCCGUAGGAGACGCCGCUGUAAGGACCGGCGCCGGCGCCGUCGAACGCGACGCUCUCCGGGCCACGCAGCAGCGAGCCGCGGAGCGGCAGGUGCAGGCUCCGGCUGCCGUCGAUGCUGUCCGUUUCGGGGACGGGGCGUGCAGCGGCGCACGGCAGCAGGAGGACCAGCAGCACGACGGCGGCGAGCAACGAGAUCGCCGGCGUCAGAAGCUUCUUCGCCGUGGUGAUCCCCAGGAUUACUCUGAUUACGUGGGCGCUGCCUCGCGGAUGUUUGGUUUUGGGGACCGGUUUUGGUUGAGAAGCGCAGGGUGCCUCUGCCUUUUAUGGCGGCCUGGCUGCUACAUGCUUUCCGAUUCGGAGGCCGUCGUGUCAGGCCCUCCGAUUCCGAGUUACUACUGGGCCCUCCGAUUCGGAUACGGAUUACUAGCCGCAAUGCUCUUCUCCAAUUCAGCUCGCCUUUGUGCUUUAGAAUCAGCCACUUCGCGAACAAGAAGAACAAGUUCGCCAUCCCGAACCCCUGCAAGGCCCGGUCCGACAACCUCCAGACCACAGUGCUACUUCCGCAUCAAGCAAGCAUUGAUAAAUCCAAAUUAAGGAGGCCAUAUACAAAACUACGAAAAAACAACAACCAGCCAAAGUGCGGGGAACAAACAAACAUCAGCGAUGGCUCAGAUUAUGCUAGAUUAAAGGCACAGCGAAUAUAGGCUGAAUAUAAGGGCACAACACACCUGUAGCACGAAGGCAACUAAAACGGAAUCUGUCCACAAUUUAAGCAUCCAACACCAAUUAUGUAACCGCCACCAAAAGCUUUCAGAAUGGAAGACGAAUCAUGAGAUAAUUAUGUAGCAUUCACCAACAGUAGUGGCAUAGUACCAUAAUCCAAAACUUGACAGAAAAUUGCAACAUCCAGGCAAAGCAAAACCCAAAGUUGACUCCCACAGUUCUUAACUAUAAUAUAGAAAGUGCAUUAGACAACUCCCGACGAGUAGGAACUCUUUACUCCAACAUCCUAAGCCUCUACUGUCUCAACUGGGGCCUCAAGCAUAAGACCCUUGGUAGGCUUUGCCAGGAGGUCAGUGAACUCCUGGAAAGGAGUCCUGCUGAACUUGGUCUCCCUCCAGAACUCAGGUGUAAGGAAACCGUAGGUCUUCAUCAGGCAGUCGAAGGUUGCCUAUACAUAACCAAAUUAAACAAUUACCAACAAGAAUAAAUGAAUUAAAUGGCACAGGAUAUAUCUUGAUAUACAAAGACAAGUUGGGAAUAUAACCCCAGGAUAAAGUUAAUCUAGUUCUAAUAAUUAUGGACUUGCAAACUAAGAAUAUAAAGACAAACAUAUCCCAUACAAGGUAUCCUGAAUGUCAACAGAGACACCCCCACCAGCAUAAAGUUAGUUUUGCAUAACUCCAGAAGUCAAUAAACUCAAAAUGCUAUUUUCAGCAUGUACAAUCUCCUAGGAAAGUAGAAACCCAAUAAUUGAAAUUGCAUCAUGUCUAGUACAUGGAAUUGUGGACUAGAACCAUAACCCGAAUUAUGCUUAAUCAUAGAAGCACUGUUAAAAUUGUCUGUUGUAAUUUACUAAUUACAAUAACAAAUUAUCAUAGCACACAUAGUGAGCAUGCAACUACUAGCACUAAAACUACUGCAACUACAAGCAACAAAUUCUGAAGUAUUCAGUUUACAGAUCCUAUCCAAUGAAGUGACAGUACAAGAGUCAUCCACUACACAUUGUAAACAACUCAGCAUAAAACAACCACUUCCAGGUACAUGCUGAAAAAACAUAUCAAUCUGUACAAUAUUGAAACAUCAACACUACUAUCUUAGUCAUGAGGUGCUAGCAUUGCAAAUGCAUCGCAUCGUAUUAGCAUUACACUACAAUAUGCGGAUCUUAGAGUACCUUCACGAAGUUGCCAAGAGUCUUGGUGGAGCCACGGGACGAGGUGAAGACAUCCUCAAUGCCAGCGAACUGCAGCACCUUCUUGGGAACGCGCGCGGCGACGAUGCCGGAACCCCUGGGCGCGGGCACCAUGCGCACGGUGACGGACCCGCACUUGCCGGUGACCUUGCAGGGCACGGUGUGCGGCUGACCGAUCUUGUUACCCCAGUACCCCCUCCUGACGGGCACGACGGAGAGCUUGGCGAGGAUGAUGGCGCCGCGAAUGGCGGUGGCCACCUCCUUGGCGCACUUGACGCCGAGCCCGACGUGGCCGUCGUUGUCGCCGACGACGACGAAGGCCUUGAAGCGGGUGCGCUGCCCGGCGCGGGUCUGCUUCUGCACGGGCGUGAUCUUCAUGACCUCGUCCUUGAGCCCCGGGACGAGGGUCUCCACGAUCUGGUGCUCCUUGACGGGGAGCGAGUGCAGGUAGAUCUCCUCGAUCUUGUUGAUCUUGUUCUCCUUCACGAGGCGACCAAGCUUAGUGACGGGGACCCACUUCUCCUCCUCCUGGCGCGGCCCGCGCCGGCCACCACGGCGCCCGCCACGGUCGCCGCGGCCGCCGCGGCCGAAGCCCCGGCCGAACCCGCCGCGCUCGCCACCGCGCUCUCCGCCGCGCUCCGCCAUGGCUGGGUGAAGGGUGGGGGCUGCGGCGCUCCGGUGAGGGAGGGGGAUGAGGGUUUGGGUGCUGCGGCGGCGCGAAGAGUGGCCGAGCAGAAGGGGAUGAGGUAUUUAUCUGGACGUGGUGGAGCUAGGGUUUUGAGGAUACGGUGCAGUGGAGGCCGUGGGCUGAUACAUGGGCCAGGAAUGCAUUUUAGAGGCCCGGUUUUUGUCAUCAAGCUUCCGAGUUUGCUGGCCCAUGCACAAACCCGGCGCGUCGGCUAGAUCGGCUCGAUAAUAACCAGGCCUCUCUCCUGCUGGCUGCUUCUGUCGCCACGAGCCCACAACCCUGGGCCGGGAAGCAAGUUCUGGGCUGCGGCUGCCGCCCGAACCGAAUGGAUGAAAGGGGAUCUAAACAGAAAAAACCGCAUGGCAUUUCCGUCCCUUGAUUUCUCCCACGACGAACAAAAAAAUCAGUUCAGGGAAGCAGGCAGUUAGCAUCUGUACCCAGCUAGCCCUGUAAAUAGAGAGGCGUGGCCUCGCUUGAGAGCACGCAGCAGCCCCAAGCCAUUCUCUCAUCGUUCUCCUCGCGCCCUUCCUCCUACACCAUCGGCACCAUGAAGCUUUUCGCCGCCGCCUGCUUCGUCCUCCUCCUCAACAGUAAGCGAGCAAAUCAGUAUUAGCACUGUUGGUUAAGUUAGCAGUAGCAUUAGCAUCGUUGUAGCGCAUGCAAAAUGCUCAUGGCAUGUGUUGCAUCAUCUGCGUAUGCAGUCGCAGGCCGUGUGGCGGAGGCCCGUGCGGUGGCCGGGGACGUGGCGACCAGCGGCGCCAUCACCGUCGUCAUCACCAUCACCUCCCGCGGGCCAAGCGGGCGCACAAGCUGUUCGUGUUCGGGGACGACUUCGCCGACAACGGCAACAGCGCCUCGGAUCCGGGGUUGGGCUCUGUCUCCCGCGCGUGGCGCUACCCCUUCGGCAAGUCGGAACGAAGCCGCCCACGGCAGGAAGCCCACAGGCCGCUUCUCCGACGGGCUGGUGCAGUCCGACUUCCUGGCCAAGAUCAUGGGGCACAGCGAGUCCCCUCCGCCCUACACGGGUGACAGCGACAACUGGGACGACGGCAUCGACGCCUCCGGCAUGAACUUCGCCGUCGCUGAAGCCGGCGCGCUGGAGGCGCCGUCGGGCGUGCUCAAGCUCCGCGCGCAGGUCCAGCAGCUCAGGGACCUGGUCAGGGACGGCCUGGUCGAUGACCGGGACUUCACCGACUCGGUGGCGCUCGUCGCCUACUCCGGCAACGACUAGGAAAGUGCCAACUACUUCGACUACUUCGUACGCGAGCCAGCAUCAUGCAUCCGAUCUCAUCUUUUAUUUGUAAUAUAUAUAAACAUAUUUCAUCUUAAUUGUCUAUGCAAGUGCAUACGCAGAAUCUGAACGAUCUGGUGGCGAAGGUGGUGGACGAGCUGGCGUGGUGUCGCAGCUGCAGGACCUGGGCGUGUCCAAGGUGAUCGUGAACAACGUGCCCCCGUUCGGGUGCUCGCCGUGGCUGGCCAAGGCGUCGAACUACAGCUCCUGCGACGACGACGGCAACGUGAGCUCCGACGAGCACAACACGGCGCUCCGGGACCGGCUGGGCGGCGAGGAGGGCGUGAUGGUGCUGGACGUGAACAGCAUCAUCACCAACCUGGUGGCGCCCAAGGAAGGGUCGGUGCUGUACGAGAGGCAGUUCGCGGAGCGCCUGCGCCCCUGCUCCGAGGCCGCCGGCGAGGAGGGCGGCUACUGCGGCCGCGACGGCGGCUACUCGCUCUGCAACCGCCCGGAGGAGUACUUCUUCUGGGACGUGGUGCACCCCACGCACGCCGGGUGGAGGGCCGUCAUGCAGCUGCUCCAGGGGCCAAUCAUGGCGUUCCUGGGCAUCUCGGACCUCGAGCACUUCUGAUCGCUCGGCCGGCCGAUCAUUUCCUCCAUGGAAUAAUAAUACAAUGGACGAUCGAAGACUAGCUAGCUAGUUUGGAUUUGGUAGUUUGUUAGUUUGGAAUAAUUCUUCGUCGUUUAAGUAUGCUUGUUGUAAUUGGUUAGUUUUAGUUAGCUAGCUAUGGGGAUAGAAUAGAUCCUGUUAGUCUUCGGUUUGGUACCCAUCUCCCAAGUGCUGCUGUUGCUGCAACCUGCAAGAUUAUUGGUCUUAGGUUUGUCUUUGAGACGAGAUAUAUCCUGCAGUUCAUCAUAUGAGCAACCUUAAACAUGCUGCUUAAUUUACCAUCAGUACGAAGCUAAGCAUAGGUUUGUUUUUUUCCCUUCUGAGAGAGAGGAAGCUAAGCAAGUUAUAACAGUAUAGCAAGAUCGAGGUAGAUCCUAAAAUUCGUUCGGGAGGAUCCUGGUGGCUAUAACGUUUUCUGUUUCUCAUUCUCAUCAUCGCAACAAACCAAAACGCUUGGACGAACCGAGGAAAUGAGUAGAAGGAACUUGUAGAAGUGCCGCCGCCGCCGCCGCCGCGGUCUGCGGCUGCAGGGCUUCAAACGGAUGACUGGAUGGGUGAGCCACGAGAGCUAUGGCGAACGGAGUCCUCGGUUGCGUGUCGCGCUUGUGGGUGGCAGUAGCUCCACCCAGCGUGCACACACACCUUCGCUCGAAUCCUCCUGUGACGACUCACCAAGUGGCAGCGUGGGCACUACCGGCCGGCAAGCUCAGCGUCGAUCGUGGCCAUCUGCAGCAGAACGCAUCCGCCAUCCUCACGGAGGAACGCUGCUCUGAUUGAAUUCACGAUGGCAUUUCUGCUUCAGGAAUCCGGAGGAACGAACAAGAUAGGCAUCUCAAUUGGAAGCGAAUAAGAUAAGCAACCGAAUUCCACAAAGAUUACAUUACAUUCCCCGCCAGGCAUGCACAAGUUCUUCAGAACGCGGUCAGAGAGGUACUAGUAGUUCCCAGUUCUCACAAUCCACCAUGCCAAAUUACCAACAGAGAAACACACGCCGGCAGAUCGCCGGAGCUCCCACGACCCAUCAGUCCGACCAGCGAGAGCCAAAUCCGCCCACUACGCCUUGACGGGGAGGGGCACGACCUUGACCUGAUCCAGCACGGGGCCGCACAGUGAGACGCCGUCGCUGACCUUGGUGUGGUAGUAGGAGCUGUAGAAGGUGAGCCGGGUCCGGGCGCCGCUCGCCACGAACCUGAAGCUCGCCGCCUUGAACGCGCCCUUCCCCGCGGACUCGAACGGCACCUUCUGCGUCACGUUGCCGGCGAAGGCCUCCACCAGCAUGGACCCGUGGCAGCCGUUCUGGGCGUCGCCGACGGCGAAGGACAGGUUGUAGGCGCGGCUGGGCACGGUGCGGAUCACUUGCGCGAUGGCGCUCUCGCGGCCGGCCACCAGCUCCACCGCGUACUGCCCCGCGGGGACCGAGAAGUGGCCCGCGUCGAUGAACCGCACCGCCUUGAGCGACUCGAUGAUCCACCCGGGGAGCGGGGACGUCGUGUCCUUCUGCUUCGGCGGCAGGAGGACGCCCACCGACGAGUUCUUCAGCACCUGCGGCCCGAUCUCGAAGCCGGGGUUCUUGAUCAGGUUGUCUGCAUAGAUGGCAAGCACGGCAUUGUUUCGUCAGAUCACCGGCGGCGCCAUUCGAGCUCUUGAAGAAGAAAAGGAGAUGCAUUCCGGGCAAAUCUCUCACCUUUGGUCGGGUACGGCGUGGGCAGCUCCUUGAUGGCGACGGCGUCGAGCAGCGGGCCGCACGCGGCGUCCUCCUGCACGCCGGGGUUGGCGAACGUGACCUGCGCCACGGGGGUGGAGGCGCGGAAGCCCCAGGCCCAGGUGUCGGCGGACGCGCCGCUGUAGAGCGUGCGGACGGCGAUGUCGGCGGGGGCCGAGAGCGACGGCACCACCGCGAUGCGCAGGUUCUCGUCCUGCGCGCAGGUGCGCGUCGCCGCGAACGUGAGCGCGUAGAGCGCCCCGGGGCGCACCGUCACGUUCUGCGACGCGGACGCGCGGCUGCCGAGGCGGAGCGCGUGCACGCCGUGCGGCACCGCGAAGAACAUGCCAGUCGGCUGCGGACCGCCGGAGACGUACUCGACGUGGCCGCGCAGCGUCCACCCCGGCAGCGAGUGGCGGCCCACGAUGAGGGUCUUGUUCAGCUUCCUCGGCGCCGUCUCGAAGUUGCCAUUGAUGAGCAGGCCUGCGCUAGCACGCAAAUCGUGAAGAAAAAAAUCAGAUCUUUUGCUGCUUACUCUUCUAAUCUUGAAAAACAAUCACAGCAUUUUGGCCUUUUGGGACGAUGCAAGAACAGGAAAACCCAAAUAUUAACUGAUGGAUAGAGAAAGGUAAACAGAGUGAUGAAUUAAAAUGUAGUACUCCUAGAACAGUUUGUAGUCCUGCACAAACAUCUGUGAAGGUAAAGCUUGCUAGUCUUAAAUCCUGCGUGCAAGAAUAGAACAGCGAAAGAACUAGAAAAAGAAAUGGAGCAACAAACUUAGCCCAUUCUCUGUUUCCUCUACAGAGAUCAAACCUAUACAGAUCUAAAAGAAUCCAGACAAUGGCGGCGACAGGCGACGGCAGACACAAGAUUGUCGAGGAUAAACAGAGUGAGAUGAGAAGUCAGGCGGCGCUGUUACCUUCAGCGUCUUGAGCGUGACGAGGUGCAGGGGCCGGCGGCGGUGCACUGACGGCGAGCGUGGCGACAGCCGCGGAGGAGGACGAGGAGGAGGAGACGGAGAGGACCAGAAGCAGCAGCAUUCCCCAUGGAAGCUCCAUUGCCAAGCUCUGCUCAGUUGUGCUCUCUUUCGCUUUCCCCUUGGCUUCUUCCGUUCCCCGGGAGCUGCCCCCCGCUUCCUCCUUUUAACGAAAAGAAAGGACAACUUCAGUAAAGACCUCCUCCGUUUGGAUUUUGGCAAAUGCACCCGCGUUCCGCGUUCCGCGUUCGUAAGGUGGUGAAAACAACUGGCCUAAAGGAAUGCCAGCGGCUUGUUUGGAUCCAUUGCAGGUAUACUUAACCAGUCAAUACGAGUUGUAACUGAUUAAAACAGAUCAACUAAUAAUGGAACAGCUUUUAUAAUCCAGCUACGCAGAUAGUAAGUACUUCAUUAACGUUUUAAAACAGCUAUUCCUUGGACUAAGAAAAAUAAAUACUCAAGGGCACAAAAUAAACAUCAACCACCACUGCCCCAGCAUCCCAUUUCAAAUUUUGUUUGAGAGGUUGCAGUGCCACAGAGGGCAUAAUAGACAAUUACAUUUCAAAAACAACAAUCCAGAACCUCCAUAAUCCAUGGAUCAAACAACACCAGCUUUUAACUAUCCGGUCUUUUAUUAGCUCUAUAUCUAUCAGCCAGUUUUUUUACUAGCUGUAUCUACCAUCCAGGUUUUUGUUAGCUUUAGCUAUGAGCUACAUAAAUACAGAUGUUUGGAUCUAUAUUACUUCUAAAAAUAAUAAGAAACUGGGCAAUAAAAGCUAGCGUUAUAUGGGACCAUUCAACAAAAGAUGACACAUAAGACUUGCCAUGUUGCAAUGUACAGGUGUACACGUUCUAAGACGGUAAAGAAUAUGCAUUAAUACAGUCUCUUAGGAAUAUGAUGAGAUGGGUGGCUACACGAGUUCUGCAAAGUUUUUGUGCUAGCUUUUCGAACAUCCAACACCACAAUAUAGUUAGAUUAUGUACUGAAGUUCCAUUUUUGUUGCAUUUCUUUUUAUAAGCACCUAGAUCAGAUCAGAUCUGAGCUAUGCAUGUACUAGUAGAACUUAAAAGACUACGAAAAAACACGCGUUACGAAACUUUCAUCGAAGAGUAAAACGCUUAGGUUCUAGUAUAACCGUCAGUAAAAAAAGAACUGACUUAAAUUCCCAAAACCAAGGGUUGCUUUCGAAAACGCAAGAAGCUGGAGGGCCGAAAGACAGCUAACAAUCUUAACGCAAAUUUCCGUCGUCCUGGCGACGUGCUGCGCUUGCGCAGACCGCGGGCGCAGACGACAUUUACCGCCACCGCGCCACCCUACUGCUCGGCGAGGACAGGAUCACAGGACAUGGCACGCCAGAGAAGAGACUAGAGAGCGGUGGCGCUCGGCACUGCCGCUCAAUAAAUCUUUCACCGGUCCGUGCUACCACCACCUUGGCCAUUGCCCAUGCCCAUGCACGAGUGAAAAGUGAAGGACUUGAAAGCCACAAACUAACCACAAAGCCUAGUUGUGUGCAGCACUUGUUAAGCUUCCUUCCAACAUGGAGCAGCACAGUGCACAGAAUGCGCUUGAGGAGUUGUGGAUAGUGACGACGUGUUGUGUUGUGUGCUUCUCUGAUUCUCUCGUUCCUGACAAGAACAAAGGAGAAACCGCUGCAAAACUUGCCUUGCGAGUUGCGAACACGUGAUGCCCGUGAGGAGAGGCGUCUGUUACAGGGCGGGGCCACGGGUGCAAUGCAGCGGCGCACGGGCCUGUACGUGGAUCCGGGAUCGCCUCCUGUCCAGGACCAGGAGCGAGCGAUGAAGUAGAGCGCCUAGCGGCCAACUGCAACCGCGUCGACGGCGGCGUACACGGAUACGGUCUGACCUAGCACUGCUGCAUGGUUUCCCGCCAUCUUUUCUGACGACGACGGCCCUGCCUCGGAUGCUCCCCGAGGAGGCGCUGUGCGCGGUCGCGGUGCAGGAAAGGCGCGGCGGUGGGUGGUGGGGUCGCGACCAGCGGCUGGCUGCGUCCCCAUUGGGCAGCAGCGAUACUGAUGACCGGCCAGAGCCCAGAGGUGGCGGUGCCGGCGGACCCACCGGUCUCUACGGAGAAAAGGACACGGCACGCGCGGCGGGAAGGAAGGAACAGGGGUCAUCGUCCGUCGGGGUCAGGCACGGCCCCCGCGGCCAGGCACAGGGGCGGGGUGUCGGCCCCGCUGCCGCCGCGGCGCGCGGCCCGGCGCGCGUGGGCGCCCUGCCGCCGUCACCGCCCGUGCCAUGUGACCAUGCGCCCUCCCAUCCCGCUCGUCGACUCGCCGGCCGGGCGGCGCCCGUGCGACCUCUCCCGGUCCCUCCUGCGUCCUUUACUCCCUCCAACCAACGCACGACAAACCUCAAACCCAGCGCGACGCCGCCGAGACUAAAGAUGACAAUGGGUGCCAAAUAUCCGCGUACCUGCGGAUACCAAACCCGGUGGACGCGGAUACCGGUCCGGAUCUGUACCCGCGGAUACUGGUGCGGGUACAACUCUAAUCUCAACCGAUAUUUUCUAAUGGGUUUCAAAAAUUGAUACUGAACCCGCAAACCCGCCAGACCCGCUGAUAUGUGGGCCCGAGUAUCCUUAUAUAUAUACAACCUUUAGAGUUUCACUUCACCCAGCCGCCACCCCACCCAGCGGCUAGCGCCCCAGCCACCGCCCCUGCCCCCAUCCCCACUGCCGCCGGCCAUCCUCAUCCCCGCCGCCGUCGUCGCCCAUCCCCGCCACCACCGUCCCAAUCCCCACUGCCGCCGGCCGCCGCCCGGUCGCCCCCCUCCCACCUCCUCGGCUCCUCCUACGCCGGCCAAGUUCCCGACCCAACGUCGGUCAAGCCUAGGCUCCCACGCCGGCCGUCCCCAUCCCCGCCGCCGCCGGCCGUCACCCAUCCCCACCGCCGGCCGCCGCCCCCCUCCUCGGCUCUUCCGCCGUCGCCCGGUCGCCCCCCUCCCUCCUUCUCGGCUCCUCCUGCGCCGGCUAAGCCCAGGACCCAGCUCCAGUCGAGCCCAGGCUCCCACGCCGGCCAUCCCCAUCCCCGCCGCUGCCGGCCAUCUCCAUCCCCGCCGCCGCCGCUCGCCGCCCCCCUCAUCGGCUCUUCCGCCGUCGCUCGGUUGCCCCCCUCCCUCCUCCUCAGCUCCUCCUGCGCCGGCCAAGCCCAGGACCCAGCGCGCCGGCGACGCCCAGGCGCCCGUGCCCCCGGCCGCAUGACACCCGCGCCCAGGUGCUCUUCGUCCAGCACAUCCACAGGUAAGAAAUUAUGAACUCACCAUGUAGAUGCACAAUAUACUGAGAGAAAUAGGCUAGAUCUUAUGGAUUGGUUGAUAGGCCAAAUUUCAAAGUGUAACUGAAUGGGGACUCAAUAAUUCAUUCAUGUACAGCAGAUGUAGUUAUUCAUGUACAACAGAUAUGUAAUACUUACCGAGCAUCAAAUAUGUUUGGUCUUUUAUCUGCAGCGCAUUGAAUCACUGAUGUAUACUAAUCUGAACAUGUUAAUUGUUCUAUAGUUGCAAUGGCUAGUGCUCCUAGUAGCUCCCAAGUUCCAGGUUCCCAAGCAUCAGGUGUUGUAGUAGCUGCAGCUGAUACAAUAGAAGAUAAUGUUGUGCACAUUUCGGAGGGGGAGGAAGAAGCUCCUGAUGCUCCUGGUAAAAAGAGGAAACUUUAUUCUAAAGUGUGGAAUGACUUCGUCCAAGUGUGUGUUGAUGGAGAAUGGAAGGCCAAAUGCAAUCAUUGUGGCAAAAAAACUUUCAGCCGUCUCAAGGAAUGAUACAACCCAUCUCAAAUCUUGUCCUUUAAAUAAUAAGAAGCUAGGAGAUAAAAUUUAAAGUAAUUUGCGGUUUGGAGCUACUGAAAAAGGGGCAAUGACUAUAGAAAACUAUAUGUUUGAUCAAGAAGUAGUUAGGAAAGCUCUUUAUUCUAUGAUUAUAUUGCAUGAGUACCCACUGUCCAUUGUUGACCAUCAUGGUUUUCAUAAGUUUAUUAGUGCUCUGCAACCUUUGUUUAAAAUGGGUACUAGAAACACUAUUAGAAGGGACAUAAUGCAUUUCUAUAAGUGUGAGAAAAGGAAAGCUAGGAUAUUCUUGUAAAGGACCAAUUGCCGUGUUGCUGUUACAACUGACCUUUGGACAGCUGAUAAUAAAAAAAGAGGCUAUAUGGCUGUGACUGGAUAUUUUAUUGAUGACUCGUGGACACUUGAAAGCUGCAUUUUGAGGUGAUUAUCUUUUUUUCAUGAAUUGUUGCUUGCUGUUCAGAUUUCAAAUUUCUAUAAAUUAUGAACUUUACAACUGAACUAUUUCUUUGUUAUAUGUAGAUUUAUGUAUGUGCCAUGCUCCCAUACCGCUGAAGUUAUUUGUGAUGCAUUGCACAAGUGCCUCCAGAGCUGGGUUAUUGAUCGGAGGGUAUCAACCGUGACUCUUGACAACUGCAGCACCAAUGAUAGUGCGAUGGCUUAAUGGAGACAAGGCUUGGUGCAGCUAAUAUGCUUUUGAGAGGUAAAUGGCUGCAUAUGCGGUGUUGCGCACACAUUUUCAACCUCAUCGUCAAAGAUGGCAUGGACGUCAUUGCAAGUGCCGUUGCAAACAUCCGAGACAGUAUUGCUUAUUGGGUUGCUACACCAAAGAGGUAUGAAAAAUUUGAGAAAACUGCUUUAGAUGAAAAUGUUGAAUUGGUCAAGAAGUUGCAAAACUAGAUGGAACUCAACCUAUAUCAUGCUUAGAAUUGCUACACCUAUAGGAAGAUUUUUGAAUGCUUGGAUGAGCUUGAUAGGAACUAUGUUUGUCCACCACCAAAUGAUUGGAUAUUUGCUAGUAUAAUUUGUGAGAAAUUAGGAUUAUUCUAUGACCUCACUGAGUUAUUUUCCCUGACUAAAUAUGUGACAAUCAACCUUUUUUUUCUAAAGUAUGUGAGAUUAAACUUAAGAUCAAAUCUUGGGAGCAUGAUGAGUAUGAAACAAUUAGGGAAAUGUCUGCUACCAUGGUAGAAAAGUAUGACAAGUAUUGGACUGAUAUACAUGGUCUUAUGGCUGUUGCUGUCAUUCUUGAUCCACGUCUUAAGAUGACAAUGUUACAUGCUUGCUAUAUUGCUCUUUUUGUGAAGAGCAUGCUGAAAUUUAUAUGACAGAGGCCCAUGAAUUGCUAUCUGAUUUGAUGAAACAAUACAAUGUUAAAGAACAAGACUUUGUUAGUACAUCAUCUAGUGGUGCUAGUUCUUCAGUUGACGUAGCUGGUGUGUUGUCUAUUUUUAAAACCCUUGCUACAAUAAGAAGACUACUAGCUUUGUUAGAAGUAAGAAUGAGCUAGAUCGCUAUUUGGAUGAAGAAACUCUUUCUCAUGAUGAGAAUGAAUAUUUUGAUAUUCUUGGUUGGUGGAAGUUGGAGGGAACUCGGUACCCCACUUUGAGGCAAAUUGCUCGUGACAUCUUAGCUAUUCCAAUCACAGCAGUAGCUUCUGAAUUAGCUUUUAAUACUAGUGAAAGAGUUUUGAGUGAGCAUCACAGUUGUCUUACUCCUAAUAUAUUGGAAGCUUUGAUGUGUGGCCAAAGUUGGCUUUGUCAUACUCUCAAAGGUAUUACUGUACUGUACUAGAAUGUAUUUUUGAUAUAAGACCUAUAAACUAUAGCUACUAUUGUAUGUGAAACUUGUUUGUAGAUGACGGUGAUGGAAGAGUCAAUAGCUUCUGGUCAUGUCUUGAAUUCAAGAAGAAAUGAAGGUAGAUUCUUACAUCACUACUGGUUAUUCCGACUAAUGAGUUCUAAUAUUUGCUUGGCUUAAUUGGACUUUUAUGUGAUAAUGGUUUUGAAUACUGACUCUUGUUAUAGUUGUAUGCUUUUAUUUCUGUUAAUAUAUGAUGUAUCAUAUAUUCAUGUAUGAGACUAGUUCAUUUGUUUGCUCAGAUUUAUUUAUUUUAUUAAAUAAAUGAUGUUUAUUUGCUGCUGAAAUAUGAUGUGUGCUUAAUUUUCUAAAGCUUACGGGUGCACGGGUAUGCCUGCAGGUUUGCGGAUAUCCUCGGAUAGCGGUUACGAGCGUCGUUUCGUGCCCGUGGCAGGUUGCGGGCGCGGGUGCGGGCUCGAAUUUUAGCACAUGGGUACAGGUUUACAAAGUUAAUAUCCACGUGGAUUUUACCUAUUGCCAUCUUUAGCCGAGACUAAACCCUAGGUGCCAUAGCCUCAGCUUGUUCUUUCUGAAGCAACUCUCUAAUAAAGCUGAAUCUGUUUUUAAAAUUGUUUAACCAAAUGUGGGCAUGCGAGAGAAGUUGGGCGACGCUACGAUUUUCCACUUCUCCAUUUCACCGGGUGUUUUGUGGAUGAAGCUACAAGUAAAAUACCAGUUUGACAUCCAAGAAGCUGUGCCAAGAGGGUUUUGACUUUGGUGGGGGUGGGGACACGUGUCGAUCUAGUAGUGGAUAAAGUGGCCAGCCCUUUUGUUCGAACGGCCCACGGACCAGGCCAGCCUUUUUUUGUUGAAAACCUUGGGCCGAAUACCCGGCGCCAGGGACGCAGAGGUCGGGCGGGGCCCAAGCCUGCCUGGCUGGGGGCAGCACGCGUCACGCGCGACACGUGAGCGCGAGAGCUCCCGCCUCUCCUUCCUCUCCUCGACCUCGCCCGCAGAUCACACCGACGGCGUGACUCGUGAGAUCGUUGCGGAUUCGAUCCCCUGCCCCUUCUUCUCCGGCGUGAUCCCGCGUGCGCAGACACCACUACGGCCUGACGUCCAAGCCUAUUCCCGUCGGCCUCACGGCAUGGCACCGCUACAAAACCGGGGAGCAGACGACGGAGCUGAUCCAAAUGCGGCUGCGCGCGCCGGAGAUGUUUCUUUCCGAGGGUCAGAUAUGUGAUAUCGGAGGAGAUCAUGUCGAUCGACGACGGAUCGGGGAGGCCAUCAUCCGGCCGGAGGGGGGGAGGUCAGCACUCAGCAGCAACUGACGUUAGCUAGCUACCUGCACACGCAUGGCCGGACACAUGCUCGCACGCCUCCACUCUUCCUCUCCCUGUACUAGUAUAUAAUAAAGAAAUGCGCUCCUCGCUCGCAUACGCACAGGGCGUCUGCCAAUCUACGCCAAGAACUCGAUCGCUCCAUCAGUCAAAAGCUACUGCACUCCGGACUCGUGUAUCCUCAUCAAGCUACUCUUCUUUCCUGCAAUGAAACACGCUGCCCCCUCUAUCAACCCUAUAUAAUACUGUACCUUUUGCUACAUUUUUUUUUUGGCACAACAAGAUCAUGGGGAUGAUGUCGAAGUCGGGGGCUUUGGACCUUGCUUCGAGCUUGGGAGGGUCGAUCGCCAAGGGGCAAGUCAAGUCGGCCACCGAGCAGUAUCGUCUCCUCCAUUAUCCUACCAACCUUUUGUUUUUUUGGCUGAUUUCUUUUUCUAUAUUAAUCUAAUCUGCAAGCGUUGAGUUUUGAUCUCAACUUAGCACCUAUUUGGAUGGGCUAACACCGGCAUCCUUUUCUGAGUCUUCGCUAAAAUUUAACCAACUAUAUUAGCACUUUUAUUUGGAUGAAUUAGUGUUAAAGUUUAGCACUUUUAGAUAUUAGCAUUUGGAUCUAAACUCUUCUUACAAAUUUAUUAACAAACCAUAUCCUUAGGAUCUGUUUGGAUUGAAUGCUAAACUUUAGCACCUAUUAGCACUCAUAGUUUUGCUAAAGUUUUUAAGUCUUGACUAAAGUUUAAUCCGACAUAUUAGCACUUCUAUUUGGACAAGCUAAUACUGAAGUUUAGCACUUUUAAACAUUAGCGCUUGGAUCAAACACAUCCUUAUUCUUAUUUCUUGAGCUUGCCUUCUGUAAACUUUAGCUGCAUUUCAGUCGUCCUCGCACCUUGCACAUUCUGAUCGAGUGUGCUUACUUCCCGUCAGAUAUGAAGUACCACCAUAUUUACGGAGGUGAAGAAGAAUCAAGGAAGUCAAAUUACACUGAUUUGGUACUCUUCAUCCUUCAUCCCAACAUUCUUGGAUCACUUGCUUCUAUAAAGUUUAUUAAAGUUUUCUGAAUUCGGACUGAAGAUCAAAUACGCCAAUUCCUACUGUGUGAAUCAGGUAAACAAGUACUAUGAUCUUGCCACGAGCUUCUACGAAUAUGGAUGGGGUGACUCAUUCCAUUUUGCUGGCAGGUCAACUACAUACUACCUUGCUCUCUAAUUAGUACUCACUGACAAUAACACCAUAUAUUUGUCUUAGUUCAGAUGCUGACUUGUUUCUACAUCACAAUUGUGCUGCUAGUACUAACUUCCUUGUUUCAAUUCCAUGCUUAUCCUUUAGAUGGCAUGAGGAAACUUUCCAUGAAAGCAUUAAGCGCCAUCAGCAUUUUAUUGCCCUGCAACUGGGGCUCAAGAAGGGGAUGAAGGUUGGCGACCAAACGGAAUUCCUUUGCCAUUAUUUAAGCAUAGAAGAUGUUUACAGCAGUACUGUAGAACAUGUGAAAAGAAAAUUACAUACAAAACAAAACUCUAGGGUACUUUAGAGCCUACACACUCUCUAUCUCCUCUUUAAGUCUUUAUUUCCUCACAGCCUUUAGCAUAUUGUCUGUGAUAAGUUACUGAUGUGCAGGUCCUGGACGUGGGAUGUGGAAUUGGGGGACCUUUAACAGAAAUUGCCAGAUUCAGGUAGUGACUGAAAUAUAAUUUUUUCAUUGCCCAUUCAAUUGAUUAAGACAUGAGAAUCACACAGAGCAUACAUAUGAUUUUUUUUUCAAUGCUAUUUAUUGUAGCUCAACGCUGGUAACUGAACUGAACAACAAUGACUACCAGAUGUCAAGGGGCAAGGUUUUUAAUAUUUGGUCACUUUAUCUUUUCAUGGAGUAGCAUAUUGAUUAGCCCAUAAAAAUUGUUUGUUUGUUUGUCUGCAAUGCAGGAGAUCAUUUUUUCAGCAGGACUGAGUGAGCAUUGCGACUUCGUGAAGGUGCAUUGGCAUUCCUAGCUCUUUUAUGGGUUUCUUUGGGUCAUUACCUUUUGAUGAUCUUAUGGACAGUGAGGAAGAAACAAGAUCGGUUUAUAUAUCUUCGAUUUGUAAUUGCAGGGGAACUUCAUGGACAUGCCAAUCGCUGAUAACACCUUUGAUGCAGCCUAUGCAUUACAGGCGACAUGCCAUGCACCUGAUGCGGUAUGUCUCGCACCAUACUUCUGUCAAAAGCCCAGUUUAAGUUUUCGCACAGACAGUGUUGCUCAUGUAUCUUCCUCCACUUGUAUUACUUUCAGCGAGGUGCCUACAGUGAGGUCUACCGAGUGCUGAAACCUGGGAAGUAUUUCGCACUAGAUGAGUGGUGCAUGACCGAUCGGUUUGAUCCAAACAACGGUAAACAUUUGGCCAUCAAGGCGGAUAUUGAGCUCGGCAAUGGUCUGCCUGACAUCCGUACCACUCACCAAUGUGUCCAAGCUAUGAAAGAUGCAGGAUUCGAGGUGCUGUGCUUGUUUCAGUAUACACAAGCAAUGAGCCUUUUACCAACAAUGCAGCAAAGAUCCAAGUGAAAGUAUUUUAUUUCAUGCAGUAAUGGUUUGUUUGUUUUCCUUUCUGCUACUGAAGAUUAUCUUUGCAAAGGAUCUCGCCAAGGACCCUUGCCCUUGGUACCUGCCAAUGGACCCUAGCCAUUUCUCAUGGACUAGCUUCCAAUGCACCCGUCCCGGACGCUUCAUCACCCGUGCAAUUGUAAUGCUAAAAGAUUGUCCUUUAACGUAAUUUGCUAUUGAAUUAGUUUUGCUCCUGAGACAUUUAUUCUGUACCAAUCAUCGUCCCUUUUCUUUUCUGUAGAUCAAGACACUGGAGUUCCUUCAUGUUGCACCAGCAGGCAGUAUGAGAGUCUAUCACUUCCUGCAGACUGCCUCUGAAGGUCUCCUAAAGGGUGGGCGGUAAGUCCUACAGUAUUUUUCACCUCUUUCAGAGGAAGGCAACCCAGCUUCGUUCUAUAGAGAGCAAGUGAAUAACCAAAUUUUACGCGAUCUCAGGGAAGGGAUCUUCACUGCGACUUUCUUCGUGCUGGGCCGCAAACCUACCUACCGGGGAGACUGAAAUAGUAAACGGCGGCCUCUGACCUGAGUGGCAGGCAUUGUUUAAUGGAAUGUUAAUUUCGAGUAUGUAUCAUUGUAUGGUUCUGCUUACGCUUCUACGGUAUAGAGUUGGGAAAAAUUCGGGUGAUGCUCUGCUUUCGGUUUGGCUGUUGCGUCGAAAAUGCCGCAUUGUUCAGAGUUCAGACACGAGCAUUGUUCAGAGUUUGCAUUGUUCGGUUGAUGCUCUGCUUCCGGUUUGUCUGAACCUUGAGGACUUGUGGUAGCACAAGGCCAGCGCAUGACGAGGGUAGCACUAAGGGAAUUUGCAAUUCAGAUUUUUUUUUAGAGGACCCGGGACAUUACGUACCUGGGAUUUUAUUUUCGUUUUUGUUUAAAUUACAUCCGGUUUCCUAAAUCCAUCCACUGCUAGUCUGGUUGAGUGUACAGUGUAGUGCUCCUUUUCCUCCAUGGAUCAUAAACAGAGAAAAGAACAGACAAAUUAAUAUCGACAGAGAAGAAGUACAUGCAUGAUCCAUCGAUCCUUGAUAAUCAACCGCAUCUGCAAGUGAACAAUAACCCCAAAACAAAAGGUUUCACACUCAAGCACACAUCGUGGCGAAACGAUCACAGGUAGACGAGACGGUUACUUUCAAAAAAGAAAAAUGGAAAUCACAUGUAGACUCUCGAAUGCACAAGGCCACUAGGGAGUAGUCCGUGAUCUACUGUAGCAUUGCCAUGGAGGCGACCGCCGCCAACGCCGUCGCUACGACAGCCCGGUAACCUCCACGGACCCCGGCGCCGUUGGCGUUGGGCGCGGGCGCGGUGGUGGUCGGCGCGUCGGGGGUGCUGUCCGUCGACGAGGCGGCCGGCGGCGAGGCGGCGCUCGGCUCGCUGCUGCCGCUGGGGGUCGCCGCCGCCGAGCGCGUGGGCGCGGGCGCGGGCGCCUUGGAAGGGGCGUCAGAGGACCGCGGCUUGGGGACGCGGAUGUUGACCUUCUGGCCGGCGGCGCAGUGGCCGGGCACGCCGCAGAUGAAGAACCGGUGGCCGGGCCUCUUGAUGGCGAUCUUGUCGUCGCCGGAGGUGUGCGUGGCGAUGGGCGUGGAGUUGGUGCAGCUGUCGUAGUCGGCCUUGGUCACCUCCAGCACGUUGUGGAUGCCCUGGGGGUACGUGAACUCUGCGCGCGGCCAUGCGAGUGGUGGGCGCCAUGGCCAUCAGCUCAUGAUCAUCAGAAUUCAGAACGAAAGCAGGGCGGUGGAGAAAACUAACGUGCUCUUUUUGGUCAUCUUUCGAUGCCAUAAUGGUCACGCAAAGAACGAAAAAAAAAAGAAGUGGAUGGAAACGUGCAGCCUAAGGUACGUGUAUACCUGUAAAGACAGACGAACACUACGUUUCACACCGAUGCAAAAAAAAAAUAUGCUUGUAUGCUACUCAUUAUUGAAAAAGAUGUCAAAGUUGUUCACUUUACAACUACUGGUUUGACAGUAGCACUAUACUGACAUAUGAAUGGUGGUUGCAUAAUUGCACUACAUCUCAGAUGAUGGAUUCGCAAUGCUAUGGUCCUCGGGGGCGUCUAUUCGCUCUCUGCGGUUGGAAUCAAUCCAAUCACAGAGCCAAACGCCCCGCCUUCCUACGCCUCCACCGCCGCCGCCGCUAACCGGUCUCGCCGCCGCGCAGUCCGUCCACCACCAUCGCCGGCCACCGCCCACCGGUUGUCAGUUGUCCUGCCCUGGCCCGCCCGCGGCGCUCCCGCGCAGCCUCACCUCCACCGCCUGCCGUACCGCCACCACUGCCGGGCUGCCACCGCCGCCAACCUCACCUCUAGGGCCGGUGACCAUGGAGUAGCCCCCACCCGGCAAUCUUAGAACCCUAAGCUCUGCCGCCUCGACCACCACCCCACCUCAACCCCUAGCUCGUCGGCGGCCACUCCACCCACUUCCCUCCCCCCUCCCCUAGCUUGCCAGGGGGCCGCGCCCCUUCUGCGAUGCGGCGCCUGCCCCGUGCGCGCGAUAAAUAGAUAUGGCGCCUUUUGCUAGCAUCUCAUGAUAGCCAUAUAUGGUUUCAAGAAGAUGAUAGCCAUAUAUGGUUGUUUUGUUUAUUAUUGUGUUCAUGAGGCCAAUUUGCAGCUACUUAAAAUCAAGCCUCGAAUUAAAGAUUGCAAUGCAGAAAGCAUGCUAGAUCUUGCACAGCAGAGCACAUACAAGACAGCAGCAGCCUGCAGAUGCCAUGGUGCAGUAACUACCGACAUCAACCAGGCCAUGCAUCCAUUUCAUGGAUUCCUCGCUGGCUGUUCUGAUUCAGAUCUCUAGUGGUCGGGCAGUAAAUUUAUGGAUCGUAUAGAUCAUAGUGCGCAGCACAGUCACGAAGCCUCCGUGAGCUUGCAGACAUGCAGUAAGACACAUGAAAGACAGAGGUAAAAGGAACUAUUUUACCCGAGUCCCGUUGCCAAUGCCAUGGUUAAAUUCUUGUAAAAAAAUGCCAUGGUUAAAUCAAGACACUUCAUCUAAACGCAACGACAAAAGAGAAGGACGCGUUGUAAAAGUACUGACGGCGACAAGUGAGUGGCGUUCAUCUGUCUGUCCCUGCACCAGUGAGACAUGGGGGACAAAAGAUGCAUGGUGCCUUCUCAACAUGGUACUGAACCUUGAGCAACGGUACUACAUCAGCGACACAUUUCGGUUGGCAAUGAAUCUCAUAGUACUUGUAGACAUUGUCGAGACCACACAUGCUCCUAGCUAAAUGGAGCAUCUGAGCAUCAACUGUCAGGAGCAAGCUACACUAGAACAAAACAAGUAAACUGUUGUUGCGAAACUGCAAGCAGCUAGGAAAUGCGUGCUGCGGUAACGAGCAACUGCCGCUGAAACUGCACAUUGCCAAGAUCUAGUAAUGGUACUCGAAGAAAGUUCUGCAUGAUGGCAGCGAGAGAAGACUGAACUUGCCUAUGAUGUCCCCAACAUGGAAGGUCUUCUUCGUAGUCCAGUCGGUGUAGUUGAUGUUGCCGAGGAUGGUCCACCCGGAGGCAUCGCCGACCUUGUAGAUGGCCGCCGACGAGGGCGCCGCCAUCGCGAGCCCGAUCGUCAGCACCAGCAAACCGCUCAUGCCCACGGCCAUUGCUAGCUGCUCCUGCUGCUCUCCUCCCGUGCAAGCUCAGCUCGAUCACACACACCCUAGCUGCGAUGAUCUUGCGAAGGAGAACCUAUAUAUAGCAAGAAGAGAUCGAGGACGAGAUGCCAAAGAGCGGAGGAGACGCAAGGAAUUCAGUUCCACGCGCUUUGCUUGCGCCAAUUGCCGCGCCAGGGAGCAGGAUUUAUAGGAGCCCGCCUGCUCGCUCUCGUUUCCUGGACUGCAUUAUUGACCGUUCUGCCCCUGUGCUCUGCACAUAUACAAUAUGCUCCGCUUUGCUGUCUCUGCUCACUUGGUGCUGGCAGGUUGCUCCUGCGCGGCGUUUUGCUCAUGUUCCUUGAGUAAAGCAAACUCAAAAGCUGGCCGUGAAUCCAAGUCUUGAUCAUGAGCCUGCUUGCGUUGUUGGGUGAGGCCUCUGGUGCCAAUGCUUUUAUUGAGCGAGUGGGCUCUGCUGGUGAGUUGGAGUUGGGGGAUGAGAUCUUUUUCGUUUCAUGGAAGCAACAACGGCAGCCAUGCAUGCAAGAACUUGUCUUUCUUUCGAUCUGUUUGGUGGGUGUAUGCUAGCUGCUUGUGCCUUGCAGUGAGGCAGAUCUUUAGCCUUUCCCUGUUUUAUCCGUUCUCUUUUCACAUGUGGUAUAUAUGAGGAGAGAGUGACACUGGAAUAUUUUAUUCAGAUUUGUUGUGUUUUUGUUGACUGGACUGGCAUAGACGAUAAACAAAGAAGCUUUACAGGAUGUUUGCCCUCGAAGUACUAUAAUUAGUCAGCACUUUUAGAGUCGGAAGCAAUCAAGCAACGCCGUACAUACGUAGCUUGUGCUUUUGUCAAGGGGAAAAAAACUAAAUAUUUGUUGCGAGCUCCCUUCUUGAUUUAGGCUAUCAGAUAGUACUGAAAUAUGCUCAAAGGCGUGGAAAUAGACAUUUGUUUUUUUAAAAACUUUUUAGUAUUAAAAUUCCUGAAUUAUGUGGCCAGAUUUAGCAAUUUUCUUAUUAACAAUGUUGUAGCCUGAAAUGGUUGCACAGGCUUAUUCUGAAAAAAGAACACUAGCCCAGAAAAUAAACCUGCAACAACAUACCGCACUGAAGAAGUGUGAACAACAAGUCGCAAGUACCACCAUUUCCCCCUUCCUUUUCUUCACAUAUAUUUGUGCAGCAUGCAGAAAAUGAUACCUUGCAUUCGAGGAAAUAAGGUGCUUCGACCUGUUCCGUUCCUCAGCAUUGUUUAAUUUUUGCUAUGUUCUCAGCACAGGCUGCACAAAUAUGUUCUAUUACUCUAUCCAUUCUAAAUUAUAUUCUAAAUUAUACGUCAUAUUUUAAUAUUUCUAGAUGCAUAAUUUAAUUUUUGCUAUGUAUCUAUGUAUAGGUGUAUUUGUACAGCUGCAUGGCAAAAACUAUGUACGUAGAAAAACUAAAACAACCUAAAAUUUAAAAUUUGAAACAGAAGUAUUAGCUAUGUUCUUUGGCACUCCCAUGUCACUGUAUAAUAACCUAAAAUUUAAUUUUUAAGUUGGAACGAUCACUAGUUAACUAUCUACCUGUAAGUUUUUUUUGGAAGAUAAUAUAUAUAGCAUCUAUCGGUCAUACGAGAACGCAAGAUCGAACAGUAAAUCAACAUGUACAUAUAAUUAAGGGGUUCCAUGCAUGUAUCAUCUCCACAAUCACCAAGGAAAGCUUGAUAGUAAAAUUACACAUCGACCGACCCUUCCGAUCCAUCAACCACGCACCCAACAGCUGGAUAGUAGUAGCACAUGACAGUCACAGGUCGAAGGUGUUCUUGCCGGUGAACUUGACCUCGAUGGGGCUGACGUUCUUUCCGAUGCUGCGGAAGUUCUGCCCGACGCCCUGCCUGCCGGCGUUGACCUUCUCCGGGUAGACGCCGUCCUUGGGGUGCAGGUACUGGACCUCGCCGUUGGGGAAGACGCGGUAGAACUGGUAGUUGAUCUUGUACUUGGAGCGCAGCCUGGUGCCCAGCGCCAGGCACUGCUCCUUGCGCGCCAGCUUCAGGAGGUUGGGCCCCUCCCGCAUGAUGGCGGCGCCGCCCGUGGGCAUCUCGAACACCUGUUCCUUGGGGGACGUCCACGUGAUCACGUAGAACUCCUCCACCUGCGCCUUGCGGAGCAGGCCCCCCGUGCUGCCGCCGAAGAUCGGGGACGGCGUGUUGGGGUCCAGCUGCGGGGGCACGAACCCCUUGGGGGCCUCCUCGGUCGCCGCCGCCGCCGCGGGCUCCUCGGCUGCCGCGCGGAGCGGGGCCGGCCCGCGGGAGGACGACGGGAGCGCCAGCUGGGACGACCGCGGCGCCUUCGCCGGUGACCAGGCCGCCGCCAGCAGGUGGCGCGUCGCGGCGGAGGCUUGCGUGGCCAUGGCCAUCGGCUUCUUCGGGCGGAAGCUAAGCUGGGGUGCGCGGCAGCAGGAUGAUGCUGGGAGAAUGAGGAGUGGUGGGCGGCGCUGGCGUCGCGGCUAAGAGGUGAUGCUCCGGUUUGGGUGGCGACCGCGGGUGGCGAAGUGGAUAAGGGGAUAUGAGCCCGGCCAAUGGGGAGAGCGGAUUUUGAUACGUCCGGAGGCCGGGCAUCCACACAUGUCACGUCGCCUGCCACACGACGCCGCCACGGUGUAGAAAGCCGCAGAUCAGAAUCUCAUCAGGGUCGCCAGGAGGAAUUAGUACAAGGACAACAUGCAGAUCAGUAGAUGUAGGUAGAUGCAUGUACUGCAAAUCUAGCCAAAAUCCACAUACAUGGAAACCACGGUUAAUAAGACUGAUGCUAGAACACCUCCGGCUGAACAAAAAUCUUAUUUUCUUUUGAGAUGAUCAGCGUUUGAGUUUUUUUAGUCGUUUCAGAAAAAACAUUUGACUUUACACAACUGCGAUGAACAAAAUAGUAAGCCAUUUUACUCUGAAAACUCUGGAUUAUCAAACAUGCGUGACAGAAAAAAACCGCACGACGUCCUAGCAGGUUAGCGGUCUGUUCUUUCUGAGAAAUACAGUACAGACGCAAACCUUCACAUACACAUGUAACCCUACCCCAUCAGUUAAAUUUUAAAAUAAAUUUAGAAAAAAUGCAAGCAUCCAUCCUGAGUCUAGAACUCGAAUUCGGAUGGACAAGUUACACAGGAAACUUUACUAGGUGAGCUAGGCACAGUACGUGGUCAAAUUAUUUACUGAACAAAAUUGGGUCGUCCAAUGCUGAGCUCUACUCCAUCUGACUGCCGGCCCACAGGUGUGCGAAACAUACUCGGUGCAGUCCACCAGCCCAACCAGCCCAACUUGUCGAUGCAGUUCCACCGAGUUUUUUUAAAAAGGGUUAAAAAAAUUUAAAUUCGAAAAAGGGGUGCCGGUUUGGAAGAAUUCGAAAAAUGGGUGCCUCCCGUCCGAUCAACGGGCGGGGGUCGAAAAAAGCAAACAGGCCCCCGGGGAGGGGCCUCUUCGCGAAAGAAAACUUUUCUUAUUCGCGAAGAGGCCCCUGAAGCGGCAUCCCGCUCGUCCAACGGGCGGGAGGAAGGCAUCCCGCCCUCCCAACGGGCAGGAGGUUCCCCCGAGGGGCAUCCCGCCCUCCCAACGGACGGGACGUCCCCCCCCCCCCACUAUUUAAGCCCCCCCACCCACCCCUAAUUCUCAUAAUAUUCAGCAAAAAUCAAUAAAAAAAGAAAGAGAAGAGAGGAGAGGAGAGGAAGCGGCGAAGCCCUGUCGACACGUCGGUUUGGAGGUAUAUUCUCGUUAUAGUCGUAUAAUUAUCAAUUAUUUUUACGAAUAUUUGUUAGGGUAGUUAUACGUAGAAUAGUUUUCAGUAUUUUCAAUAGCUUUUAGAAAUAUUUGUUAGGGUAGUUCUAUUUUAAAUAGUUCUUAGUAUUUUCAAUAGUUUGUAGAUAUAUUUCUUAGGGUAGUUAUAUUUUGAAUAGUUUUUAUAGUUUCACUAGUUUUCAGAUAUAUUUCUUAGGGUAGUUAUAUUUUGAAUAGUUUUCAGUAUUUUCAAUAGCUUUUAGAAAUAUUUGUUAGGGUAGUUAUAUUUUGAAUAGUUUUUAGUAAUUUUAAUAGUUUUUAUAUACAUUUCUUAGGGUAGUUGUGUUUUGAAUAGUUUUUAGUAUUUUUAAUAGUUUUUAGAAAUAUUUCUUAGGGUAGUUAUAUUUUGAAUAGUUUUUAGUAAUCCAAUAGUUUUUAGUAAUUUAAUAAACUUUAGAUAUAUUUCUUAGGAUAGUUAUAUUUUGAAUAGUUUUUAGUAUUUUCAAUAGUUUUUAGGAAUAUUUCUUAGGGUAGUUAUAUUUUGAAUAGUUUUUAGUAAUUCAAUUGUUUUUAGUAAUUCAAUAGUUUUUAGAUAUAUUUGUUAGGGUAGUUAUAUUUCGAAUAAUUUUUAGUAUUUUUAAUUGUUUGUACGAAUAUGUGUUACGAUACUUAUAUUUUUCACGUAGAUAUGGCGCAGACACCGGAGCUCCUUGACGCGAACAUCGACGAACGACACAGAUCGUACCUAGCAGCGGUGGAGGGGCCGGAGCUUCAGGAGUUGCGCCCUCGUGUAGCAAAGGAGUUGUUGCACCUGGACAACCGCUGGCUUGACAGGUGAUACUUUGUAUUUUUUUUACGGAACUAAUGUAUAUCUUGUAUGACAAUUGUAACAAUAAUGCAAAAUAUACAGAUUACGUGAGGCUGGUUUGCUGCCACUCGCACGUAUGCUUCAGGCCGGCGACGGCCAAGACGGUGGCGCCAAGAAGCGGAUGCAGCUGGACCGCUCUCUACUUGCGGCGUUGGCGGACAGGUGGCGUCCGGAGACGCACACGUUCCACUUGUCGUGCGGGGAGAUGGCCCCCACGUUGUAGGACGUGUCGUACCUGCUCGGGCUUCCCAUUACGGGUGAAGCUGUUGGCCCGGUUGCCGUGCCACCUUUCUGGAGGGUGGAGCUUCAGGAGCAGUUUGGUCCAGUGAACCCACCACUUUUUGUGAACGUACCGGACGCGCCCGGCCCCGUCAAGAGUUGGGUAAUACAAUUUAGCCUGAGUAUAAAUAUUUUUUAAUUAAUUUAAUUGAAUCAUAUGUGACUACCUCUAAGCAUUGAACAAAUAUAUUUCAGGCACAGGAUCUCCACCCUCUGGCUGGGCAGUACGAGGUGUCGCGCUGCCUGGAGGCAUAUCUGUUGUGGUUGUUCGGCUGGACUCUUUUCUGUAACUCUAGCGGGAAUUAUGUGGAUAAGGUUCUCAUCCAGUACGCGCGCGCGAUUGCGGAUGCGGAGCCGGGCCAGGUACCUGCGUGGAGCUGGGGAUCGGCAAUACUUGCUGCCACGUACCGAGGCCUUUGCCAGGCGUGUUUCAAGACGGAGAGGACCGCCGUCAUCACAGGCUGCCCACUUCUGCUGCAGCUAUGGUCGUAUGAGCGAUUCGCCAUAGCACGCCCCCUAAUCAGCGAUGAGCCUUAUCCGCCCGAGAUGUAUGGGAUGUGGCACGAGGAUAACCCCACGAUGAGUUCGCUUUGGACCGAUCGACGGGUAAGCUUGUUGUACGUUUCUGUAUAUGCAAAAUACCGAUGCGGUUGUGUAAUUUUGCAGAUGAGCUGGGCACAUCGGCAGGUCCGAAAAGCAUACCCGCAGUUCGUGUCCGAAUUUGAUCGGAUGCGGCCACAGGAUGUCAUCUGGACCCCGUACACCGCUGAAAGGAUCGAUGGACCAAGAGGGGGGGUGAAUUGGGCCUUUUUCAAUUUUUAAAACAAGAUAAAGCAAUCUUAACCUAUGCAAAACUAGAAAGGCACCAAUUCACCAACCGGGUAACUAAACUACCUACGCAAGCUAGGAUAGAUAAAAGGAGGUAAAGCCUUAGCAAGGUAGAGCUAACUAGUGAUCUCUAAAUCUAGCACAUGAAUGAAUUGCAUGAAAGAUAAUGCUUGAAUAAGUAAUAAGGGACAAAAGACAACCGGAUUUUUUUUCCCGUGGUAUCGAUGUGUUGGCACACACCCCUAAUCCACGUUGUGACACUCACAAAGAGUAUUGUCACCUCCCAAGUCACCAAGACGAGGGCGCUCACUAAGAGUCUCCAUUCACCAUCCCGGUGUGGUGGAGAUCAAGCCACGUACAAUCUUCUUCUCCGGACUCCCACAAUCCUUGGCAAGCUCCGCGAGAAUCACCUCGAUCACCAAGAUCGCCUAGGUGAUGCCAAUCACCAAGAGUAACAAGCUAAGGCCUUCACUUGAGCAAGAACCGAUCACCAAGAACGGAUGCACACAAGCUUCUCUCUACUCAAGUCCUUAAUCUUACUUCUUGAAUGAUUGAAUGAAUAAGUGUGUGAAAUGAUGAAGCUCAAAGUGGCUCUUGACUAUAGUAUGAGUGUUUGGAUGUUUCCUGGUGUCAAGAGUGGUAGAAUGACCCAUUGGAGGGGUAUAUAUAGGCAGCUCACACGAAUAGAGCCGUUGGAGAAAAAGCUGCCAGAAAACUGCGUAGCGCCGGUUAAUCCGACGUCCCUCCAAUAGUCAUCGUCGGUUUAACCGGUGAAUGUAAACUACCCCUUCUGAAAACUAGCCGUUACAGCUUGGGCAGAUUAACCGUCGUAGCAUCGGUUUAACCGGUGAGUGUAGUUGUCCACUGAUCAACUGAAAAACCAAGUCUCUGGACAACUGCACCGACGUUAAAUUCAAAUAUCGUCGGUUGAACCGGUGUAUAGACUUGUUCAGACUCUGUUGACACCGUUUAACCGACGUAUAGAAAAGUUGAGGCGUCGGUUAAACCGGUGUUAAGGAUUUUCCUGAUUUUGUCUUUUCUGACUUGAGUCUUGAAUGAAAUCCAAAUAUUCUUGAGAUAUAAGUUGAGGACCACUUAUUUGAGCUUCUGGAAACCUGAGUGACUAUUGUGUGCAUCCAUUUUCAAAUGACCAUGUCCAUGCUCAAGUUACUAAGCCUAAACCCCUCUUAAUAGUGCGAUCACUACAAAACUAUAAAACCUAUACUAACCUAAGUGUCCUUCUCAACCUUAUGACACUUAGGACUAGAAAGAUCCUUAGUCUUGACAUAUUAUUGAGUUGAAUGCCGAGAUCGCCUUUUUGAAUAAUGAAAAUUAGGGGCCUCUUUUGACAUAUAACCAAAUGAGCGAUAAUGAUCUAUAAAGCUGCACAAACUCAUUAGUCACAAUAAUGGUUGUCAUUAAUCACCGAAACAUACCUUGAGGGCCUAUAUGCUUACAAUCUCCCCCUUUUUGGUGAUUGAUGACAACAUAAACAUAGAUAACGAGAGAGCGAGAAAGAUAAGGCACGAAUAAACACAAGCAAACUCCAAAAGAGAGAAUCAAGGAACUCAAUGGCUCAACCGAAAUCCAUAGAUAUGUCUCAAAAGCUCAGCAUGCUCAAACGACAAAUGUACAUAUCCAUGAACUGACACCAAAUAUAAUACAAUAAGAAACAUCAAAGUCCUGAUCACGAGAUCUCUCUAAUGCUACCCUCCCCCUGACUCUCACUCACUCUCCCCCUUUGGCAUCAAAGCACAAUAAAAAGGAGAGCUACUGAUCCGGCUGACGAGGUACUGCAAGGAAUCGAUCCGGGUCAUCGUCGUCGUCGUCGUCGGACGGUGGAUCCUCAGUGACAGAUGGGAGCUGCUGAUCUGAACUGCCGGCAGGCGCUGAGCUGACUGGAGGUGUAGCGGUCGUCGAGGCUCUGGUGCUAGCACUGCCGGGAAGAGGAUCCGUGGAAGUAGUAGCUGGCUCAGCAGAAGAUGUGUCCACAUCUGAAGUAGUGAGUGCUGAUGCUGCCGGCUGUGACGACUGCUGAACCAAAGAGACCUCUCCUCCUCCCCCUGAAGGUAGUGUCUGUGGAACGACGGGGAGGCCGGCAGACUGCACUGCUGAGGGUGACUCCUGGAAGAGUGAGGUCGCAGGCAAUGGAGAGAAGAGUGGACGACUCGCAGACCCAAGUAGUGCUGACAACGAGAACAUGAUCUCCGGGGUCGCUGAGGUAGCUGGAGCAGUAGAGGCUGGAGCUGGUGUGACUGCAAGUGGAGGUGCUCCAACGCCCUGAAGGCCUGGCUGACCUGGCUGCUGUGGGGCGAGUCCGGUGUGGGAGUACAGCUGUGAGAUCAUCCCGAACAUCGCCAUCAUACCCUGCUGCAUCUGCUGAAACUGAGCGUCUGUCCUCUGAGAUACUCUGUCAAUGAGGCCGACAAAACGCUCCUCUGUAGCAGCUCGCUCUCGGGCGGCCUCUCUCUGUAUCUCUGCAAGCUGGGCCUCAUGAGCUCUCCUGGCCUCCUCCUGGGCGCGACGGUCCUCUCUCUGCUGUGUGACCAGCUGCUGCAGAAGUGCGGUGAGCUCAGACGGCUGAGACACCUGUGACUCUGAGACUGUAGCAGCAGCAGCUGACACUGGAGCUGGCUCUCCGGAACCCCCUGCCUCGUGAUCGUGACUCGCUGGAGCAGGUGCAGUGAAGUACUCCUCAUCCUCGGAGGAGUCUGACUCUAGGUCAGACCAAUGUAUCUCAUCGUCUCCUCCGGGAAGCUGUGCCUCUGCGGCUAGCAAUGCCUCAUCCUCCUGGGCCACUCGGGCCUGUACCUUAGGUGACAGGCGUGCCAUGGCAGCUCGAUCUGCCUGUCUGCCUCUCCUCCUGUCUGAGGGAGCUGUCGGGCGGUAGACGGGGAACCAGGGAACCUCGUCCUGUCUGUAGACUGCACUGACGGGUGACUCAGCUGGCACUAUCAUAGAGCAAAUGAAACUGAUCCAGUGAGCAUAAGGAAACUGUCGUACAACGCCCAUCCCGUCAGUGAUAACAUUCUCAAUCUCAGCCAAAAUGAAAUCAACAAUAUCGAACGGCUCGUGAGUGAGAAUGUGAAGAAGCAGUAGCUGCUGCAGACCUGUGAACCCCUCUGGGUAGCCACUCCUCGGGAGCAAAGUCCUUCAAAGUGCCAUGUGAACUGCGGAAGCACUGAGAUCGCCUCGUGAGAAGGUGCAAUACCGCCAAUCAUAGCUCUGCGCGGUGGAUCUGCAUCACCAUAGACCAUCUCGUGCAGGGAGACGUCAACCAGGUCAACUCCAAGAAUCCCUGCAAGUGUCGCUCUGGACAAACCAAAGACCUGGCCUCCAAACAUGAAAUGUACAGCUCUGCGCUCUGGGGCAAUCCAUGCUGUAGUAUAAAAGACUCUUACCAAGUCCUCAAUAUAUCUGUUCCUCUCAAUCGAAAGUAACCUGGGCAGUCCCCUGAAAUGAGCAAAGUGCUCCCUGACAUCGGCUCCCCCUGCAGCUGUCCUCUCUCCCCCCGGGAAGGGGUCUGGUGCCGCCACGUGCCGCCCCUACGGUGGGAGCGGGCCUGGCCCUGCCACGUGCCUGCGGCUGGAGGCCUUUUGCGGGUCCUCCAGCCCACCUACCAGCAUUCAAUGCGGUAGCACGGCCUGCCACUGACACACGGGGCAGGUAUGCUGACACCACGAUAAGCCUGCCUAAUCUGAAGGCGGCGCGUCGUAUCACCGUGUACUGUGCACAAGCGGCGUAUAGUCCCGUCACGGCGCUGCGCGCGUGCGUGAUGAUGGCCUGUAAUAGGUGAGCCAAGGCGUGCGCUGUAACAGUGCGCACGCAACGGGUUAGCGCUGUUUCACCGCCUGACAGAAGGUUCCAUCCCAACAGUGACAGCACGGCUUCACUGUUGGGCAACGCUGACAACGGAAACUGUACAAGACAAGGCUGCACACGGCCAUAUCCUGGCUGUGGAUACGCACAUCAAUUUUCCGAUCGAGAGGACUACGAAGAGGAGCUCGAGGUGAUGACCUCCAUAUCUCUCGUAGAACAGGCUCCUGUUGGCCGGGCCCACCUGUCGGGGCCCCGCUCGGUGUAAGCACUCCCCUUGGACUAUAAAAGGGAGAGUGCACUCGUUAGAAGACACAUCGGAACACACACGCCUCAGGCUCAGUCUGGUUCACACAAUCAAUACUACACCAAAGUGGACAUAGGGUAUUACGCUUCGGCGGCCCGAACCACUCUAAAAUCCUCGUGUUCUUCAUGCGUUCAUCUGUUCACCGAUCUAGCGCUCCUAAGUCUCCUCCAAACCCAUCCUUAACUAGGAUUAGGCGUGUGCAUUCCGCCACCCGGCUGGAGAUUUCCUCCGACAAGUACUCUUCUUCGUAAAAUUGAAUUAAAAUUUUAUAUGUAUACAAAAGAGUAUGGAGAAUAAAUAUUGUAUUUGAAAAAAAUUCUGAAUUUCAAAUAGUUUGUAAACCAUAAAUUCCAAUAAAACAUAACAAUUACAACAAAAUAUAAUAAAAAUAAUAAGCAGCAGGGGGAUCUCCCGCCCACUAAACUUUUCUUAUUCGCGAAGAGGCCCUCGGGAGGGGCCUCGAAAUAUUUUUUCGAACCUCCCGCCCGCUGGUUGGGCAGGAGGUCCUCGGCCCCACGCCUCCCGCCCGAUCAACGGGCGGGAGGUACCCAUUUUCCGAAUUGUUCCAAACCGGCACCCUUUUUUGAAUUUAAAUUUUUUUAACUCUUUUUUAAAAAAAAUCCAGUUCCACCGGCCCAACAGGCCCGUUGCGGGAGCUGGCCCUCCUUCUAGGCGGCACGGCCGUGCGGCCACCCCUGCGCCUGCCGCCGUCUUCCCCGCCAGCCAGUCGCCGCCGCGCCGGGUGCACCCGCGGCAGCCACCAGCGCGGCCUCCAACUCCUCGUCCCGGCACCGCUGCCAUCGCCCGAGCGCCGCCCGUGCAACCGAAUCCAAGUGGGUCCGGCCCUGACACGUCAUCACAUUUUCCCCGCCGUCUGAUCGAGAUCAGUUUUAGGAAAGGAAACCACCCCGACUUGCUUGUUAAGAAACAGAUAGCACGGGCAAGGCAACCAAAGUUGUGCUGGCCCUGCCUUUCUGUUUGUCCGCCACCGAGCCCCGUGUUGCGUUCCUCGCCGAUGGAGGAAACCCUAGCCGUCGAAUCCGCCGCCGGCGAGGCGCCCGCCGCGGUGGCGCCGGAGCGGAAGGAAGAGACGCUCGAGGAGGUGCUCGCCAGGCACAGGUCAGUAGCCCUCUUUCCUUCACCAUGCCAGCUGUGGAUUGGGGUGAUUGAGCUUGUGCCUUCUAGAUUUCUGUCAAGUUAUAUGUCGUGUCGUGCGUCUCGCAAGAGAGAAAAAAACUAAAACUUCUUCCUUCUUGUUUUUAUGUGUUUAAUAGGGAACGCAGAUCGAUUUCCCCCCUGUGGUAGAUACUUGGGGGCUUCUAAAUUGUAGGCUGGCUGGUUCACUAGUUUUGACACUGGUGCAGCUGUGGCUUUCCUGUAAGAUUUAGCACUCUCGUGUAGCUGUGGAUUUCCAUUAGUCCAAAAAGUUGCAAAUAUUAUUUAUCUGUGAAGGUGGACAUGUUUCUUCUUAGCCUAGAUGACCGUAAGAAAGUUAGUUUUCCAUGGCGACAAUUAAACUUCUUGGCUAUUAAAGUUGCGUAUAUACUAGUGAUAUGUGGAUGCAAGUAAUGCUCUGUUUUCAUGCUGUUGUUCAAGUGAUUGCAUACACAUGUGACCCGAGUUGGUUCGGCGGAGCGACUUUCGCUGAAAACCUGUGCAGCAUGAGCGAGUUUAAAGCAUUUAAAGGAUAUCAGAGUGGUGACAACUAGCUGAUAGCUCGGUGGUUGGGCAUCCCAGUUGUGCUGCCAGCCGACUAGGGCUUGAACCCUGGGUACGUUGGCUGUCGGCAUGUUUCUUCUCGACCUAGAUGACUAGAAUUUCCCUCAGGGCUGUUUCAUGGACACAAUUAAACUUCCCCGCUAUUAAAAUUUUGAAUAUAUAGUGAUAUAUGGAUGCAAGUGACAUUUUUGCGUGCUGUUUGAGUGACUACAGAUACACACAUGGCCCAAGUUGGUUCGCUGAACGAUCCUCCCUUAAAAGCGGUGUAGCAUGUGCGGGUUUAAAGGGCCUAGAAGAUAUAACAGUGGUGCGACCUCGCUGAUAGCACGAUGGUUGGGCACCCAAUUGUGGUGCCAAUCGACCAGGGCUUGAACCCUGGGCCGCGCGCAAAAAAAAAGAGGUCCCUCAGUUGUUCACCCAGGGAGUCCACCCUUGGCUAAUGUCGGCUUUAGGUACAUUUUCUCGAGUCUCGACCCUGGAAAGUUGAGAUUCCUUCUUAAGGGAAGUUUGUAUGGAUAGGUAUAACGCGUGAUAUUCUAUCUGUAGACUCUAGGUUCAUAUGCUACGUGCCAUGAACAAAGUGCAUUGCUGCUACAUGACUGCAAUACUGCAUUAUUGGGGGUAGAGAAGUUCAUAUAUGCCAGACUUCACACCAGUUGCAUUCACUGCACGUUUUCGCUAAAGGAUUGAGCCCUGCUAGAAUUCUAAUAAAGAAUACCUUACACUCCACUUUUCACCUGAUCAGCAUAAAGGAUAAGAUGUAUGAUAGUAAAGCACUUCGAUUAUUCAUGUUCCAUUCAAUUAAAUUUAUGAAAAUUACAUCAAGUUAAUCUAGAAAAUAGAAUAUGCUGCAUGACUUGCUUUAGGUUUGGUAUUUCAAAUUGUGUGAUGAUAUAAUGGACCUAUGGCUGAGAAUGCGGAUACUUCAUUGUUUUAGUAUCAAAAGAUCAGUUUCAUAAGGAAAAAUUUAUAUAUUGGAAAAAAGAGGAGAACGUUAUAAGUGGCAUGGAAUGUUUGCUUGCCUACUUGUCAGUAUGAUAUAGAAAGGUUUAUGUUUGAAGACUUCAUCAGAUGAUCAAAUGUUACACAAAUAUAGUAGUUGAAUCAUUUAUGGAACCGUGUUUACACAGCUAAACCUCAAGUUUCUGGUCAGUUUUAGAGAAGCCGUUUUCUGCCAGCUGACUGGUUAGAGCAUUAUAUAUUUCAUUAUACACCAAAUGUAUGUUCACGUCAAACCCAACAAGAUUGUGACCUGCAAAAGUUAUUUCAUAUUUCUGCUUGUGUUUUAUGGUGUGAAAUCAGCUGUGUAGCUGAGUUCAUUGAUGUUGGAACUUGCUGUUUUCUAUUCCUCAUUUAUCAGACUUGGAUGUUCCUUACCUGCUUACUUGAUGGUUUCACAAAUGGUGGGCUGCAACCUUUUCAGUCGUGUCACAACUCACAAGUUAUUGACAAUGAUUUUCUGUUUAAUGUGUCUGAAACAGGAAAGAAAAAUCCAAACUCCAGGAUAAAGAAACAAGCCUGAAGAAAGCUGCUGCCAAAGGAAGCAAAGCUGAGCAGAAGGCUAAGAAAAAGCAAGUAGAAGAAGAGAUUGCACGCCUAUCAGCUGAGUUAGAGGCGAAACAUGCUGUGGAGCUUGCUUCUUUUGGGUACAAACCCUCAGGCAGCUCAGAAAAGGGUAACCUUGACAACCUAGUGAAGGCCAUAGCUGGUGUUUCCAUGUCCAGCAAUUUGGAUUCCGCAAAGCCCAGCAAGGGUGCACGGCGGCGAGAGAAGAAGGCAAAGGAGGAAGCUGCUCGGGAGCAGCGGAUCCAAGAAGAACAAAGCAAUCUCGUCAGCGACCGCAUGCUGGAAAACGAGAAGCUUGAAAGUAAGCUUGAGCCCUUGGGGCUGACCAUUCAAGAAAUAAAGCCAGAUGGCCACUGCCUGUACCGUGCUGUUGAAAACCAGUUGUUGCUCCAUUCCAAGGGCACGGCACGGUACAGCUACCAGGACCUACGGCAGAUGACGGCCAAGUACAUGAGGGAGCACGCAGACGACUUCCUCCCGUUUUUCUUAGCAGAAGGCAAGGCUGAGACUGGGUCAGAUCCCUCUGAGAGCUUUGAGAAGUACUGCCAGGAGAUCGAGUCCACGGCAGCCUGGGGUGGACAGCUUGAGCUUGGUGCGCUGACCCACUGCCUCAAGAAGCACAUCGUGGUCUACUCAGGCUCCUUCCCGGAUGUGGAAAUGGGCCAGGAAUACAAAUCUGGAUCCGGAGGUAGUAGUGCCGGGGAUGUUAGCAUCAGGCUGUCCUUUCAUAGGCAUGCCUAUGGUCUUGGUGAGCACUACAACUCAGUGAUUCCAACUGAGUCAUGAUAACAAAAGAAAUUCGCCGCACUCUGAUAUGUUUGAUUGUUUACUGGUCUUGCCUGUUGGAGGUUAAACACAAUAGAUGACUUGUUUCCGGUUGCUGCUAAAUUUUCCAUCUUCUCAUCGGUCGUUGAUGGUUGAGUGUACCAAUCAAAUCUGUACUCGGGAGGUUGUUUCCCAAACAAUUUUGCUCUUACCAGUAUUAUGUUGCAAUCAGUGAUAUGUUUUUCCAUUGGCUGUAGCUUGUUGCUGCUUUUGAGUGGAAGUGUGGAACCCUAGAAUCAGUGAUACGUUUCUUUGCCUGUGUGCAUUCCUAAUAGUUGUUGCCUUGUGCCGUUGCUGAAAUCGGCUGUAAGUUUUCAGUUGGACGGCUCAGUUGCAUUUUGCCGUCUUGGCUCUGACAUGCUGCUGUUCAGUUGACAGUCUGCAAAAAGAAGAGCCUUUUCAGGCAACAACGCAAGCAUCGUCAGCGAAGGUAGCCAUGCAAGUUAUAACAAGUUAUAUAUUUAGAUCAUUGGUCGAUUUAAAAAAUUAAUAAAAUAAAUUAAAAUUGCACUUUACGUAACUAAUUUGAAAUAUUUUAAAGAAAUGAACUAAAGUGGCGUACCAUCAUAAUUAAUUAGCUGAUAAAAAAUGCUACUAGGUAUCCGCUUAUAUUCUUAAACGCAGGUCAGAUGAUGAUAAGGUAGUUCACUCUAGUCAUUGAUUGGUUACUUUUCUCAUGACGUGGCUUCAAAUUUUGAUAAUCUAUUUUCUAAAUUUCGAAGUACCCUAAUUAUGAGGUAUGUAUAUGACCAAUUGGUUGCAUCUAAACUACUUAGAGCAACUCGAGCAAAUCCUCUGAACACGCCUCUAUUCCAAAUUUAGAGGGUUAAAUAAAAAGAUGCAAUCCAACACAUUCUCUGUUAGACCCUCUAUUAUUUUGGAAAGGCCUCCAAAUUCUCUCCUCCACCCUCUGAGUCAGAAUUGAGGACUACUUCUGGAGUUAAAUCAAAUUUGGAAGCCCCAAAAAAUAGAGAUAGACCCUGUCGGUGUUUUACCGGCUGCCCACCGAGAGAUAUACCCAAAGUGGUAAGUUUAGGUGAGGAGACAUAGAGAUCUGGAACUCGAAGAUGCAAGGAACACAAAACUUAGACAGGUUCGGGCCGCGAGGUGCGUAAUACCCUACGUCCUGUGGUGAUUUGUAUUGCCUUGGGUGUAGAAUGAUCCUAGGAUCUGCCUUGAAUGCGUCUCUACCCCCCCUCCCCCCUAUAUAUCCGGGAGGUCAGGAUUACAAGAAUUCUAGUCCAAUACUAGAUAAGGAAUCGUAACCGAAUACAACUCGAGUAGAUUCCUUCUGUACCGACUAGCUUUAUCUCUUAUUCAUAUGAGAUAAAUAAGAUGUAAAUGUAAAUAAGAGAUAAGACGGGCUUUAUCUCUUAACCCUGUUUAAACUACGUUAUGUACACAGUCUCGUGGCCCCGGAUCUGACAAGCCCCCGAGCUCUUUGUAGCUGAGUACUGCAGGCUUCUCGAGUACUUUUGAAGUAGUCUUCGGCUUCUUUUGAAGCUUCGUCUUGAAGUUCUUCUUCAAGUAUUUACUUGGCUGCAUCGAGGCUAUGAGGUGCUCAUGCCUCGAAUUACUUCUUUGGUAUGGUGUGCGAUUGAAAAAUCGUACUCCAUAUGGAGUAGCCCCCGAGCCUUAGGUUGAAUCGGAGAAUCAGGCUCAGGGUGAUAUUAGUCUUGAAUCUUCGUUGCCUACUCUUCGAAUAUAUUCAAAAAAUAAGUAGUCGAUGACACAUAUCCUGCAGCCCCCGAGUCUUGAAUCCAAAACCUUUAGGUUUGGAAAAAGGAUCCAAGAAUCGUGGUAUUGGUGUUACUCUGAAAUUUCGAGAAAAACUCUUCGCCUUCUGCAUAGUGAAAUUGAGCCUCCCGCUGGUUUAUUUAACCGCGUGGUGACUUAGGGUUUCUUCUGCACUCUUAGUCCAGCCCCCGAGCUUACGAGCCAGGAGAGCCGAAGGAGCCACGUUGAGUAGUGUGCAUCGUUCAGCUCCCGAGCCUGGGAACUAGCGGAACUGUGAUAGCACACCGUACUGCCUGGAGGGUUGUUGCCGAAGCUUGAUAUGAAAAAAGACAAUGCAUACAUUAUGUAGCAUAAUGCGAAGAUACCGAAUAGUACUUAGUAAUAAUGUGAAGACACCAAAAUUUAUUUGGUGUAAAAAUUGCUGUGUCAAGCUCUUUUUUAGGCCAUUUAAACCUCCCGAGUAGUAUGCCUGUUACGUUUAAGCACCUGGUCCUGUUUUAGCCAUUGCUCAUAGCGUGUAUGAGAUCUUUAUCUCGUGUACGCGUAAAGGCAUUAGGCGUGACAGAAGAGCUGAGGUUUCACGGAUUAAGGCAUGUGCUAUCCGAGUAGAUUAGCGACCGUUAAGAGGAGACAAAGAGUAGUUGUCAUGCAACAAAGAGGAUGAGCAGUGCGCAAAAUUAGUCGAUAUUGCGACAGAAUGAAUGCGCGUUGCACAAAAUGUAGUCGACGAAGUGUAGCUCUGGAGGGUUUCAUGCCCAUCGAGAGAUGUACACGAAUAAGUAGUCGGCGAAGUGUAGCUCUGGAGGGUUUCAAUGCCCGUUGAGAGACGUACAUAGAUAAGUAGUCGGCGAAGUAUAGCUCUGGAGGGUUUCAAUGCCCGUCGAGAGACAUACACAGAUAGGUAGCCGAUCAUGGAGUAGCCUCCGAGGGUUUCAUGCCCGUCGAGGGGCGUACCAAAAAAGGUAGCUGAUCUUGUGAAGAACAAGUCGGAAAAGUUAUAAGUCACUUAGCUUGACUCGUGGACGAAUGUCGAUGAAGCCGUGGAGCUUGUUGAUGGAGCUGCGACAGUUUGUUGAUGAAGCUCGACUAGUCGGAGUCGAUUUCGACUGGUGAACUGGAAAGAUGCCAUCGAGUUCGCCGGUAGAUCUUCGAUGCGCUCCCCUACCUAGCGCGUCGGCUGUCGGUGGUUUACUGGCUGCCCACCGAGGGGUAUACUCAAGGUGGUAAGUUUAGGUGAGGAGACACCGAGAUCAGAAACUCGAAGGUGCAAGGAACACAAAACUUUGACAGGUUCGGGCCGCGAGGUGCGUAAUACCCUACGUCCUGUGGUGGUUUUUAUUGUCUUGGGUGUAGAAUAAUCCUAGGAUCUGCCUUGAAUGGGUCCCUGCCCCCCUUAUAUAUCCGGAAGGUCAGGAUUACAAGAAUCCUAGUCCAAUACUAGAUAAGGAAUCGUAACCGAAUACAACUCGAGUAGAAUCCUUUUGUACCGACUAACUUUAUCUCUUAUUCAUUUGAGAUAAAUAAGAGAUAAGACGGGCUUUAUCUCUUAAGCCUGUUUAAAGUAUGUUAUGUACACAGUCCCGUGGCCCCGGGUCUGACGGACCCCAUUUAGCAUUUGAAGAUCUAAUUUAGGAAACUUUGCUGGAGUUGCUCUUAGCGAUAAAAUACCAAUUCCCUCCAUCUGACCAGCAUUGACAAAAAAGUGAAACACCAUGCUACAGUACCUAUUUACCGUAAGGAGUCUAAAAAAAUCUAUUUACCGUAAUGAAUAGGCUGCACGCGCGUGUGAAAUGGAAACAAAAGUAAUGAAGAAAUAUAGAUGUUUGGCCCUGGCCGUUCGACUUGACGAAGGCCCAGCAGCCCAACAGACGGAGAGCCCUUAUUAUUUAUAUUCUCCUCUUGGGCUCUUCCCCUCUGUGUUCUCUUUUAGGGUUUACACUUUUGCGACGAUGAUGAACAACGACCUCAGUGCCGGCGACCGCUGGGCUUGCACCGUUGCGGAGGAGAUCCGACGCUUCAAAUCUCUCAGGCCUCGCCCAUGGAGGGUCUUCCGCUACACCCCGAGUGGAGGUGGCCAAAUGGCUGGGGAUCCGACCACUGACGCAGAGCAAGCGUGACGAGGUCGUGGACAUGGUCGCGAAGAAGAUGGCUGGGCUUGCAGGCUCAGCGUUUUCUUUAUCAGCCGAAAUUCACCGAAAUUUUCGAUAUUUCCAUUCUAUCCGUGAGGUCCGAUAAAAGUAGAUAUUGGUCAAAUUUUUCCAAUUUUUCAUGCUCAUAUAGAUAGCCCAAAUUCACCCGCGUCACGAUCCCACACUCAUAAUAUUUUAUUCUUGAUUUUAUCUGUGAAUAAGUGAUGUUUAAUAGCUUAGGAAUAAUUUCAGGUAAAAUUCUAUGAAUCUUUUCAAAACAAUUUGAAUUUUUUUAAAAUUUGAUUCGAUAUUUCCGAUAUAUCCUUGUUAUCCAAUUUAUCGAUGACCUCCAAUAAAUUUUAAUUUCCGAUAAUGAAAACCCUGCGCGCAGGCUCCUUCGUGCUGCGCCACGGCACCAUCUCGGAGCCCGAGGCCAGUCGCGCCGCCGCCGCCGCCGUGGAGGCCAAGGCCUUCUCCGCUGUCUCUGUGUACGCCGCCCACAAGGACCUGGCUACCAAGACGGAGCGGUUCGAGAUCUUCCGGACGUACACUAAGGAGUUGUGGAGUCGCGCCUACCGCUACGCCAAGUCCCGACCCGAAGCCGCCGGCACCUCAAGGGCUGCAGGGCCCACUGCUCUGCCGCCUCCUGCCGCUUCCUCCGUCGGUUUCGCCGCUUUCGUCACUGGCGUCUGCGACGGGGCCUCCAACUGCUCCGCUCCCAAGUAGUAGGGAAAUAGGGCGUCGCCCGCGCUUUCAUCCAACGGGAAUUGCAUGCUCUCCUUUGGUGGGGGUUUCGUUGGUGUCUAUGGUUAGUACUAUGUGAUCUGAUGUCUAUUUGAGAUUACUCCAGUGAGAAAAUGAUCUACUUAUGUUUGUGUCUAAACGAUCUGGUACCUACUCUGCUCUAUAUUAUAUAUAUAUAUAUAUAUAUAUAUAUAUAUAUAUAUAUAUAUAUAUAUAUGGAGUAGCUACAAGCGCGUGUAGAAUAGAUUUUUCAUAUAUAUAUACAAUCACUUGUAGCUACUCUCACUAUCAGUAUACCAUCGUGCGUAUGUCCACAUACUCAUUUAUCACUUUAAAUAUGUUCAUAUACUAAUUCUAAGAUACUUCUGAGAGAUAUGCAUGAAAAAUUUUAAAAGUAUCCCUAUUUUUUUAAUAUAUCAUGAUUAUAUAUUAGUACUAGUAUAUAAAAAUAAGUAUAUCUAUAUAUUCCAUGUAUGAUCACAUACUUAAAAUAUAUACCAUCAUAGAUAAUCUAGUAUGAUUACAUACACCUCGUAUGUUGUAUCAGAUACACCAUACAUCAUGACAUACAAAUGUGCGAAGAUCCUGCGAGCGGACCCAUGGGAGCAGAAGCGCUGGCAGAGCUCUCCGUGGCGGAGCGGCGGUGAACGAAAACCAGGCCGACCGGAUCUGCGCGGUUGCGCUGCCGGAUCCGAUUAUCGGGGAGCUCAUUUUUUUUAAUUUUUUCUUCCUUUUCUAUUUUUCUUUCUCCAAACUUUUUUCACCUAAAGUUUCCUGAUUUCGUAAUAAAAGUUUCCUAUACAACUUUUCCGCCAAAAAGGCUAUGUAGAGUGUAUAACUUCUUGUUUUGUUUUACUUUGUUGAAAUUCUUUUGUGCAAAUGUUGGUUAUUUUUGUUUCCAAAAUUUUCCUAUAAAUUUUGUUCUCAUUUUUAUUCUCUCAAUUUUAAUAAAUUUUUGUUUCCAAAUUUUCGUUUUGAAUAUUUAGCAGAUUUUUUGUUUCAAAUUUUUGUGACCAAUCAAAAUUUUGUCUAUCUAAUUUUUUUCCAAAAUAUUUUCCUACUUUUAAUAAAUUUUGUAGUCAUUUUUUUGUUUUGUAAGUUUUCUAUCUACAAGUUUUUUAAAAUUUUGUUCGCAAUUUUUGCUUCCAAAUUAUUGCUUUCCAUUUUUUUUAACAGUUAUUGUUCAAACGACAAUUUGCUCGUGAGGGCAAGUGGGGAGUUGACAGGUUGGGGAUGGGGAACAAAGCCAUCGCCUCAAGACUUUCCAAAGGAAUAGAGCCGAGCGGGUGGGGAGUUUGGAAAAGGAAUGGCGCGGGGGAAUAAGUCCAAAUAAGGACGGUCGCCGGGAGUGAGGACGCGGUCCUCCCUGCCGCGCCGAACGCAGAGCCUCCGAACGAUGCAGCUCGACCAGGUUCCGGCUGGGAUUUUCCGCUCCGGACGCGCAGCACACGGACCGCAUGCAAAUGCCUGAUGGCCUCGCCGCGCCGGCGCGGCCUCGCCCACCGCGGCACCGCUAACACGGCCGCCGCCGCCGCUUUGCUUCCGCAGGGAAGAGUUCCAGGGAAUAGCCAAUUUUGCGAUGCGAAGCGUAUAUGUUUAGCUCGUUGAUCACCGGCUACCACCUCCAUUGUCGAGCCUGCGUGCACAGCGCGGUGUGCGGAGCGGCAGCACGGGGGCUCGAAGAGGGGGCGUGAGUGAAAACGAAGGCUUGACAUCCGCGGGCACGGCGGCGAAUCUCCCAGCUGAAGGCUGCGUGUACCAACCAAGGCUGUAACCGGGAGUUCAUUCUCCCAAACAAUUUUUCUCGCUGUUUCCUGGGUUCAGAUUGUGUCAUUGCGUGCCGUCACCGUCCUCAUCACCAUGUUUUGUUGCUGCUUUGUGACUUGAACAGAAACUAGUACGCUCCCUUGCAUCCCAAUGAGUAGUCGCCUUCUUACCGUGUCUGUAGUUGCUUGUCUGCUUCCUGUUAAUUCGAGCUGCAGCUUCGCCUUCGCGGCGCUCUUGCCUCUUGGCCUGGACAUGGUCCGCAAAGAAGAGUGUUCCCUGUGGGUGUUUGGCAAUGGCAACAGAAAAGUCAGUUCGGGGUCUCUCAUCAGUUGUGUGGCUUCCGUCUUCCUUCCAGGCUUCCAGCCGAGGCCGUCGUAGCAUACUGUCCUCGGCUCCUCACCAUGCCUGCCGCCUGCAGGAUCGCCUCGCCUCGUCGUCCCGUCAUAAGGACAUCUCCGCCAUGGCCGGCAUCUCCUCCCUCUCGUCUCCAGCAGCGCGUCAUACCUCCUCCAUUCUGCAGGACCCUGCACGGUGGGCUUCCGGCCGGCGCCCGGCGGCGCGCGCGUCCACCUUUGUGCGCCGCGAUGACGACGGCGUCGCGUCGCGUCACCUGCGCUGCGAAAAUGACUGGGCAACUGAUUUUCUGGGCCGUGGCAUCGAACUGGGCCGACCUGACUGCUAUAGGCCCACACGACGCUCCCAAGCCCAAACACCUGCUCGGAUCCUGCCGCUCGUUCCCGAUCCGACGGUUUCCGUGACCCCAGGGUGGACGGUAAAUGAAAUAUCGUCCGCGUCUUGAUGUGUGCUCCCCUCGCGACGGCCGCCGCCUUCCCACCGCCGUCCGCUGGCUUGCUAAUCGGAGUCGGGGUUAGAACGCCGUCGCCCCGUCGCGCUGACGGCCGCAUUCCGCUGAUCGAUGCGCCUCCGGCUGACCCUCGUCGCAACUCGCGCACAGAUGGUGGCGAGCCUGCCGGUCAACGCUGAGGGCCUCGAGGCGCCGUCGCGCGCUCGCCAGCCGCUAACGCCGCCGCCGCCGCCGCGCCGUUGCUGUCGAGGGUAACUACGAGAACCGCCCGAUUUAAUAUUAUUUUAAGUGAAACCGUCGGUUCUUAUCAUGAAAAUGAGAGUAAACUUGCGCUCGCACCAAUAGCGUGCCACAGGUUAACCCACAUCUAAACUCCCAAGAAUCAACUUAACUUUUCACCGAAAAUAAUACUAAACCCGGUAGUCCCGGUACGUGCUCCAACAUAUGCCCAAGAUCACGCACAUGCACAUACCGUCACAAGCUCAUAUAUCACCAUUGAUUCACAAAGAGUAAAUUUUAAUACAAAGUUAAGCCAUUAACCAUUACAACAUUGAUAUAACGGAAGGUUCUAAAUCUGAAUUUAAGGUUCAAUAAAGGAUACAAGCCUCGGGCUCACAUAGAAGAGAUAAAAACCAUAAAGUUUAACGUUUAUCAUGAUAACCUCAAGUACGAUAUGCAGCGAAAAAUAUAACGAUAAAUAAUAUUAAUGACGCCUUGCUCAAGGACACCAUUGACCAUAUUGGCCUAUUCCUCGCCCGCGCCGGGUUCGGCGGGGUAGAAAUGGCCAAACACCACUUCCGGCUCACCUGCAACUUAGUAUAAUAAAGCAACAUGAGUACAAAGGUACUCGCAAGACUUACGCGGAUAAAUAAAUCAAGAAAAAUGCAUAUGAAGGCUCACAAGAAGGCUUUAGGGCUAAGUAAAUUAAAUACGCAUGAGCUUCCUAGUUCCACCAUCUAGCCUCCUAGCAUUUUAAUUAACUUGCCCAACCCACCUCAAAUUUUAGUUAAUUAGAUAACUCGAAUCCUAAGCAUCAACAAGAGGGAACGUAACAUGCAACCAACCAUUUGACCAAAACUUCUACAAAGAUUUCGUAGGAUAAAGAGCUUGCUCAUAACCGAGAGGGCGGCAAUUCGAAUUGAUUCAUUAACCUUGCAAGGGUGUACAUCUUUACCCACACGACACAAGGAACAUGCGACUCACCCAACCGAUCACGUGGGGUGAGGGGGUACUCGCAUCAACCUUUCCCGACAAGUUGUAACCGUCGAACAUCAAGCCUAACUUGCGCGGAGAGUUACCUAGCUCCGCCGGGGACACCCCUAAGCCUCUCUACAAAGCCCUACGGCCACGCAUCUAGGACCGUGCAUCAACGAUUAGAACUAGAGGUUAUUCGGUUUAUCUACCCUAUGAAUGGAUAUGUGGUAGUACGAUAAGUGCUCAAUUUUCAAGGUCAUCCACGGAUGGUCCUUAAUCGGUUCAAGCGGACUAAACCUCCGAGACUCCUUUCUCUAGGCCCUACCUUCUGCUCAAACCUCAAAACCACGCUUCCAACUAGACCGAUCCAAACCAACAACCCGACACCGGACAACAUGUUUAAGAUAAUAAAAUAUGGGUGAAACAAGUGAUCCUAUUCCAAUUUUCCCUACAAGAUAUCUACCAACUCUAGGCACGACUAAGCAUUUAGUUAAAUGGUUUGCAACUAGCUACGUGUGUCAAGGGCAUGGAUAUACAAAAUCAAGGGAGGACAUUGCAUGAAAAUAGGACCAACAAUGCAAUAGAUAAAUAUUUAACAUAAGCAUAGAUAUCCUAAGUGAAAUAACUAAAUUUAAGCAAGUUAAGUAGGUCAAGGGAUCAUGCUUAGCUGCUUGCCUUGGUUCUCUUCUUAUUCAACAACACACUCGGCUCCCGGCUCGGUCUCAACGAACUCGGUGGGCUCAACGGGUGCGUCCUCCGGCGUCUCGGUCACUAAAAUGAAUGAAUGAGAUGUGUGCAUUAGGAUGAUGCUAAUGAUAUAAAAAGAGUUGGUAUGAUAUGAAAUGGAAAUGAAGUACCACAAGGAGGCACGCAAGCAAAAUACACGAAGCUCGAUCAAUAAUUCAAAAUCUAAGCCCGAAGGCGAACUUGCUCACACAACAUAUAGCAAGAAUAAAUUAUGGUUUUAUUUCUGCACACAGGGGAUCUCAAGAGGGAAUCAUGAGAGUUGAAAUUGCAUCAAGAGCGUAUUUGUGGAAUUACUUAUGUUAUUUAUAACUUUCAGCAGCUAAACUCAAGUUAAAUCUUAAAAGAUACUCAAAGCAUAUCUAUAAAUUCUCAAAGAAUUACUGGAGACAGAGAACAUGAUAACAAAAGUAAUAGAAGUGGUUUUACCAUUUUAUCAAUUUUCUAUCAAAAGUUAUUCAUUUUACAAGUUUGCAGGCAGCAAAACCAAAAAUGCAUUAAAACCCUAUCAAACAGCCUAGGAACAUUUACACAAGCUGCACCAUGAGAUAAAGCAUUUUAUCAGAAAUUUAACAAGAUUUAGUUUAGCAUUUCUAAAGAAUCACACAAAAAGUUUAACAAUUAACUAUGUUUAGCAAGAAUAACCUAUAACUCAAGGUACAGGACUCUAACAUGUAUAAAAUUAAUUUCUCUAAGUAGAUCUAUUACAGAGGAGUCAAACAAAACAAAUUUCACAAUUUUUGGAGAUCCACAACAAUUUCUAUGCAAUUUACAAGAAUCAGCAUGAAAUGACACAACAAAACGGGGCGGCAACGCUAGAUCCACCCGGGCCGGCACCCAACAGGCGCCGACAGGUGGGCCCAGGCGGCCGGGCGCACGACCCAGGCGAAGUCAAGGACAGCCGUGGCCUUGACUCGCCACGGGCGCGGCCAGCGCACGCCCGCGGCGCGACACGCGCGCGAACGCGCGCGCGCGGCGCGACGCGGCGGCGGCCAGCGAACGGAGGAGCGGCAGGGGGACGAACGGGGGCGGGGCGCACGCGCACCAGCCGCGCGGCACGGCAAGGGUGCCCACCUGCGGCACGGGCGAGCGGGACGGGGCGGCGGUGCGGCGGAGAGCGGCGGCGGCGGGAGGAGGUGAGCGUCGGGGAGGAGCUGCGGACGGAGGGAGAGGCGGCGGGCGGCCGGAAUCAAACAAGGAGGAGGAGAAGGAGGUGUGGGCGCGGGCAAUCGGGGCGAGGCUCACCGACGGCGGCGGCGGACGGAAGAGGAAGAGGCGGAAGCGCGCGGGUUUUGGGCCGAGAAAGGAGAAGGGGCGCGGUUCGAAUGGGGAGGGAGGAAGGCGAGCUGGCGGCGCGCGGGAUAAGCCCCGGGCGGGGCCGCGCUGGCCAACCGGCGGGCGCCGAAGCGACGCCCGCCGUGCGGCCGGCCAACGGGCGGGCGCGGAGGCGCGGGAGGCGCGGACGGGGAGGCUGACGCGCGGGCCCAGGCGCGCAGGAGAGGGAGGAGAAGCUGACGGGUGGGGCCGGGAGAGAAGGGAAUAAUCGAAAAUGGAAGGCCAAAAUUCAAAACUCUAACAAAAAACUUCCCGGGCUCCAAAAAUCACCAAAUUUUUACUGAAGCAAUAUCACACUACCAAGAAUAUAAUGCAAUAACAAACACUCAAAAAUACGCCAAAACUUGCCCACAAUAAAUCAUCCAAAACUGCAGUUUUCAAACUUUCCAAGAAUUUUAUGGCUCGGCAGAGACAUCCAAAAAUUUAGGAAAAAUAUCUUAAAAUCAUCAUUUGAAAUCUAAUAUUUGAAUAAAAUCUUUGGGGGCACAUUCACUUAGCAGAAUUUGAACUUGCUUCACAACUUACACAUAAAUCACACAAGAAAAUGGAUGCUCAUGAGGUAAUUAAGUGCAUAUGAUGCUCCUUGAUGCUUGGAUGAUGCUCAUGAUGAUAUCUUAAAUUUUUAUCUUGUGCUUUUACAUUUCGGGUCGUGACAGUAACAGUCCAUGCGACGCCUACCGUACGCCAUUUCCGCUCUGCGAAUAGCGCAUGCUUGUCCCGUGGCAGACUUGCCGCCUGAACCGAUGAGGUGGAGAAGCAGGGGUUCCAUCGGUGGCGAUCGAGGCAAGAGAGCUUCGGAUCACGCAUCUCGUCGGGCAUCGUUCGCUGUGUUACUGGACUUCAUCGUCCUCCAGCAGAAUCGAAAUCAGCAUGCGGGAAACCCAACCAUUCACAGACAUGGUCGCUACAAUUUCAGGCAUCAUUGUUCCAAUUUUGGUUCUCCUUUUUCUGAGACAAAAUUGCUCUUAUUUUCCACACACACGCGUACAAGUCUUUCUUCAUGGUGGCAUGGCUGAUCGUUCCGACAUGGUGAUCGUUCCGACACACAGAGCACACAAGAACACAUGGUGGCACGGCUGCAACUCACGACACGCUACCAAGAAGACACGACAGGGACGACACAGAUGCGCGAACACGCCAACGUACUUGGCCACGUAGGAGUACCAUCUAUCACGGCAGCUGACGAGGAGUCUGCGUGCGGCAGCGUGCUUCCUCGCCUCGCCGUCCCGUGAGAGCUCUCAGAAGGACACCUCCUCCCUGGCCGCCGGCUCCUCCCUCGCCUGCAGCGGGGCGGCGGCUCUGGCCUCCGUCUUGCAGCACUUGCUCCCGUGCCCGUCGUCCGCCACCUUGCGCGCGACGAUGACGGAGUUGAUCACCUCGUCGUCGGGGUGGUACACGGCGAGCACGUCGAACCCGCCGCGCCCGAUGUCCUCGGGGUCCACGACGGGGUACAGGAACCCGCGCGCCCCGUGCGCGCUCCGCACCACGAGCGCCGCACCGGGGGCCAUGUGCCGGCCAAGGUGCGCCACCACCCUCGCCUUAUCCUCGGCCGCCACCCCCACGAGCGCGGCCAGGAACACCACGUCGUACUCCGCGAGCUCCUCCGUCAGGUCCGCGACGUCGGCCGUGCGGAACGACAUGCGCGCGGACAGGCCCGCGUCGGCGCGCACCAGCUUCCUGGCGCGCUCGUUGGCGGCGGCGCACCGGUCGUAGUUGUCGAACAGCGCGCCGGGGAGGUGGCGCGCGGCGAGCACGAGCGAGCUGAAGGGCAGCGGGCCGGAGCCGACGAAGGCGACGCGGGCGGGGGCGAUGCCGGGCACGUGGCGCGCCAGGAGGUCGUUCUCCAGGCGGCUCAGGUCGAUGUAGUUGCGGUAGUAGGGGAAGCGGUGGAGGUGGUCGAGCGGGUUGUCGAAGGCGGCGAGCGCGUCUGCGUGGUGCGCCUCCAGCUGGCCCUCGGCGUCGGAGCAGAGGCGGAUGAGCUCCUCCCGCAUCUUCCGCGCGUCGGGGCCGAGCCGGGACACGUCCACGGGGCUCGUCGGGACGCAGGCCGCGACGAGGGCGGUGAAGAGCGCGUCGACGGCGGGCGACGGGCUCAGCGACGGCAGCUUGGCGAUGGCGGCGUGCAGGCCCGAGAUCUUCUCCACCAGGGCGGCCACCUCGUGGUUCUGGGCCUCCAUGGCGGUCGGUCGGUCGCUUGCGAUUUGCGGAGUUGGUGAGCUCGGGAGGCUAGCAGGUCGCGAUGCGAUGGAGGCGAAGAGCCGAAGGCGAUCGAAAUGGACUGAGCUGCUCGAUGGGCUCUGGAUGGCGCAGUCGAUCGGCGUGCAUAAAGACCUGGCGCCGGGACGCACGGCCGGCCGUUUGCAUGCAGCGUGGCCGGUGGCAGGUGGGGAAGACGACGACGCUUCGUGUCGGUGGAGCUGCGAAGGCGAGCAUGCUGCACGGCGUCCGCUGCCGGUGGCCUGUUUCGUGCUUCUAUUUUGUAUGCAUGGUCCUACUGCUUGUUUUAUUCUAUUUUCGGGAUACCAGCUUGAUCGUUUCCAGAACGGGACAAUUCGUAUUAGUCAAUGUCGCUCGUCAAAUCUAUCGAUUGGUCAGGUAGCCGGAUCAACUCUGUAAUACUAAAAGAAAACAGGACUCAGGAUGACCUCGGUUCGAAAAUAUUCAUUCGCCCUCAAAUAAAGAAAGGUGGGCCGAAGGAAGCUUGGAUGCUAACUGGGCCGCGAAAUCUGACCCGAUCGCGGAUUCGGAUGGAUGGGAUGGGGGCCCUGUUGCCUGCCGGGCAUGGCAUGUGCUCUGCGCCUGCACCAUCUCAAAAAGAUUUCUGGCAAGCUGCAGUCGACAGCGACGCGUCACCUCUCUUCCUUGCUUGGCCGCUUCCGUCCCUUCCCUGGCUGCUUGCCCUUGACCGCUCAACACUCAGCGCCUGCGGACGACGACGAUUGACGCGGUCAGCGAGUACUACAGUGCACGAGCGCUACUGCUAGCUACACCCCAGCUCAAAUCGCAAGCCUGUACUUGGAUCUUGGUAGGAUCAAAAUGCGCAUCCUCCCCAAGCGUGCACGCAUUCUGGAGCCAUUGCCAAUCUAAGAUCUCUCACAGUUCGUCGACGCUGCUGGACCAAGAAAACCUAACCUACCGACUCGAAUUUGCUGAUGAUCCUGCCUGUCCCUGUCCAGUUUUAACACAAUGGCACAGAAACUUUCCCAGCGUCCCCACAUUAAUUUCGACAAACACGCUAUCAACCAGUACAAGUUUACUCCUUACUUUCCCAUACACCACCAGACAAAGCACGCGAGAUUAGGAUUAUUGUUAGACAAAUCGGGCAUCUAAUUGCUGCGGCCAAACAUCCAACAGCAAUUUGCACAACAGCUCAUGCUUUUCCUUGUACCAGCUUCAAGCACCCACAUCCAUCAACGGCGCACAGAGCUGCUGCCCUAAAUCUGAAUUCUGCCCAUUCCACCUUUCGGUGCGCCACUGACACUCAUCAAAGGUGAAAAAAAAGGUGAUAAGAAAAAAAAACACAGCCCAUAACCACAAGGAGAAGUGAAUCUACCAUAUAGGAAAAGGAGGUAGGCCACCAUAAGGGCAACGCAUCACCACCACAUGCCAUGCUUCUCUUCAGAAGCCUUCCUGGCAGUAACAAGGAAGAAAAAAAGAGAGAGAAGAAGCUCAACAGAGAGAAACUACUACAAACCAGCACAAAACAACCUCAUUGAUCUAGGGCUACGAGAAAACUGAUGCUUGCAGACGGUGCACUACACUCGAAUGGUGGUUACGCUUUCGCAGUUACUGGCAGUUGGAGCUCCUCCCGGGGCCUCCAUAGUAGAAGUAGGUGCCCCAGUCGCCAUUGUUGCUGUUCUGCACGUCGUAGCAGUUGGACUGCUCAGUGAAGGUGCCCAGCCCCUUGGGGGCCUUGAGGUUGUUGGUGCUGUCCACCACCUGGAUGUUCUUGAAGUAGCUCGCCUUGCUGAACCCUUCCUCCGGGAAGUGCCCGCUGCCCAUCUGCGUUGAUGUGUGCACGCCGUCAGGCUGCGAGUUCACCACCUCCCCGCCCCACUCGAUCAUCGACGCGCUGUCCGCCAGGUACGAGAAGAGGAACGAUGGCCAGUAGCCCAGCACGUAGUCCUUGCCGAACUGCAUCCACCAGUUGCCCUCCUUCGGGUCCUGCACAGAUAUAAUGUGCACAUAUACGGAAGAGAUUAAUAUAGCAGGCACACAUUGGAAAAGUAAUUUACCAGUGUAAAAAGACAUCAUUCACAUUGACAUAGCUAGGUUUCACCGUUUCAGUAUCAGUGAAUAGUAAAACUGUUGGGCAUACACUAGGUGGAUGCAUUCAUGUUCUUCUAGCACGCAAAUCAUGCACUCAUUACCCAUGCUCAAUGGAAAUGAACAACGCUGCACUUUCUAUCUCACACUCAGAAUACCACUAGCUUGUUGAGGUGAAAAGUUAGUAAUGGUCGUUUCUUUUGAAAAAUCAAAAGUUGAGUAAUCAUUAGCGAUAAGAAAGAAAGGUUUGUUGAGAAAAGGAGUAUGAUAACCACAGGGUGAGGAGGAAACCAAUUUUCAAAGCCCCAGGGGUACGGGUUCACCAGUCAAGGAGGAGCACGAGUAAGAGCAUAACAGCAAGUGGGCUAAAGAUUCUCUGCAUGUCUCUGAUAAUUCUCAACGUACUAGGCAUGACAUGUGGUGAGUUACUAGUUUAAUUACUUGCUCACCUUCCAGAUCAGUAUACUGAUAUCAUAUUGGGAGCCAGAGUAGCUUGAGGUCGGGAAGAUGCUGGCACCCAUGGCAAUCUCGCUGUUAAUCUGAACGAACCCGGAGCACAACAUGUUGUAGCACCCUGUUGCUUGGUACGCAUCACUCUGCAGAACAUCAGAUAGCAAAAAUAAUCAGGUAUCAACAAUUAAGGAAACAAAAUGGCAAGCGCUAGUGCAAAUAUUUUUCAAGAAUGUUCUUAUAGUAAUGUUCAAAACUUACGGUCCAGUAGGUGAACAGCCUUGUGUUGUUGUCCCCAUACAGGUCCGGACUAACCUGAUGCAACAAAGCAACACACAAGUGUUUCAGAGCUCGUGAUAAGAGGCACUGCACUGCAGCAGGGCUCCCAACCGCGAAAACGGUGCUGCAUUUACUCGAUACUGAUUAUGAAUGUGAAGCUCAUGGGCUGUGGGUCUUUCUUUCUCUACCUGCCAUCCAGCCUCGAUGCUGUUAAGAUCCUCCCCAAAUGACCCCCCCAAGAUCCAGAGCUGGGACAAGCUGAACUCGUUAGGCUGCUCGAUCUUGGGCUCCCAGACAUUGAUGGUUGCCUUGGCGCCGUAGUACUUGUCGCCUUGAACGUACGCUAUGGCAUGCUGCGAUUGUCAACAAGAGUUAUGAGCAUCACGGUACAUCAGCACACCUAUAUACCUCCUUCCACAUUAUGUCCUCAACAACAUGGGUGAUACGAGCAGGUACCUGAUGGCCACCCUCAUUGAGCAUGGUGGGAUUGACCGACAUUGGGUUCGCGGUGGUGUGUCGCUUCCUACCGUACCUCCGCAUUGAGCUUGCCCUGAGCAGGUCGUCCUUCUUCGUUCUCCUGAUGGGGACGGUGCCUUCCGGACACCUGCCAUUCUGAUGCCAGAGCUGAACCUUAGGCUUCUCGCCACUGCUGGUGGAGGCCACAUUGGUCUUGGAUUCGUCAUACAGGCCUUCGGGGUGAUAGUUCGGUCUCAUCUGCGAAGCACAAAUGCGUUAACUGAAACAACCCAACAAGAUACUGGUUUCGGUUACUGCAAGCGAAGCACUGGAAUUUACCUGGAUAGUGUGGUUCUUGAGGUAAGGAUGAUCAAACGCUGGCUGGUGGGAGAUGUGCACGCAAUCUAUGAUGUCCCCAUCUGGGCUCUGCUCGAUUUGAAAUUUGCAAACAGCUGAAUUAGAUGGGUAUGAACUGGAGCAAAACACUUUAGCAAGAGGAUUAUUUUGACAAUCCCAGAAAAGAAAAUGCCAAAGUCAAGCUAGAAACAACUCCAAACAAGAACAAGCACAAAGUGUGGAGAAAAGAGUGAAUAGCCCGAAAGCGAAUUCCCCUCAAGCGCCACCGCACCGCAAAAGAAGCCCGAAAAGCCAGCUUUUAUUGAAUCCGAGUACAGCUUCAACGACUAGCAAAGAAAUACACCUAUCGUGUCGCUUGUGCUUGCUCAAAUGCUCCCAAAUGCAGCUAAAAAGACGCUAGUUUCCUUGGAAAUUCACCUGAUGGGGGAAAGAUUUUUUCCCCCAAGCAAGCAAUUCAAAUCUACAGAGAGCAACAGCGAAACAGCAGGCUUGACACAGCUCCGGGGUGAAAAAAGAAACAAACCAAACUUGACCCACCUCGAUGCUCUUCACGGCCGGCUUGUUGAACCGCUUGAGGUGGCGGUGCAGCCUCGCCGCCGGCGACCUCGCGGCCGCGGCGGCAGCACACGACAAGCAGAUCACCGCCACGAGCAGGCACGCGACCCCCCGCGUGGUGUCCAUGGGCGGCGCGCCCCUUCACACCUCCACCGCUGCUGCUCCUCCUCCCUUCCUUCCUCUCCUCCUCUCCUCCGACGCCCUCCGCCGCCGCCGGCGACCUUGCAGCACGGCAAGGCCCUCCCCUCUUACCCAGAGAGCCCCCUCGCCGGCCGCCGCGCGGCUGCCACCACGGACCGAAUCGAGAAUUUUGAAACAAUGCGGGGGCGUGGUGGGAUUGGGAGUGGGAGUAAAUGGCUCGUCGUCUUGGGCGGCUCGUCGUCUCGGUUGGGAGCGGAGCGUCGUCCACUACCGCUUGCAAACAAGUGGGCAGUGAGGAGCACUCUCGCUGCUACUUUUGCCAUUUCCGAGCCCGUGCUUCUGGACCAAAAUGCCCCUCUAUGAUUCAGAAAUUAUUAGAGACACCCGGCGUGCAACCUCGAACCGGGACCGUACCCACUGAUUCGCGGGCCACAUGAUGGCAUCGAAGGUUUUUUCUUUUAAUCCAUUGAUGGUGGAAUCUGCUCCAUGCUGCUAAUGAAAGUUUCUCAAUAGCCAGCGUUAGGAUUUAAGGCGGAAGGGACCUAGUAUAACAUCAAAACUUUUGUACUACAAGAAAGAUUUUUACUAGCAAUAUCAAGUUAUGAGACCAAAAUUCACGGAUGCUUAAAAAGUCAACUUGUGUGCUCGCUUCUCACUUCAUCGGCAUGGCCAUUCGAACUUUGGCUACUUUACAAACCGACCAAUCCAAACGACGGCUCUACUAGGUUUCAUGUGCGGACAGGCAUUCUAAAAUAACGGUCGCAGGCGGUUGACUGCCGUUCAUGCCCUUGCGUACGCUUAAAACGGCCUCCUCCUCCGUUUCCCCUUCCCGGGGGCGUGUGGUUGGUAGCAAGUUUCUUCUUUAUCCGGGCUCGCCGUCGGUCCCACCUGCCAGCUUCGCCCACGCGGCACCACCUCGGGCCCGCCGCGGCAACGCCCGUCGGCUUCCCCCCAGGCUCGCCUCGCCCACCCGGCCCGACCCGACGCAGCGAUCGAGCGCGGGCGGCGUCCUGAUGGUUGCUGGCGGCUGGCGCGCCGCGCGCGAGGCGAGCGUGCGCAUCGGAUCCGGGCGCGACCGCGCGAUCUUUCCCCGCCCCGGGCGCACGCACGCAAGGAAAGGCCUUUGCUUAGCAAAGCGAUUAGCCCGUGGCGCUUUACAAAAGCAGCCGCGUCGCGGCCCGUGCUUAGCCUACUGUUUUUUUACUCUCGUGAUGAUGGUUUUACCGCACGCAAAAAGCCAAAGGGCAUUGCCGCAGGGCUGUGAAUUUACCCUCUAGAUUAGUGGCAUUUCGUACUGCCAGUACACUCGAACUAUUUAACUGCGCUAUCGCUCGGAUGUUUUCACUUUGGCACGGGUACGGCGCGGCAAGCUCUGGUAAAAACCCUGCCACGGGGCUGGUUGGCUGUAGGAGUAGGAACAACACAUGGUCAAUCGCCAUGACCGGGUCCGCGUACGGCCGGGAUUGACCGGAUCUACAGCCUUGGCAUUUGGUAACGGGAAAGAAAACAGUCUUGGGCCUCUUGGUAACGGGUAAAAAUAGUCCCGAUCCUGUUGGGCACAGUGGCUGUGCCAGAUUUAUACGUGCGGUCCUCCUCUCCUCUCCUCUCCCUGCAUUAGGAGGAGGAGGAGCUGGCUGGGACAAACCUGGAUGUUUCAGGUCAGCAGAGCCGGCGCAGUAACAUGGGGGGCCAGGCAAGGACCAGGGCCCAGAAGGGGAGCACCACUGGGAUGGGAGCAGUGAAAUGAUCUUUUUUUUACUGGGAUAAAACUUGACAGUGACUUCUUGUUACGCGUUCCAAUUUAUUAUUAUUUACCGUCGAACUAAUGACCAGCCACUUACUAGCUAGGAUUAUUAGUGGUAUUUGGGAUGCUGUAUUUGCUUCACAAACAAGACUGAAGCGCACGGCCGCCGCGGCAAACAGAGGGAAUCCAUCCUGACGAGAAAGCCGUCGCUUUUGCUCAUGCGCAAACACUCGAAAGACACCUUUCUCUCCUUCCUUUCAUACUUGCAUUAUCAUUCCCGAGCUAGAAAAAGGCGGUUCGUGAAGGCCAGCGAGCGAGAUGGGAUGCUCUUCUCUUCUGUAUAGAAAUGGUCACUUCCCAUCUACAAGAACCGAAUCAUGCCUUGUCCUAUCUCACUCACUACUAGCCACCACCACCGCACAAGACUCGCAGCUUGUGUGGAGCUCACUUCGCUAGUUGUACACGUACUGUACUUGUACAAGCAAAAGGCAAAUGGAUAGGACAUGGGAGAUGGGCUUUGGAACUAUCGUUUCACAUGAGAGGAAAAAAAAAUCAAAAUGCAGAAUUCUGAGCGUGACGUUGGUAACGCCAGGGGCACGGACAAGACAGCGUACAGAUGCUGCAGGUAAGGAACUCGCACCACGUCAGCUACUGAUCUGAGCCACGGGCACGCACAAUUCAAGGCCGUUAUCACAUGCUCUGCUGUCAGUGGAAGAGGAGCAAAGCUGGCAGGUUUGUCCACUUAUGCUAAAGCAGGUAGUAGCGCACACAAGAAGGGCUAACCCUUUUUCAAGUUUUCCCACCAUAACGCUCCAGAUCAAACUUGUUCCCCCAACACAUAAUUGAGGCAGCAUGCUCUUACUCUAUUGGAAUUUUUUCACUCCCUCCUUCCAAAAGGAAAAGGAAUGCGACUCUCGUUUCUUCUGAGUCAAACAGUUUUAAAUUUAACUAAAUUUAUAUAAAAUACUAUUAAUAUUUAUAUUAUAAAAUAAAUAUCAUUAUAUUGAUCACGUAAUAUAUUUUCAUGCUAAGUCUAUUUGGAGAUACAAAUGUUACUAAUUUUUUUAUAUAAAUUUGGUCAAAUUUAAAAUUAUUUGAUUUUUCGGGAAGUGAGAGUUGCAUUUUUUUUGGGACGGAGCGAGGUUAUAAAAGAUUCUAUUGGAUUGGAGGUAUGACUCAGACAGUAACCAGCCAUGCUUCAAGGGUCGACACUUCUUGAUAGUUUGCUGCCCAGCUGCACUACACUAUGCAAAUCCUGACUGAGAUGCACGCGUAUGGCACACAAAUCACUCUCAGGUUUGAUUUACACAAAUCAACUUCAUCUUCGUGGGUAUUUAUUACGACCUUAUCUUCGUGCGUAUGCAAGCAUUCUUGAAAGAAACUAAUCACCCACCAACCGUAUAAACCAAGGCCAUCUGGUCUACUGCCACAGCUUAAAAGCAUGCACCUUCUACCAUAACGGUGGUCUAGGUAGGCUCUGCUAGUUUCAGAGCUGCUUUCCAGCGUGUGCGUGUCUGCAGAACAGAAUGAUGGCCCGUGCCUUGUACGAGGCACCGGCAUAAGCAUGAUUGGCGGUGGGUGGGGUCAUGCAUGCACACUCCUCUACCAAAGUGUGUUUUGUGCAUGUACUGUGUCUAGAAAAAAGUUAACCUGCAGGUAGAGUAAGGGAGCAGACACUCCCGUACCAAAGGACGACCUGAACUCGACACACGGGCUGGUGAGCGAUCCGCCUAUACGUACGGCUUAUACCUGCCUGCCUACCUGGGGCCGUAUAGGUGCGCGUCACCACCUGAACUUGAAAGCUCUACUGAACACAAUGCUAAGCCCACUUUGGGAAUUCUUGCGUUCCAGAACGGCUUGAAAGGUUUACUCUAGUAAUCGAAACCCAAGGUUCAACAAAGAUACGUAUAACCCGGCCCGUUAAUUGGAGAAUAUAAUGCCACAACAAAAGAAAAUGUGAGAUAAGAGUGGUCAAUGAGGCAUUAUAACAGACUACCAGGUAGGUCCCACUCUUCACUGCAUCACGAACUGUGAAAGAAGCUAGCAAAGGCCACAAGGCACGGAACGGCAGCACGUACGUGCCACUAUUACCUCGCUUGCCCGUGAAGCAAGAAGUUGACGAGGCUAGGAGGCUACCUAGCAGCCAAGCUACUUCAUCAGUGUUCUUCUCUAGGUUAUCCAAGCAGGGAUUAAUGGUGCAUCCAGUAAGUUGGUACUACUCCAUCCAUGCCCCCCUUUUUCCAUGGUGGUGAGCAGAGCACGGGCCCAUGGGGCACCACGUGUUCACGGUUCGUGAGGCCACUCAUUUGCCAAGGUUGCCCACACAGCCACACACUCGCAGAUCACAACUGGGGCCUAAUCCAUGGGAGCAGCAAGUUAGAAAUGUGAGAGCUACAUUUCAGCUGUAGCAAACGGUUGGUUUGGCAAGAGGAAAUCAGAGAAGAAUCGUCAUCUGACGAACCUUCUUGGAGUCUGGAGUAUAGUCAUCAAACUUCCUCUUUUGGGUGUGACCAAGGAGAAAAUAACAGGGGUAUCCGAUGGGAGUAAAUUAAUCUGGCAGAGGAAAUAAAUUACUUGUAAGAUUCAUUGACCAUGAUAUAUAAUUGGAACUGUAUAAAGGGAUGAAACAUUUUCACUGUACCGGAACAGAAGCUCAGAAAGAAAGCACAUGCGAUUGAAUAGGAUAAGGUCCCCCAUUUGUCUCCAUCCAUCCCGGCUGGCGGCUGCACCGCCUUGGUCCUUGUGACCUUUCCCAUGCAUACAAGUUCCUGACAAGGGGAGGCAGAAUUUCCGUAAAGCCUCCUCCAAAGGUACGAGCUACUACCUACUCUAAACACUUCUAAACACUCUAAGAGACAACCCUUUCAAUAAUCUAACUCUAAGCACAUAACUCGUAACAUAAAUGACUCUACAUGUCAUUCCUUUAUUCAUGUAUCAUACUAUCUCUUAUAGCUCUUCACUUUUGGCACUGUUUAUCGACUAAAAAAAUUCUAUGACCUGGCUAAGAGCCAGCCUUUGGAGGAGGCCUAACAACAGCAACAACCAAGCAGGUCACUAAACUACAUGAAAAUUUGAUUUGAGAAACACAGAUGAUGACAAACAAAAAUUCUAAGAUUUUCCGCUUGUCACCAAAAACAUAGAAUUACUGAGGUAAAGGCUUCGAGUUCUACAAUCAUAUCAUCCACUUUCUUACCAACAUCGAUGGAGACAGGAUAAGGAGUAACGGAUCGUAGUUGAGCAAGCCUUUACUUAGAAAUAGACAUGGCAGCGAGUACAGCUGUAAGCUAUCACACUCGAAAGGUCAAACUAGCAUAGCUGAAAAUGAGAAGAUGAGAGAUCUAUUCCUUUUACUGUCCUGCACGAGAGUCGGGGUUCCUAACCAACUCCUAAACACUAUUGUACUUGCAAAGGAACAACUGUUCUUCAUACUUGAGAUGAUGUCACUCAUCCAGCAGCAACAGUGAGAAUGUGGGAUAUUAUCAUUUCCAGACAGGAAGGAAAUCUUCUUCAAGUCAAUUAUGGAAUAGAUGAAUGGUAUUUCUACUUUCAUGUACCUGUGACAUUUAUGACUACUGCUUUGAAAACGAACAAUAUUCAAUUCAGUAAUGAAAGAUUGACAGUCUAACCAGUUUCCUCUCAGUUUUUUUUUCUGUAGUCUCCGACCUAUGGACUUAUUAACAAUUAGGUCCCUCAGAAUGCAAGGUUCCUGAAAACUAGGAGAUAGAAGAGCGACUGGUUUAACACCUAGGAGGCUAGGACUGCAUCUUCGUGUUCAAUCUUUGCAACUGAAGCCCUAAUUUUUCUCUAUUUCAGAUCCUUAUUCCUGUACAACCUAACACAAAUGAAAUUUAGAGAUGGAUGGAGAAUCUAUAAUCUUAAAAUUUCCAACCCCAAAGUUUUAAAACAAAUGAAAGGCCCCUGUUGGCAUGGUGAAGGGAUUCAGCUGAAAGGAUGGCCGCUAUGAUAAUUAUAACUUCUUUUGAGUAAAUGCUUUUAACUUCUCACUGAGUGCUAUCCUCACCAAGAUGAGUUACAAAGAUUUUUUUCUAUUAUAAGGAAUAAAGAUUAACUUUAAGCACGAACAAGAUACUCUGAAAAUAACCUUGCUGAGUGAGCCCAAGUGAUUUGAUUGCUCUCAUCGAAAGAAAUCAUGAUCAUUUGGUGGUACUCGACAUGCUUGAUCCUUGACUAUGCGGCCAAGAACAAGUAGGAAGUCAAGCAUUAGAACUCAGUGAGGAUAUUAUGCCCCAAAAGUUCAAGCAGGCCGACCGAGCUAGACAUCACUUAUCAUUAUUAUUAAGGCAGGAGGCAGCAGCGCAAUCAUGCAGUGUGCACAACAGUUUUGAGUCUUGUUAGUGUUUCUUAUCAUCAUAUCCCUCAUUUUUUAUUCAAUAAUUUCCAGAAUAGCGUACAUCUCUUGUACAAGCUCACACUGUGUCUCGCUGUUAGCAAAUAGCAGUCAAAAGCCAAAAAAAAACCCUCAAGCAGCUACCAUCAUCAGGUCAAUAGAUCAAUUCCGUGGGUGCUAAUUUUCUAUUUGCAUCAGAAAUUUAGAGUAGGCAGAAGGAACCGAUUCUGAGAGGUCAAAUUAGAACAUUACUGUCUACUGUUCUACACAGCAAUCCAAAUUACAGAAGUAGCUAGCUCCAAUAACAGCAAAUGGAACGAUUAAGAAUAAAACAUUGCAUAGUGCAAUUCAACAUAUGACAUCCUAAAUUUGACGAAGAUGCAAGUCAUACUUAUAACUUAAAGUUAUUAUAGUCCUCUUCAACUCGAAAUCUGGCGCCUACAGCGAUUAUUAGAUACCCAAAAAAACCUAAGGUCCAUCUCUCUACAAAAGUCAUUUUGCUAAGUUCUAGUGACCUCAUGACACGAAAAUUUUAUCAGAAUCGAGCAUUCAGAUCGCUGAUCGAUGCUGAAUAUGACUCUAUUUGGACGAGUUCUCCAGAUCACCCAGACGGCCAGACUCAACAUAGUGCACAAAGCCACAAAACCCUGAGCCCACGAACUGGGAUCCCAAUGGUAGGUCAAGGUAAUUAAUUUACCACGCGAUCAGCUAGUACUUAACACGAAACCGAAAGCUAGCGCAGGGCAGCCGCGUACCUGAAUCGACGAGAAGCAGAUGGAGCAGAGCGAGGACGCCGUCGGCGGAGGGCCAGCGUCGCCGCAUCGCCCGCCCGCCGCUACACCGGUGGGCCGCGGCGCCGGGGUCGAAGGCGGAGGCGGGAAACUCGAGCCCGAUCGUGCGCUUCCCGCCUCCGCCUGCCCUGCUGCUCCGCUGCAGCCAGCCAGCGGUUGCUGCUGCUGCGAAUCUGUAUUUCUGCCGUGAUUUUGGAAUUUGUCUCUGGAAUCCACUGCCGUGAUUCCAGCGGUUGCUGGACCGAAUUCUUUUGGUGCCAUGGUGCCGCCGCGGGCGUAUCGUAUGCUUUGCGGCACACUGUUUGCGGCUGACGGGUGGAUUUGACGGAGAUGGAAAUUGGAUUUGGGAAGAAAUUAUGCUUUGAGAUCAUCACAGUUUCCAAAAGAAGCGUCUUACAUAUAUGGCACUAUAAACACCCUGCGUCCCUGCCCCUUAAUUAACGAAUGAUACAGCAGUGUAACUUCUUAACUACCAGGGCAGGGCAUGCUAUUAGUUACACAACAAGCACCAAAUAAUUCCCAGAUACAAACGCAGCACACCACACAACACUUCAGCAAUCCACGCUCUCCCGCCAGCUGGUUCGUUUCCACGGCGCACCAGAGCGAUCACUAUCAUUGCCAACUUCACCAAGUCUACUUUCAAACAUACCAAUAAAAAAUAGAAGAUUAUGCUUCAGCAAGCGUCUUAAAAUGUUGCAGAAAAGAGCAUACGGGAUAUACACUCGAAUAUCUUUCUGUCUUGAAGGAUGCUAGAAUUUCGCAAAUGUCAGCCCAUAGCAGGAAAGGGGUUCCUAUUCUCUUAUCAUAACAUCCCCAUCAAGAUUAACAAGGGGGCCUCCAAUCUCAGCCUAGCAAGUUGACAUGAACAAGAUGUGAAUUCUACUAUUCCAACACUAACUAGGUACUGCUAGCCAGCUCAUUCCGAUGCAACCAUAUACUUCUUUGUUCAGAAAUACAAUGUCUGUCCAAUUUCAAGCAUUGGACAUAGAUUAAUCCAAUAAUAUCCAGGUUUUGUCAAAAAGGAUAAUGAUACCCUUAUAUUCAUAUUCCAAAGUACUUUCUCAUGACCAUGUUUUAACCGCAAGCUAAAUAAUGUCAGGGGAACAGUCAAAGCUUGCUUUUGGACAGUGAAAUUACACUUACAGAAACGUGGAGCUGAUGAACUUGUUCCGCUGAUGGCGUAGCUCCGGCUCUUAAAAUUGUGAAAUUUGAUACGAAUGGUCUGUUCUACCCAUGGGACAUGGAUGAUUGUUGUUUGAAAGCAGUUUGCUUGUGAAUGUGCUUUCCCAAACCUGUCAAGAGCUGCAAAUGUUAUACACGAGUAUAAUAACUACUGAAAAAAAUGGCACAAAUAGAGAAACACAAUUUUUCCCGACAUUUGAAGCUAACCUUGAUACCCGAACUGUAAUGGCAUUGGUAGAGAGAACACAGACAAUGCCAUUAACCUAACAGGGAUCCAAGGGAAACUCGCGAACGCCAUUGAUCUAGUCCAAAUUAGAUCGGCCGCAAACGAUGUCGACUCCAAAUCAGAUGCCUGCAUACCUGCUUAUUGAUCCAAACCGGACGGCGGCGCCCGUACACGUCUGUGUAGGAGGCGGAAUCCGGAUAGCGGCGGUGCGCGCAGGCGGCUAUGGCACGGCGCAGUGCAGCGCAGCGUGCGGCACGCGCGGAGGCUUGUCGUGCGGAAGGACGGCAUGCGCAGGCUGCCUGCAGUAGGGUAGGGGAGCAGCCGGCGUCCGGCGUCCCAGUCCCAAUCAAGCCGUGCGCGCGCAGCCCUCGCGACAGCUAGCGAUGAAUCCCUUGGCGGGAUGAAGAUCAGCGUGAUCGGCUUAGCGAUCUCCCCGGUGACAUCCUGCUCCGCAUCGUCGGAGACUUGGGUCUGCCCGCCGUCGUCAGAGCGAGCGGCCGAGCGUCCCUUCCCUUCUUCCCGACCUCACGAUCGACGUCGCGGACUUGGUGUCUCGUCGUCACAGCAACCUCGUCGAGGACGACGACGGUGGCAAUCGGAAGCUGAUGCAGGCGUACGCCGGCGCGGCGAGGCGGUUGCUGGCUCCCAGCGCGGAGAGGGCCCUCACCCUCAGGAGCGUGCGCCUCCGCUUCCUCCGAUCCUGUUGGAGCCGUCGUACCCUCCUGCACACCAUCGGCUGCACGGUCGAGGACAUGCUGGUCGCCGAGGAGAGCAGCAACAUGGAGCGCCUCGAGUUCGAUAUAUGGACGGAGACCGAGAUCGGUGGCGGCGCCAGCAGCAGCACUCAGCAGAAGGCCAUGUUCCGACGGCGACUCGUGUCGUUCUUGGAUGCUUGCCCCGUGGCGUUCGGAUGGCUCACCUUGCAGAACCUAUGCUUCGGGCCGUCCGACGUUCCUCGUCUCCUCCGCAGCUGCACCAGGAUGCAUGCAGCUCCUCUCUUUGAGCCACUGCAAGUUCGGCUGCAGCUCCGUCGUGGAGGUCGACGCGCCGCCGCACUCGUGGCUCGAGGCGUUGGAGAUCCGCUUCUGCUGCUUCCGGAGGGUGGAGCUGAUCCACGCCCCCAAGCUCAGACGAUUUCAUUGUGAUACUUGGUCCGGUGGCGACCCACCUGUGCAUUUUGGACACGUCCCUCGCCGUCGCAACGUAACCCUUGCUUGUAACGUGCAUUGAGCAAGGUCUUCCUGUCCAGCGCAGCAGCUGCAAACCUCUCGACGUUGGAUCUGGAUUUCCGUGAUGGGAAGGUACGUUAGUUUAGUGUGCCAUGUCGAUCACUGUUAAUUACCGUGACCUCUAUUUUGCAAUCUUUUAUUUGUUAACACCAAAACUUAAAUAUCUAUCUAUUUCGUCUUUAUUUUCCCUCUACAUGCAGAUAUGGAUUCAACCUGAAGAACCAAUAAACCUCCCGUUUGCUAAUCCAAGAGACGUGUAUCUAUACAACAUUUUUGCCAUAUGUCACUUGAAUUGGACUCUUUUUGUUCUUGAAGCCGCACCAUCAUUGAAGAACCUUUAUAUCAUGGUAAGUUAUUACACCAUGCAUCCUUUGUUCUUCCAAUCCAUCUCUAUUUUGUAGUAGUAGUUUGUCUAUAAAUUUGGUUUAUUUCUUUAUCAAUAAUCAACAUAUUUAACCAUUGUGAAUUAUAUGUACUAGUUUAGCAACCCAUGCUCAUAUACCGCGAGAAAUUUUAAGAGACCUAAGUACUCGCAUGCUUAUGGUUUUUUUUUUCUUAUCUCAUUUCAUCAUUUUCUAACAAAAUACAUAUAUGUACUUUGUAACUUUUAUCCAGCUAGCUGUGUAAUAGACUUAUUACCAAGUACUCUAUAUUAUUUUUCGGUCGUAUUCAUAGUUUCCUCUCUUUUUAUUGUGCUUUGGGUGUCUCUGACAUGUGUUUCGAUACUUUAGAUCGUUUGUGUCUGCUCUCGUUGUAGCCCAUCUUCCGUGACUUCAUAAAUCCAGAUUCUUAUCUCCCAAUGUUGAUCUUGUUACCUAUUGCAAACUGUAGGACAUAUAUUUUUCCCUCGAAUAUUAAAAAAAUAUCAGCAAGUUGAUGAUGUGGCAUAGAAUUUAAUGCCAUGAAACUCUCCCUAAGUCGCCAACCGGUACUGCUAAGUCCCAGCGGCUAUCAUUUGUGACAAUUAGUGAUUAUAAUUAAAUCUACAAAAUGGAUAGUCUUGAGUUGAUGCCGUCGCCGGCAGCGUCACCGCAGUGUACUAGAUGUUCCUGCACGUAUGCCUUCACCCGCUCAUGGAGGUGCUGGGAGACGGCGCGGUGGAUUCACCGAUCGAUCGACGAGGUGCACACCGGCCGACCCCGAUCGGACCUGUUUGUCUGGACGGCGUUCGACGACGGCAAAUAAGGCGCGCGGAAAAAGCUGCAGCAGACGCUCGGCUCGGAAGAAUCGGCUUUUCCAGACGUUAUGAAAUCAGGCUUGAUUUUAUUUUGAGAAGCAACAUAUAUAUACAAUUUGAGAAUUGAGACCAAAUACACGAUUGAAGUCAAAAUAUACAUGUUGGAAAAUUGGUGUCAAAGGUUUAUGGAGCAUCUAGUGUUCUGUUGUCUGUGGCAUCGCAAAGCAUUCUGCCAGCAUGUUCAAGAAUUAAAGAAACUAGUAAAAUUUGAUGAGAACAAGCAUCUAGGCCUGAAAGAGACAAGCCACGGCAACACUACAAUUAAUUACUGCAAUGUCUGUGACUUGGGAAUAGAUGGCCACUGCACCAACAGCAAAAGAAAAGGGAGAUGAGCUGCCUGCGUUGAAAUCAGGACUUGCCAUACAUCCACAGAUUUGGCUUCACUGACCAAUCAGGCUUGAUUUUAUUGUGGAAUAUGAGACCUUUACUCCUGAUGAAAACAUAGGAAGCAUUAGCUUUGCAAACAGGGCAAAAAAAAAAUCCAAAGAAUUAGCUUCACAAGGGAAAAUUCCACACAACAUCGAUCUCUAGCAUAUUUAGAUGAGAAAAAAAUGACUUGGACAUGGUCGACUUACCAGUAGCCGUGGUGGCAACAGGUAAAACUAUGAUGGAUGAGCAUGUAAGGGCUUGCCGGAGGUCUAUUCCAGCAUGAAAUGUCUCCAUCCAUAGCUGGAGACCAGGUGCCAGUACCUAUAUGGUACUGUUCAGUACUCCUUGGCAAAGGACGUCCUCCCCUCAGUGGAUUGUUCUAGUCACUCUAUACCUGCAGGUGAUAGAGUUAGCCACAACAGAAGGGAGCCCCUUGUUCUGUGAUGCAUACAGGGGCCGUUGCCCAAGGAACAGAGCAUGCUCUCCAAUGUUGGUUAUGGGAACGACCCUUCCACUGAUGAGGUCGGCGACUCUGUAAACAACCAGGUCUGUAGGUUUGGCAUCAUUGAAGCCAACAAGCAUGAGCUCCGAGCCGCAUUCGACCAGGUGGACUGCGCCUAGAGUUGCAACCAGCGGGCAGUGGGCGAUGAUCCUCGGUGGCAGAAGAGACCGACCCUCUGCGGCAUCCGGAUCAAUUUGCCAGAUGCACACGCUGUUCCUUUGAGGAGACUUGGGCGUCACCGCGUACAGGUUGCCAUGGAAAGACACCAUUGGUCCUAGCAGACGCGGGAGCCUGCCGGCCAAGAGAGUCCACCGCUGGUCGCCGGUGGUGGCGUGUGCCACAAGCAGUUUGAUUUCGAGCGCCAGCACGACGGUGAUGGCCCCGGCGGCGGCGGGGCCAACGGUGACGGCGGCGCUGACUCCCGAGAGGAAGCCGCGGAGCGUGCAGAGCUUGCGAUCCUCGGUCAUGUUGCCGUAGUGCUCCAUCUGGGGCAGGAGGGACGAGAGCGGCGGGAGCUCGGCGACGUCGCCGGUGAAGGGGUGCAGGAGGCGGACGGCGGUGUACCCCGGGUCGCGGUGCCGCAGCAGCAGGAGGAGGCCGUCGGUGCAGCCGAGGAGGACGUGGUCGUGGAAGAGCGGGAGGUGGAGGCGGGCGAGCGCGCCCGUGGAGAGGUUGAGGAAGCGCACGUGCCCGCCGAACGCGGGGUGGCCGGGGUAGAGGCCGUGGCCCUCGGGCAGCAUCAUCCAGCGGCGCGGGUGGAAGCGCGGGUCGAGGAGGCCCCGGCCGCCGGGGCGGGCGGCGCUCCGGCUCCAGUGGGCGCAGACGGCGCGGAAGCGGACGUAGUCCAUCAGGUCGCCGGAGAGCACCCGCCACCCGAUCAGCUGCACCAGAUCCUCCGGCAGCGAUGCCCACGGCGCGCCCGCGCCGCAAGGGGCCGUGGCGACCCGGGCGCGCUUCGGACUCGGCAGCGGCGGCGACAUCCCAGAUGGAUCGUCUGGUGCCGUCGAAUCCGACCGCGCAGACAACCAACUCAGCCUCUUUUCCUCUCGAUCCCGAUCUUGUAGAGGAGCAGGACGAUCCUAGAGAUUGGACUCAGUGGAUUUGGUUUGGGGAUGGAUCGUCGAGUCCAGGGUUUAACAAGGAAGUAAAUAAAAAAAAAAGAAGUCGGAGUGGGAAAACAGGGGCAUUCCGAGAAUUGAACUCGGGACCUCUCGCACCCUAAGCGAGAAUCAUACCACUAGACCAAAUGCCCGUUGAUGGUUGCUGGUUUCCUGUGGUUUUAUUACUUCUUAGCUGCGUCCAUCUUAGGAUUGUUAUGACAGGAUAGAGACAUGGCUGCACAAAGAAUGGACGGUAAUGAGCGUCUUGCUUCUCAUCUCUCUCUCUCUACCGCUGCUCAUUUCCCAUUUGCCAAACAACACUCUUACAAUAAGAAAAUGACAUGAGCAGCCGCUCGUGUCGCUCCUGAGGGGCAAACCCCGAGCGAGCCGCCGCCGCCCCUGGUCCCUCCACCUCGUCGCUACCAGAGGGCCCGUGAAAAUAGUAAUAGGUUGAGUGGAUGACACGCAUGGUGUACGUACAUAAUAGGUAUACGCUCCACCAUUAUAUUGCAUGGUUUGUCGAGCAGUUAUAUUAGGCUGGAUAUAGAUGAUGCGUUGUACAAUGACUAUGACUUGAUGAGCAUUAUAUACUAGCAGUUUUAAGUGAUGUCGUCGCCUUCGCCUGCUCAUGCACCUACCCGUAGAGCCGGAGCAGGUGCUGGGAGACGGCGCGAGGUGUACUUAUGCCAGUAUCAAUGAAAGUUUUAUGAUAUUAAAUUCUAUGCCAUUUUGCUAUUGCUGAUACAGCGAUAAGAAAGAAGGAAUGAGUUUCAUGGAACGAGAGAGGAGUUUCGUCCUCGUGAAACUCAGCUGACGGUAAAGGAGGUGAUUGGUUUGCUGACUCGGCUCGUACUUGGAAGCUAGGCUCCCGCCGGCAUAGGUGCAAGUUGUUUGGUUGCACGCACGAGUGCUUGUUACAUAAUUUUUUUUCAAAAACAGUUAGCAAUAUGAUGUGUAUUUUAUAUAAUUACAAUUUAAUAGCUCUUAGUAUACCUUAUUAAAUAUUAAUCAGCUUUGAAAUCACUAAUACCACUUAAUACACCCUAAUCAUGCGCUAAUAGAGUCAUUAACCAAAUGGACGCAUGCACCAAGCGAGCCAGGCUCGCUUGCGGAGCCAAUCGCCCCCAUAGGCGCCGCCAACGCUGACACGCUGUGCCUCCCCCUCUCCCCCGUGGCGGAGCGGGAGCCGGACCAGCAGCCGCCCCAGUCGGCAACGGAGCCGCAGCAGAUCCGGCAGCCGCGAGACGAGCUGCACGCCUCCAAGGCACAAGUCGACUUGGCUCAAGUCGACGGCCACAACGUCUUCGCCACUCCUCAAGCCAACUUAGGCGCGGCCUACGUGGAGCUGGAAAAUCUACCUGAAACGGAAGUUAUCCAGCGUGUCACCCAAGCUGCACUACUCGAAGAGCUUGCUCAGUCAGGACCAAAUCCGUGGCCCGGCCCUCAGGGCGGAGCAACGGCUGGCAUGCCAGAGCGGUGCACGAGCCACGACGAAGCAGGGGUCCGCCGCCGACAGGAGUAUAAUCGCCUCAACGGCAAUCCAGAGGAGCAAAACCAUCAGGAUGACAACGCCCACAGCCGCGACAAGGCGGAUACCGACUCCAGAUCAAACCCGGACGCCUGCCACGCUACCAGCAUCAACAAGGGUCAGUGUUGCAGAACCAUGUUAAAAAUGAAAAAUUGCUCCGUAUCUUUAAGUUGUCAGGACAUGGCUUGCCGCCUCCCAACUAGUAAAGUUAAACGGGGGGAAAAGAAACACCGUGGAGGCGCCAAUGCUUUCUUUCUUAUUAGAAUUAUUAUUACAAAAUUGGUUGGUUACUUCUGCAUGGGCUGUCGAUCAAGCAACUGGGCCCCAACUUGCAUCUAAAUCUUCUCUUUUCCUGAGCAGAUUGCCACAAAGAAUUCUUCAAAACACGUUAGCCACCUCCUUCCGUUUACAGUAGCAGUCUCCUAAUGUCGCUGAAAUUCGAUGCCAGCUCCGUGAAAAACCUCCCUGCUCCGCCGUACAUCACAAAGAGGAGGUAAAUAACACGAAGCAAAAAGGAAUGAUAGUGGAAACAGAUACAAAGCGAAGAAAUAAAAUAGUACCUCCUACUUGCCCAUCAAACACACGAUGGUCAGCAGACAGCGUCAAGCUCAUUUUUGUAACUGCAGCGGCCUUCUCAUUUCCUGGACAAAAGUCUCAUAGAUUAGUAAUAUGCCUGCAAUUGUUCUGAGCAGAAAAGCACAAUGUCAAUGAAACGUACCAUCACUGUCCACAACAGGCUCAACAACCUUGUUACCUCUACCAACAGCUAAGAUGCCAGACUGACAAAAGACAUGAAUAGGAACCAUCAGUACGAAUUCGACGGAUCCAUCCUGAGGGAAUAGGGGAGGAGUUAGGGUGGAAGCGACCUGUGGAGGAUUAAUGAUCGCACAGAAAUGGUCCACAGGGUACAUACCAAGAUUUGAGAUACUGCAUAAGCAUGAGCCGUGAAAAUGUCAAAAUACAGAAUUUCACAACAGGCAGGAUUCCCUGAAUAACAAUUACAAACAGGCAGACAUCACUUACCUGAAAGUUCCCCCCUGAAACUCAUUAGGUGCAAGUUUCCCAGCUCUUGCCUUCUCAGCCAGCUGCUUAACCUGAGUGAUUAGGAAUGGAGAAAACAUGACUUACAACAAUUGAAAAUUUUAAUUCUCCUAAGCACAGAAAUAGAGAUUCUUAGAAAAGUGUUGACCACAAUUUAUUUUUGCAAGUUUAGAGCUUCCAUUGAUGGCUGUUGAUGGCAAGAGCUACAUUUACAUGACUAUGAUCAAUUGAUAGUAUCAAAAACUUCCAGAGUAUUCCGAAAUACAAACAUACUGCUGAGGAAAUUUGGCUUGAACUUUGGAAACUUUGUUAUACCUCUGAGGAUAUUGCUGAUAUAGUCUUUUGAUCAGCAUUUCUUAUAAUUGGAGUCAUCAGACCCUAGAAUAGCAAAGACAAUCAUUAGAGGCACCAAAGAUACACUAACAGUAACUUCUUGGUAUUCUUAUCGUCAUACCUUCUCUGUGGCAACAGCAAUAGAUAUAUCAACUGAAUCACAUUUUUGGGCUUCUUCCUUCUCACUGUUCCAGUAGGCUAAAAAGUGAUGAAAACUAAUCAAUUUUUGAAAAGUGGAAACUAAAAGGGCAGGCUGUAUGUUCGGUUGUAACAAAAAAAAAGGAAAACAGGACAGGGGCUGGUUAGCUAUGUUCCAGAGAAGCGAUAGGAUAGGAAAACUAGAAUACCACUGAUAAAAAAACUGGAAUUUGCCAAUUGCCGACCACCAGUCAAACAUCCCCACGUGCAUGGCUGGUUGCCACUUGCGCUACGCUUGUCAAGUGAGUCAAUAUACAUUUGAAAAGGAUCUAAUAGAAACUUGGUUGGCUGCGAUGAUCACCACAUCAGCCCAGUACUUGUACUAUUGUACAAGGGCACACAUCAAUGUAUAAGCUUGAUUGCGUCAUGAUUUAACCACCCAAACUGCCUGUUCAGUGACUAUCCUAUGUUUAAUACCACGGAGCAAACUCUACCUCCCUGGAAAGACAAACUCAACUAAAGUAUCAUCGUGAAGCUGAUCAAAUUCAGGCUAUGGUAAUUCCAUACCAUGUUAAUCUAAUUUAAAACUAGAUUAAGUUCAUAAUCCCUCCAGUCACUUUUUAUUGACGUUUCAGACAAGCAAAUACAACUACAUGCAAGUCAACAUCCCUGUCUGAAACGUCAAAUAAUACUGAUAGCUGGCAGUACUAUUCCAACCGUGGUGUAUAAUCCACAAACUCCUUUCCUGGUGUGUGACUUCAUCAUGGACCGUUCAAGCAAAAUGAGAAUGAAUCAGUGAAUCAUAUUUUGUGCAGGUCAGUGGGAUGCUAUUGCUGCUAGACACUGCCCUGUAACUUGGGUCAGCCGUCACAUGUGUUUAAGCUUCCCAAGAACAGGCAAGUCAUUGUGGAGUCCAUAUGUUCAGGCCAAACAGGAUUUGGAUAUGAUACAUCUGGAAUAAAAACACAACAGAUCCCAUUUGAUAUUUAAUUAAUUCUUUAGGAAUUACCAUUUGCUUCAGGAACGUUCCGCAAGGCAAUUGCCACAGCUUUUAUGAUGAUAUCAUUUACUGAAACUUUAAUGCCAUGUUGCUCUGCAACAAAAAAGACUCAUGAGAAAAGAAGGCCCUUUUCUUAUCUGAUUACUGAAAACACCAAAUAAAAGGAAAUAAAUAGCACACCUUUCAGUUCGCUCCUGAAAGCAAGCAAGGGAUCAAGUACAACAUCUGAGAACAAUGCAACAAAUAUCAUUAUAUCAAUAACAUCAUGAAAAUAACAUGUGCAGUGAACGGAUACAAACCUUUGGAUAGAUAUAAAUGAGGAGUCGUCUGUUUUGAUUCAAGCAACCUUUUUGCAAUAACCUGCAUGAUACCAAAACAGGUCGACUCUUAUUAAACAAGUGAGAUCUCAUAGAUGAUACAUGGCCUGACCAAGUUCAUUUUCAUCAAAGACAUCAUCGUGUACCAGUAGCAAGAAUAUCCAGCAGAUAAAUAAAUUGAUGAAACAGGCUAUAAAAUGGAAUGACACAUUUGCAGAAUCCUCAGCAGCAAAUAUUUGAAGUGCUUAUAUGACAAGUUUUCAGGUUGAAGUACUUGAUUUUAUCUAAAAUACUAUAUAAAGAGAACAUGUAGUUCACUAAUAAUUUGAUUCAUUGCGCAAAACUCUGGGCCAUCCUAGAAUCCCUGUAGCUAGAUAAAAGACAAGAGGAGUUCAAUGUGGUGUGAAAGCUUUGGUAUUCACACUUAGAUUGAUCACAGACUCUAGUUUUUUAGGUCAUUCUAUGCACAAGGUAACAUAACUAAAAGUAUAUAUCAUGAUAUCUACAAAAGUCAAUAGAGGUGAAUAGAGUACCUUGCGUAUCUGACUAUUUGGAAUAUCUUCAUAUGUAUCGGCCUUUUGUGAAGUAGUGGCUGGUUGAGCCUGGGCAUCACGAGUUGGCUGAGAUGAAGGCGUUGCUGGAGCCUUCUGUUCUUUGGCUGGGAUUGAAAUUGCGCCUGACUUCAGUGCAGCCAGAACAUCCCCUUUCAGAAGGGUGCCACGAGGGCCUGAUGCUCUCAGUGAUGACACAUCCAGUCCAUGUUCCUUGAUGAGUAACUUAGCUGCAGGACUGAUUCGGCUCACUACUGAGCUUUGUUCAGACACAUUAGCUACAUCAGUUUUUGGUGCACUUUCUGUUGACUGUUCUUCCUUUUGUUCACCUCCAAACGAUGUAUCGGCGGGUAUAUUUUUAAUAUCAUCAAGCUCUUCAACCUUAAAUGGACAACCAGCAAUCAGUAGAAAAUUAAAAUGGAUGUUGAAAGGAUAUAAAAGCCACCAGUCAUGGAGCUAUACCGUGACAGCAAUUGGCUGUCCAACCUGAACAUCUUUUGAACCUUCAGGUGCUAAAAUUUUGGCCAGAUACCUAAGAUAUUAAAGUGGUUAGGUUAAACAAGAAAGGUGUAUGCAUAAUUAAUAAGCAUCCAUGAAAAGAAAAGACAGGGUAUCACAAAAGACUAAAAAAAUAUGACCAAACACAAAUUAGAUAAAGACAAGAAAAAAGUUAAAUGAAACAGUAACUAUGUGUUCUAGUUGUGCCAGUUAUUUAAAAACUUAAACAUUUAAUGUAGUUUUUUCAUACUGGAAGAACAAUGGAAUAGGCUUGUACAGGAAUUACUGGAACAUUAUGUGCAAUUUCUUAGAGUUUUGGCCAACCUACACAAUUGAUGCAUAAUGGCAAAGUAUAGCAUAUUACACUGAUUUGACUUGGAGGCUUGGAGCACUAUAUUGACCAAAAUUGACUAAAUGAACUAUGAACAAGUUUUGCAUAAGAACCUUAAUCAAUAUUUCCACUAAAAAUGAAUGCACAGGGAGGUUCAUAUAAUGCAAAACAUCGGAGCUAAAAGAAAUUUAAAUGGUAACCUAUCCCUAAAGCAUGCUGACAUGCUGUACCACUGAACAUGUUAUUGUAAUCAAAAGCACCUUUUCAUAGUGACAGUUCAUGAGACUAUAGCAUACUUUGCAGUAACUGUAAACUCGGGAAUGCAAAAUCAUAAUUAUAGAGCAAUGAAACUGAAACAUAUUAAUAGUCUCUCGGAACUGUCAUGUUCAAUGUCCACAGUAAAGAUUUAAACCCAAUGAAAAACAUGUCGUCAAGGACAUUACCCUUCUUCAAGGCUUUCAAAUUCAAGAGUGGCUUUAUCGGUUUCUAUCUCGCAUAUCACAUCACCAACCUCUAUCUGCAAAAAACAUACAACAUUUAAUGAUACUGACAUAUUGCUAAUAGUGACAAAAAGAAGAAAUUCUUUGAGAAUAUGAUAUUUGUAUAAUGAAAUAGCAGAUUGCGGAAAGCCUAACCUUGUCUCCUUCAUGUUUUCUCCAUUUUGCAAUGUUACCUUGGUUCUAAUGAAAACUAUGUCAGAGUAUGGAAUAUGCAGAAAGGAAAAAGAAACAAAGCUGGCAACAUAUAUUACUAAGAUCAGUGUUUAAAGUUUUUACCAUAGUAGGGGACAAUGCUGGCAUCCCAACCACCAGAUGUGGAGGAAGCCCUGCGAAAAGAUAAGAUCAUAUUAAUGAUAGUGCCAUAAAUUGCUAUGUGCUAACAGAAUAUUUUUGUACAUGUUUUUAAUGUCAGUUUCAAAUAUGAAAAAGUAAUAAAGAAGAAAAUUAGCAGCAUGCAGUAGUUAGUCUACUAAUUGAUUUGCUUCAUCAGCACAAUAUGUUGACAAAUAAUAUAAUCUUGCCUAGAAAACUUCUCUUGACUGGGAUGUGUUCGUAGAAAUAUGACGUAGAAAACCCAAUGAAGCAUACUAACUUACAUAGGGACUUUCCUUCAUCGAAUCAAAAGUGCAGGACAACAAGAAACAUAAGAGCUAAACCAUAUAAAAUUUGGUAAUUUCACGAGUUUAAGCUAGUGGUUUAAAUAUUUCAAGUUUUCUGUUUAUGCAAAGCAAUGGAAAGAUAAAUUCAAAGACUCACAUGAUAACAGUGCUACAGAGUAAAACUCAAGCUAUGUUUAUGCAAAGCAAUGGAAAGAUAAAUUCAAAGACUUACAUGAUAACAGUGCUACAGAGUAAAAUUCAAGCUAUGGAAAUAAAAAAUUAUUUGUCUGUUCAUCUAUAACAUAUCAGAUUAACAAUGUGAGCCAUGUGGCUAUACCUGUUGAGAACCAACGGGCUGGCAUGGGAGCCUGCACAAGGAAUGCUACAUAAGUAGCAGUUUGAUCAAUGAAAAGGAUUAAUAUUUGAACUCACCUUGUAAUGUCCACCCACUGAUGCUAGGAGUGAUGGCCUGGAAAGAGAUCAAACUUCAGGAAAAAAAUUGUACAAAAGAAACAUAUAGGUAAUCACGAACUAAAGCACGUGUAACUGUGGGUACCAUUCCUGCAUUACUGCAAAUUCAGCACCUCAUUCCAACAAUCUUCCAUUGCGAAUAAUGAAAGCAUGAAACGUAAACAUGUGCUAAUCCACAUUCCAACUAACUAGUUAGACCUAGGGUCAAAAUUGGGGCCAGCACUGAAUGCAUGUACUGACAAACGACUUGGCAACAGUGUAAAUCUGAACGAUCCCAGCGACAAAAUAUGCAAAGUUAUACCUCAUGGAAGCACAUCGGCCAGCCUCAGCUAAGGAACCCCUUGCACGCGACAAGCUGCGAGUGAUCAACAUUAGAAAAUAUGUCAAAUAGCUGAGUGGACACGCAUCACAAUCUGUACGAAUUCAUCGGCAGCAUCUAACAUCUUACCCGACCAGAAGCGCCCGGAUGUUCGCCAUCUUGCCAAGCAAAAACCUAGACACAAGACGAUCCCUGCGGCCAAAUUCGCAAAAUGAGUUACAAAAAGGAAAAUGAUAGCAAACGGUGGGUGAAUUAACUUGGGUCCGGCAAUAUUUUGGAAAAUAAUCUGAACUCGCGAAAUCCUAAACACACCACGGAUGGAUUGAUCGAAUGGAAUUGCAAGGAGCCUCACCGGGACGGGCGGAUCUUGAACCCCGCUAGAAACGGCGGCCGGGGAAUCCGGCAGAUGGGGAGGAAGGGACCACGGCGCGGACGGAGGAGGAUUCGGCGGCGGAAAAGAUGAGCACCACCAGCGGGGCGAAGGCGAGCAGGGGAAGCGAGCAGGUUUUGGUCGUUGGGUGACGACCGGGCCGGAUGCUGUUUAGGUUGCGGAUCCGGCUGUCCAAAACUAUACGCUUACUCCGUGUAAAAAAAUUGCAACUCUCGCUUUAUAAACCAAUCAAUUUCAAAUUUAACUAAAUUUAUAUAAAAAUACUAAAUUUAUAUCUCUAAAUAAAUUUAAUAUAAAAAUAUAUUACAUGAUUAAUCUAACGGUACUUAAUUUGUAAUAUUAAUAUUAAUAUUAUUUUUAUAAAUUUGGUCAAACUUGAUAUUGAUUGACUCCUCAGUAAACGAGAGUUGCAUUCUUUUAUGGACGAAAAGAGUAACAUCCAGCUAUCUAGGCCUGCGUUCGUGAGGCCAAAUAGAUUAGGUUGGGUUUACUCUAUUUUUUAAAAUGUUUGGUUCAAGGGCAAUAGGGAUGGAUCCAAAGCGAUAAGAGAGUAUCCUUCUCACGUACGGGUUGGAUCAUGACAGAGGUAGACUCCGGGUAUCCCUACCUAAUGGGAUCUAGAUUCCUAGAAAAUGAUCUCAUGCUACAAUCCCUGUAUGCAGAUACUGUGCCACGAUAUAGGUCAUGAAGAAGGAGGUGAGGAAGAAUUAAGGAUAUAUAACAGGCGUGAAACUAGGAGAAAAUAGGGAUGGGAUCUUUACUAUCGCGCACUGAGGUCUUUGCCUUUACAAAACGGUGAGAACAUUAAUUUUCACCGACUUUUUAGAAAUCCAUAGGGGUCGGCGGACCCCAACGAGCAAGCCUAGCUCCACCUCUGCGGGAGAAUAGGAUUAAAGGAUAAUUAUACUAUGAUUUAUGCGAAUUUAGACCACGAGAAUGUGACGUGGCAUGAAGGUAGUGGGAUACGGACGAUGAGAUCAGACAGACUGGAUGUUGUACCGGUAGGAUGAUGAAGAUCAGAAGGCUUGGAUUUUGUAGAGGUGGGAUGACAUCAAGGGACGGCAUAAUGUACAAUGUGCGACGCAACAAACCACAUAUGAAGAGCUCCGCUCUUUUUAGUAGUACAUAUAUUGAAAAGAAAGGCAAAAGAAGUGUUCUGAUUCCUCAACUUUACCUGAGACUCAAGUUACAAUCUAGUUUCUCAACUUUUAUUUUCAGUUAACCUCGUUCUUGUGUUGAUGUGGCUAUUCAUGUUAACAUAAGAAUGAUGUGAGAAGUUAAUUUUUGCCCUAAGCUUCUUCUUCCUAUCUCACUUUCUAUUGUUGCAUCAUGGACAUACAGAUCCGCUGUUGCCUCCUGACUUGUUAACUUUUGUGCGCGUUGAAGUGCCCAUUCAUGUUUAAUUUGAUCUUGAUCAUACACGAACAACAUGUAUAUAUUUGCUUAACUUUCCGCUUCACUCCUUAACAAAGCGGAAAAGAAAUAACUAAGAUAAAUAGGACUUUUCAAAUUAGCCUUAUGCUAUUAUGGAGCACCACAUGUCCACAUUACUAUAAAGGUGAAUUUAAACUAAAAUAAAAAUUAAGGGAUUAAAUUGAUAUUUCUAAAAAUGGAGGGACUUGACUCUCGAAUUAAGUUUAAGGGGGCAAAUCGCCUAUUUUUCCAAAACAAACCCUAGAUAGCAGCCGCUCACCAGUCCACCCACACCCACCCCGCUCCCGCUUCCCCCGCCGUCACUCCGCUUCCCCCGCCGCUACUCCCCACCCCCCAUCUCCCGCUGCCACGCCUCACCCCGAUCCGGAACCCUUACCGACGCACCGAGAUCUCGCUCCUCCUUACCAGCAUGGAGGAUCUCAUGGAGAUGCUGCUCGGCGGCGAGGACUUCCAGAGAAUGGAGGGCACGCUGCGAAUGCUCACGCAGCAUGUCUGCUCCGCUGUCACACCCUUGGCCGUCGACGAGUCGGACUUCAGAUACUGCCUGAAGAGCCAUCAAAUGGCCCAUCCUGGACAGAGAAUCAGCCACUACAUUUUCUUUCCCUUGUCUAUAGACAAUUUUGAACUUGAGCCCCAUCAGACGUGUCAUAGCCUUCCUUUGCAUUUCAGAGUGAAGAUUCUGCUCUAUCAGAUAAGAGAGACUUUUGUGAUCUGUCUUGAUGAUAAACUCCUGAAGUUGCAGGUAAGACCUCCAUUUCUCUACUGCCAUAAUGAGUGCAAGGAACUCUUUCUCAUAAAUAGAACUAGCCUUGUGAGAUGGCCCCAAAGCUUUACUCAGAAAAGCUACAGGCUGGCCUUGCUGUAACAACACAGCUCCAAUUCCAUUCUCUCAAGCAUCUGUAUCCACAGUGAAAGGUUGAGUGAAAUCUGGGAGAGCCAAUACCGGAGUAGUACUCAUGGCCUGUUUAAGCUUGAGGAAUGCUUGCUGGGUAACAUCUGACCAUUGAAACAUUUUUUUCUUCAAAAGUUGGGUCAGGGGCUUAGCUAUGAUCCCAUAGUUUCUCACAAAACGCCUGUAGUAGCCAGUCAGGCCCAAAAAUGCUCUCAAUUCAGUCACUGAAGUUGGUACUGGCCAAUUCACCAUUGCUUCAGUUUUAGUGUCAUCAGUGGCAACUCCUGCAGCAGAAAUGAUGUGGCCUAGAUACUCCAAUUUUUCCUGGGCAAAGGAACAUUUGCUGUUUUUGAGAUACAAUCGGUGAUCUCUGAGUUUCUGUAGGACCUGCUGCAAGUGUUCAAUGUGCAUUUCCAAGGUUGGACUGUAUAUGAGGAUGUCAUCCAGAAAAACUAAGACAAACUUUCUCAGGAAUGGGCUCAGUAUAUCAUUCAUCAAGCACUGAAACGUAGCUGGUGCAUUGGUAAGCCCAAAAGGCAUUACCCUGAACUGAAAAUGGCCAUGAUGUGUUUUGAAAGCAGUUUUGAAUUCAUCUUGCUCAGACAUCCUCACCUGGUGAUAACCAGAUCUCAUAUCUAGUUUUGUGAAAUAUUUAGCCCCAGCUAAUUCCUCCAAAAUUUCCUCAAUAACAGGCAUGGGGAAUCUGUUCUUGACAGUAAUGGAGCUCAGUUUUCUAUAAUCAAUACAGAACCUCCAACUCCCAUCUUUCUUUUGUACCAGUAGUACAGGAGAGGCAAAGGGACUUGUGCUAUGAGUGAUCAACCCAGCUUCUAGCAAUUCCUUAACUUGCUUUUCGAUCUCAUUCUUGUGAAGAGGGGAGUAUCUGUAUGGUCUUGAAUUCACUGGUGUUGCUCCAGGUUGCAGAGGUAUAGGGUGAUCAUGGAUCCUUUGUGGUGGAAAGGUUUUGAGGUCUUUGAACACAUCAGUAUACUUCUGAAGUAUUUGUUCCACCAAGGGGGACAAGGGAGGGGGAUGUGGUGGAGGAACAACAUCUACCAGUGCAACUGCCCACACUUCAUUGCCCUGAACCCAUUUGCAGAAUGUUUCCAUAGACAUUUCCUGAGGUAGCGGAGAAGAAGGUUGCACACCCAACAGUUUAAUUUUAGUGCCUCUUUCCUCAAACUCAAUUACUCUGUCCUCCCAAUGACAGGUCAUGGGACUGUGUGUGGACAACCAAGCAUAGCCCAAGAUGGCAUCAUAAGCCUCCAGAUCCAAUACCUUCAUGUCAGCUGUCAUGGUGUAACCAUUUGACCACCACUGUAAACCAGGCACACACUUGUCAGUAAUCAAGGUAGUCCCAUUGGCCAUGCUGACAACCUUGGGUUCAGCAGAAAUAGGAGUAAUGCCCACUUUCUUAAGAAAAGAAGUCUGACAAAACUGUGUGUACUGCCACUAUCCACCAAUAUCAGCAUUAUUUUGUUUUUCACAAGUGCCCUGACUCUCAUUGUUUGCCCUUUAUCAGUACCAGUCAUUGCAUUCAAGGACAAAAGAAAUCUUGAGAAAGAGCAUCCUCUAACUGUGCCAAAAUGUUCUCUGACAGUUCCACAUCAAGACUAUUCACAGAUACAGCAUGGACUUGAACUUUGGGUUGUUUUGUGCAUACCUCGGUGUGAGAGGGAUCAUAUUUCUCACUGCACCAGUAACAAAGGCCAUUGGCUCUGCAAUAAUCUCUCUUCUGUCUUUUCUUCCACAAGGAACUUGGUGGUGACUGCUUGGGCUGGGAGGGAGGGGAUUUUGCUGACAGAAGUGGUUUCUGCAUUUUCAUCUUUCCUCUUUCCUGUACCUUUUGAUGGAUCUUGGCCAUCUAAUAGCACGAUGUAGUGUAGUCGGCACUUGUGUCUGUACAGCCAUGCCCACAUCAGAUCGCAACCCAUUGAUAAAUUGCUGAAUAAAAAACACAGGAUCAUAGCCACUGUUAUGCAUAAUGAGCUGAUAAUACAAUGCCUCAAACUGAUCAGCAUACUCUUCCACUAAACCAGUCUGUCUGAGUUGCAAAAGAUCAUCCAGAGCCUUCCUGUACUCAUACUGACCAAACUGAGCUUCCACUGCAUCAGCAAAUUGGUCCCAAGUAGCUCGAAGAUGUUGCUUCUUGUACACUUGCAGCCACUUUGCUGCAUUCUUGUCGAAAUGGAGAGCAGCUGCAGUAACCCACAUACUUUCUUCAAUGUUGGAGAUGCGAAAAUAAUCCAGGCACUUUUCUCUCCAGAUCUUUGGGUGUUCACCAAUAAACAAGGGAAACUGCAUCUUAGGAAUAACGGAGCGUGGAAUAUGAGUGGACUCCCUCGCAGGACGCGGCACCCCUGGAUCCGGCCGGCGAGCAGAACCAUCCCCCGUCUGAACUGGCCUGGCACUCUGGUGGCUACCACCCCCCAUGGUCCGCACCGAAUUGGUUUCCGAGUCACUGUCAGUCAUCAUGUCCAUAGUCAGACGAGCCACCGUCUGCCCUGUUGCCUCAACUCGCUUGGCGACGAGCUGCUGUUCCUUGCCGUAAUGAUCCACCGUUGUAGUAGUCUGCUCCAACUGGGCCUUGAGUUCCUUCUGAGAGACACCAAUCGCACUCACACGAGCAAAUAGCAGAUCCAAACUCGAGAGCACCUGAUCCCAAUGUGCCUCGUCCCGCUGACUCGAUGCCUCCAUGGCGUCUAGGAUGAACGCCGUAUGAACCAAAGGUUUUGGGGGCGCCGUGAUUGACAGCACCGCAAGCCGAUCCAAGGGUGAGUGGGAAUUACGGGAUCUCAACGUGAGCAAGGCACUCGAGGCGACGAACGCACCAACCCAAACUUGUUUCUCAGAUUAAGGCCGACGGAAUCUCUGCUGACAAUUCACCGCGCAGUGAUGGGGAAGGGAAGAUCUGCAUGCACAAUUAAGGAGCUAAUAUGUUUAUCGAGCUAUGGAUAGGUUAAAAUUUAAUAAAAUAAAAUAUUUACGUGAAAAGAUGCUAAUUUACCUGAUAGACGGUAAUGGAGCUCAAAAGAAAAUCUUUAUUUAUUUUAUAUUUUAAAUUUGAGUAUAGGAAACACCGUACUAUUAAAAGGGAUGCGAGGAGAUGGCUUGAAGAUGUCAAAGUACUUAAUUGAGAUGCUAACCUCCUACGAGAUACACAAAUCACGCAUUUCCUGUAGUUUCUGCACUCGCCAAUAAUAACGACUAUAUGAUAUUUAGGUUGUGUUGUUGCCUUUUAAUGUAUAGUUAAGUCGUUGCAAUAAGGUACUCACUUUUCAUUUAUAAGGUUGUACUGUCUUACAUUGCAUUUUAAUGUAUUAUUAAGUCGUUGCAACAAGGUACCUAAAUAAGACAUUGCAUUUUAAUGUAUUAUUAAGUCGUUGCAACAAGGUACCUAAAUUCCGUUUCAUUUACCGGUCACCAUUGACAAGCCAUGAAAACUAAGGAAUCAAUCUGUUUAAUUCUAAAAUGAUCAAAAUACCACUCGUCUAGAAAAUUCAAUCAAUUUGUUAUAUUCUAAAUUAUCAAAACACCAUCGCCUUGAAAGUUCUAUUUUGUACCCGUUCUUUUAAGCCAACUAGCAUAGUGCUUUUUAAGAAAACCUAAUAAAUAAAUAAUAAUUUUAUAAUCAUAGAGAAUAGUCAAUAAUAGUUUUAUAUUUAUAACAAAGAUGCAUAUUUCACAUGGGAAAGGUCUCCAGUAACUGAAAAUGGACAUCCUUGAAGAAAGAAACACUGAUGACAAGAUGGAAGAUUAUAUUCAAAGGAAACAUUUGCGCUCCUGGUGUGCCACCCAUCCAACAGCAACAGGGAGAUUAUAUUUUAAAUUUGAGUAUAGGAAACAUCGUACUAUUAAAAGGCUGUCCUCGGUUCAAAAACAUGGAAUUGCAUUUCAACUUUCGCGCACAACAACAAAUAUGAGAUACAUUACGCUACUACCUCGUGAUGAGUUCAAUAAAUAAAAUACAAUGCAACAGUCAAUAAUCACAGCUUAAACCGGUGGUAUCCUUUUUGCAGAGCUUCUGGCCUAUGGACUUAUUAACAAUGAACAAUCUCAGAAUGUCAAGUCUAGAAAACCAAUUGACAGAAGGGCAAGCAUUUCAGCAUCCAGUACAACAUGCGAGUGUGAAUUCUUCGCUUCUGAAGCCCCAAAAUUCUCACUACUUCCUGAGCCUUAACCUCAACCUGAAACAUAUGGAAAUUUGAGAUGAAUGGAGGAACCUAUUAAUCUAAUAGAAGGAUCUAUUGUCAUGAAUAGAUAUUUCUGUGAAAGGCAUCUCUCUGUUUUUCCUUUUCUGACCUACAAACGACUAUACAAGUGUUUUACUGAGUUACAUCCAUUUGCAUCUCUUAAAAAAUGAUAUAUGAAGAUAGACAUUCAAAAUAGGCAUGAAGUUAGAUGUCAUUCAAAUGAGCAACUAACAUCUAGCUUCACAUUAAAAAAAAUGCAUGGCAUCUUAACUGACCAGAGCAAGUGUUCCGAGUUGCACACUGAUCUGGAAAAUGAUUAAUGAGUAUUGAAUAAUCAAAAGGACAACAGAAUCAAUAUUCCUAAGGUCAGCAAAUGUUUCAAUAUAUUAUGCCAAUAUCACCUAAAUUUCACUAGGAUAGUAGGAAGUAGGAUACAACAACUCAUGCUUUUGCCAAAUUGUGGCGACCCCGUUGCUACAGAUUGCUUAGAUGCUGUUCAGUUCAAGCUGACAACCCAAUGGAAAAUCCAUGACUCCAUUUGGAUCAAGUAGUCAGACAGCUGAUACUGAAUUUGCGCCCAUUUGGAUGAGCAUCCAGACUCCAGCCACAACUAGGAUGAUAAAACUAGACAAGCUAAUUUGCAGCGCAGACAGCGACCGGAUACGCAACCACAAGCGUCGAGCAACCGCAUACCUCAAUCGGCGUGUUCGUGGAUGUCGUCAGCCUCAUCCUCCGAAGACGAGGACGAGGAGGAGUUGGACGAGUAGGUGAAGGGGUGCGGCGCAAGCUCCGGAGGCUGGAGGACGAGGAAGACGCGGCGGUCGCGGCGGGGCCGGAGGGGGCCGCGGGCUGGCCCGGGGAGGAAGGGGAUGCAGAGGAAGGCGGCGAGGCGCGCGAGGAGGUGGAGCGGCGCGCAGCAGAUCAGCGCGAGGACGCGGUCGGGCGGGAGCGUCUCCGGGUUGCACGCCACCCGCUGCCACGCCGCCGCCGACCCCCGCGCCACCCACACCACCCACACCGGCCGCACCGUCAUGAAUUGAAACCGACCCCGAGCCCCCAAUUCUGGGCCUCGGCGUGCGCGGGGAGCGGGGAAGGGAAGGGGAGGCGCGCACGGCAAGAAGGCGGGCGGGGGCGCCUCCGCCUGCCUGCCGUGCCGCCGCGUGGAUCUCGCCGCCGGGUUUGGAAGGAUUCGCCGCCGCUGCUGUAAAUUUUUUGUUUGUUGGGCGUUUGCCGCGUGCAGUUCGCGGUUGAUUCAUAGCUUUAUCACUCGGCUGCAUACGUGGACCCGCCGCCAUGUGGAACCCGCUCGGCAGCCGGACGUUUCAGGCUGCAUCUCCGCAACGGUUCAGAAGAUUCGCACAAUAAUGUCCAACGGCCUGCCUGUACAGUGAGAUUUAUAUAGCAUGCGAAUUAAUACAAACUUGAAUAAAUUCGUACAAAUUUCUUGUAUGAUCCCACUGUUCCAAACCGAAGGUGGAAUUUCCUACCCGUAAACAUGGUCUUUCUUGGGAAAUCAAUACGCACAUUUUCAGUGUUCAGGUUGCAGAACAAAAAUCGCAUCUCCCGUGUCUGCUUUCUACAUAUGAACGGCAUUCUGUUGAAAAUGCGCAAACCGAAACGUGGUCAGCUAUUGAAGUGCGAUUACAAUGACAAAUGGAGGAACGAUAAGCAGCAACGCAACCCAUUCAACUGGCAACAGCGCAGCACGGUACUGAAAGCAGACAACGCUUUGCAGAAAUGGAUGAUACAAAUACGCAAAAAUGAAACAAAAAGGCAAGAUCAAACAACAUAAGGCUGUAACAGUUACCCAGCUGCCGAAGACUUCCAUAACAAGUUAAUAUGGGUUGAACAUAUCAUUUCUUCCCAUUAAUUAGAGGGCGGGAAACAGAACUACACGCGCAUCAACAAGUAAAAUGGAACUUGGUAGGAAGGAAAAAACAGUUUCAUCCACUGCAUAUUAUUUCAUGCAUUUUGGUGUGCCGUAAAGAGAAAAAUUGAGAUAGCUUCUAGGCAGCACGUUUUUAAGGAAUGGUUCUCUGGUAAAGCGGAAGGGCUCCCAGCGCUUCACGCUCAGCACUCUCCUUUUUCACCUGCAAGAAAAAUGAGAUAUAAGACAAAGGCCACUAAUGGCAUGGAUUGAAAUAAAAUAUAAGUGUGAAAUAACUUAGCAGCACAAGGCUAAAUCAAGAACUAUGCAGUAUAAAGGCAAAUCAAGAACAUUGCAGCAUAAGGCUAAAUCAUCAGCAUAAGAACUUCACAGCAUAAGGCUAAAUCACGAACUCUGCAGCAUAUCAAGGCAAAUCAAGAACUUCGCAGCAUAAGGCUAACCAAGGAACUUCUUAAGCAGUGAAAUCAGCAUUGCAUAUCUGCAGUUAACAUUCUACACCUUGAAUUGUAACAAAUAAUCAUGUUAAGUUGCAAUGUUAACUGCAAAAUGUUUGCUGUAGACAAUAUUAGCUGCAAAUCAUGCAUAAGUUCUCCAUGAAUUUAUAAAUGCUAUCAUUUUCCAGCUUGCACCAAGUAUUGAUUUGCAAAAGUACAACAGUAAUGAUGAAAAAAAGGCUCAACAUGAUAAUGAUCACGAAAAGGAAUGAGGUUGAUAUUCAUGCUGUCAUGCACCUUAUGAAAAUAACAGUAAGAGAGUUAAAGGGCAUACACCCACGAAAGAAAAGGUCAGGAUAUCCUGGCUGUGAGAUGAACUUCAUCAUUGCACAUGAGAUGCUAAUGCAUAUCCUAAAGUAGCUUGAGUUAACACGUAAUGCAUGGUAAGGAUAACGAAUAAGGAUCAUGUAGACUAUUCCCUUAUGGAAGAAAAGAGACAGUGGCUUACUGGUUUUUAUGUAAAGGACAGAUGAAAUGACAAAGGCAUGAAGCAGAAAAGAUCCUUACCAGAGCCAACAUGUCACUCAAAUAGCCUCUGAAUGGAGUUUGUGCAGCCUGUGCAAAAGAAAGUAAAUGUCUCAGAAUACCAGAGUUUAUUAGGCUAUACUAAACAAAAACUCAUGUAAUUGUAUGCAAUACAUGAUAUGAAGAGUAUCCAAUAAGAAAUCCAUGUCCACAGAAGAAAAUUUAAAGAAUAUUCAGCUGAUAAUGAUAUGAUUUCACACAUUGGAAAUCCAUAUUUUAAAUGAACUAACGGCUUUUUGAUACACUAAUCUACAAAUAUCUGCGAUGCUGAAAGAAGAAACAAAAUUUAGAUUUAGUUUUCAUCAAACAACUACGUGGAACAUCUUCAGGGCAAAACAUAGCAUUAAUAUAAGCAAGGAUGAGAAAUCUACAAACCAAAAUGGUAAACUGAAUAAAAAAGCAUACGAGUGCCUAAAACAAUCUAACAGACUCCCUCCUAGCUGAUGCAAACUACACUGGGAGAUGGCAUAUACAAAGCAUACGUUCAUAAAAAAAAGUCCUGGAAUCAAUAUGCAACAUCAGGGCAAACUUCUGCUAUCCUAAUUCCCACCAUUUUUAAUUCUAAUGCUCACUGCAAUCUCAUCUCUCAUCAAAACUUAGUUGAAAUGUGCACCCUAUUCAGAAUCGCUGCCUCCUAAUUCCACUGGUUUUAUACACAACUAUAACAUGGAGCUGCAAAAUAGAUUGGCCGGAUGGACCAACCAAAACUUCAGGUAAGUAGAACCAUCUGCAUCACAUGUACAACCCAAACACAUCACCCUACACAUUUCAAUUAAUAUGCAGUCGUCUGCCCCAGUACACAGAUGACUCACCGCAUGAGCUUUCAGUAAUGCAACCUAGAGCCUAUCUCAUGCAAUCUCGCACGCCACCGUCAGAACAACCACGACAAACACACGAAUCGAGAGAUCCAGAUCAGGGCAUGGGGGAAAUGAACGGGCAUGAACCUGGAGGUCCUCGGGGAGGUACUGAUGCUUCAUGGAGAGGUCCAUGGCGCGCUUGAGGCGCUGGAUGCGGGCGUCUACCACCUCCCUAGGCAGCCUCCCGAGCGCCUCCUUGAUGUCCAGGUCGAAGUACGGAUCGUACAGGUCGUCGUACCUCAGCCCUUUUGGAUCGGAUCACCGGAUCACACAUACGCAGCACAACCGCCAUUCAGAUCAGGAGAACAAGAAGAAAAGGACGAGAUCGCGAAGGGAGCACGGCGGGAUCGAGGCCAGAUCGGAUCCGGGGUUACCGUAUUUCCUGAGGCGCGAGGAGACGGCGCGCAUGUGGAGGCGCGCGAGCGGGUUGCGGCGCGGGUUCACCAGCCAGUUCGACAGCGCGGACAUCAUCGACGACAUGGUGGCGGCGCCCGGGAGGUCUCCUACGUCCUGCGCGGCGGCGGGAUGCGCUUCCCCUUGGCCUCCUCGCUUUUGUGGGAGAGGAGGAGCGGUGGUGGGCGUGGGUGUGGACGCGGUCUCGGGCCGGGGCGUACGGAAGAUCGAGAGAAUGGGCUGUCGUUAUAGGGGCCAGAACAAGAGGAAUUACGGUCCAUUUAUUAAAGCCAUCUUAAACUUCUUCUUGAGGGCCGGCCCAGUUUAUCUAGACGCUGAGUAAGAUUAGUAUUUUUUUUCCCGGGAAGAGAAGAGAGAGAUUGAGAGUUUGAGACCAACCAUCACUCCAUCACUCCAUCACCAUUCACCAACGUUAGUAUGUACUGUAUUACUGAUUUUCUUUAUUGCAAGGUAUUGUUAGUGACACAUCUAGAAAUAAUUGCUCUGGUAGAUUAGAGUGAAAUUUUUCUUUUAAUUUGCUCUUUCAUGAAGAAAACAAGUGUUUUUAAGAUAUAUACCAGCUUUUUUUUUCUCUUUUUUCCUGUUGAGAGAUAUCUGUCAGUUUCGCUAUCCCAAAAACCCCAUAGAUAAGUUUCUGAGCACACAAUACACCAAUAUUCCUACAGUACUUAGCCCUCCAUACGAACAUGACUCGCUGACAGCCUUAGAGAAAAUUCAGAACAGUUUCAUAUUCUAGACUAGCACUACAACCAAACAAAGUUGACAGGAAAAGAAACUAACUAUCACAAGGUAGUAAUCAGUGGACAAUAACUACCAUCAGUUGCGGUGUUCUUUUCAAAGGUCAGCAUCCAAAGGUGACCAUGCAUUUGUCUGCACUUACCAGAAACGCGACACUGUAUUAAACUCCUGAGAUUAGGCAACUAACCAAGUUGCAGCAACAAUAAAUUGGUGUAAUGAAUGGACAGGCACUAGCACAACACAGUAGUGACACUCUGUUUAUUAAACCAAAGCAUCAGUUGCCUAAGCUUUCUGUAUGGAAAGGUAUCGGCGAUGCUUUCAUUAAUUUGUGCAGGAAGGCUCUGCUUCAAUUUUAAAGAGCAAAGUGCUCAAACCUCCCCUGGCCCAGGAUCAAAUCCUGGCCUGGCCACCAUUAUGAAAAAGGGGAAAAGAUGAAUUUGCUCUGGUGGUACCAACAAUAAAAAGAGGGCAACAAAGAAAGAAAAAAAAAUCAUCGCGAGGGUCAGGACAAGGAGUUAGUGAUAAAUUUAACUUUGAUUCAGAUACUACAACAGGAAAGCAACUUUGCAACCCAAAUUCAUGACAAGAAACUUCAUAAGUUGCAUUUGAGAGUUUUUAUGCUGUUGGCAAUACAUGGGAGUUUUCCUUAAUGAUAUCCACAUAAAACAAUUCAAUUGACAUAAGUGCCCACCUAGAAGACUGUUAAUCCAUGGCUUUCUUGAUUUAAUAUUGCUCACCAGUUUUCAGAAGCCCAUGACUUGCGCGGCAGUUUCAAUAAAUUCCUGUAUAGAGGUAAUGAUGGUAUUUGACAAUCUUAUGCUGAAGGGAAAGUGCAAUGGAAUUACAAAAUUCUGAAAUACUGAACAGCACAAAUAAUGGUAUACAAAGUAGUGUUCCUAUCAGUGAAGAAAAAAAUAGUGGCUAAGAGAGGUUCAAUUUAUUGUUGCCAACUCAAGAUAUAUAAUGCCUCAUUUAUUUUCUCUAUUUUCAACAUCACAGCUGAAGUGGUCCAUCAGAUGGAAAAGCUGUUAAGUUUCCUUGUCCAUUCCCAGUGUCAAUCCGGUCUCUAUGAAAAGCACCAGAGCUACACACAACUUUUUGGGUGGGCAAACACAAGAUAUGCUUAGAUCAGAAGAAAAUGCUGUAAAACAAUCCAGAAUUGCACAAAAGAAUUUAAAACUAUACGAUUGGAAGAUGCAUAAACCAAAAUUGACCAAACUGCACCACAUUCAGCAUCUGACGAUUAAGUUGUUAUCUGAAGAACAUCAGAACACUCAUCAGAACGACCAGAUUCCUACAAAAGAUAAGCACAUUCAGGUGCCCACAGAUAAAGCACAAAAGAUGAGUUACCAACAAACCUUGAUGCUCACGUAUGCACAUGUCUUGAGCCUUAAAACUCCACUUCAAACUUUUCCACAGGUUCAAGGUUAUAUCCAGAUGUACAUUUUAAUCUUGUUAUUCAGGUACAAUUGUAACAGAUGACAAACAUGAGAACAACAAGAAGCAACUCAAUAUUUUGUUGCACACUGUUGUCAAACAAAUAAACUGUAUCGGAGCUGAAAAAUAACUCAAAAUUACAGAAAAAUUAAGUGACAUAAGAAUCUCUUUGACUAGUUGUUUUAUCUAACUUUCAGGAUACUUAUCAAGAUGAUCAGUGUCCUACUAAAGAUAGGCACGUUCAGGUGCCCACAGAUAAGCACAAAAAGGCAGCUAUCAGUAAUUCAGUAUUACAAACCUUGCUGCUCAGGUAGUCAUAUGUUUUGAUUCCUUAAAACUCCUAAAUUUUCCACAGAAUCAAAGUUAUAUUGAGAUGUACCCUACAGUUUUGUUAUUUCAGUAUGAAUUGAGUGAUCACAAGACAAUAAAAAAGGAGAAACAACGGAAAACUCAAAUUUGUUGGACAUUACUAUCAUUGACAAAUAAACUGUAUCGGAGCUUUACAUCAUGACAACAUUCUCUUUUUUGAGAAUUACCACUGUUGAACUAUUUUAUCAUCAGAAUUAUCCCCACUUAAGGCACAAGAAGGGAGAGAACAGAGUGCCAAAGUCACUGGGAUAUCACAUAAUCUUGCCAAUCGUUCAAACGAAGCGUUUAUAUAAGAUGGCAAAACAAAAACAAAAUGAAAUGAAAGAACAUAUAUUGGAGAGCCUCCAUAGCAUUCUGAUGAACAGACACUUCAACAAACAUCUUUUGUUAGCACUAAAGAAAAGGAGGCAGGUGCAGAAGCAAAUUGUGAUCCUGCAAAAACCUAUUCAAGCUUCCAUGCAUGCAGGAUCAACGAGAAACCAAGACCUUGCAGCUGGGACUCCCUAAAAAUCUGCGAGUAUGACCAUGGUAGCGACUUCUCAGGUGCCUGGCAUGUCUGAAACAUGAACACUGCAUUGCUUGCCGUCGAUCCAAAGAGCCAACUGUGGACAUCCCAGAACACCUCCACAGGCAAGCCAUCAACGAGAAUUGUCUGAUUUCCCCUAAACUUCCAUGCCAGGCGCUUCACCUGCAUCACAGGCUUCUUAUCAACCCUUAUUUCGAGACAUGGAUCCUUCAGGCCGAUGGUAUCACACUCGAUGACAAUGUCAUGGAACUGGCCUUUGUCACAGAAUUGCGCCUUAGCAGAGUAGACCUUCUUGCCAUAUAUGUGCUCCCUUCUCGCCACGAACGCAGCAUUCAGCAUCGACCGGUUGGCUCCAGUCUUCCUGUAAGCAUCCUUCUUCAUGUCACCGAGCAAAAGCACAAGCUCAAGGUCGAACACCACUGCAACAUAGAACCCCUCCACUGGUUCUGGACCGGCACCAAACUUGGCGCUCGACAGGUCCCAGAAGAUCUCAAUCUUGCCAUCCUCAACGUCGAGGCUCUUGGACCCCUUCUUCUUGGAGAAGAGCCACGGCUUGAUGUCCGCCUUGCACAGGCACUGGCCGGACAGGUCGUCCACGCCGAUGCUGAGGCCCUGCCCCAUGA
rnacentral:lncRNA from 1 species